rnacentral:lncRNA from 1 species
AUGCUUUAAUCUGAUCAAUGGUCCUCCAAUGAGCACCGAAUCAAGCCGAAUCUUCUCUCCAUUUUCCAUUUCCAACGACGCAAGGAGGUCUGGAUCAGUGACCAAUAUCAAUACUCUGCUUCCAUUCUGAUUAUUUGGAAGAACUUCUUCAAGAUCAUCCCAUAUCUCAAUGUUAUCGCAGACAUCAUCAAGCACAAUAAAGUACUUCCUGUUUGUUAGGUAAUCUCGAAGAAUAGAUUCCUUGAAUUGAUAAUCUUCACCGAUAAUUACACUAACCCGAGAUGGAGGCAUCACAGACUUGAUUAUGUCAUCCAAUAGCUUGCCCAAAUCGUAGAAUACAGAAACCCUGACCCAAGCAAGACAGUCAAAAUAGAACUUGACAUGAUUAUUGUUGUAAGUAUCUGCAGCAAAAGCAGUCCUAUCGAAGCCACUGCUGUCGAGAAUUGCAACCACUGAAAGCCCAGAUGGUCCCUCAAUCAAUACAUCAAACAACUUCUCUCUGCCCCUUUCAAAUUCACUGAUAUCGAGCCGAGGUUGUCCCUCAUUCAAUAGGUGAAUGAUUUCGUUACUUUUUUCACUGAUAUCAAAACCAUUGUCGCCGGGUGGGAGUUGUUGGAUCCGAUUUCUAAUAUCAAUGAUUUUACUGUGGAGUCCAAAAAGAAGAGCCAUUUUAGUACUGCUUUCACUUUCGUUUUGACUGUUUUGCUGCUGCAUGAUGUUGAUGAAGAAUGUGUCAAUGGCUUCCUCAGAUUCAUGGACAAAGUCAUUGAUGUCCUCCAGAAUUUCCAAAAUACCUCCUCUUUUAACGUCUUCAUCGCUUUCUUGUGCCUGCAACAGUUGCGAAAAAGGCAAAGAUAAUUUGGAUUCAUCGAAUCGUUCUUUAACAAGUUGAAACAAAAGCCGAGCCAUGUCAGAUUCAAAGUUUCCGAGCAGAGUGGUAGCAAUAAUCUCGGACUCCGUUAGAAGGUUUUGAAAAAGGGGAGUUAAAUUUGUUGAAUCAGGCAAAGUCAACGCGCAUUCUUCACCUGCUAACACCCUUUUUAACCUCUCACAAAAUAGUCGGAGGUGGACGUCCAGCAUAUCUCCUUCUGUCUGUAGCGCCCAGAGGUAUUGUUAUUUGCUACAAGAAAUGUUAAAACAUAGAGUAAUGAUACAGCCACAAACUCUUGUACAAACUUAUUUUGUACAAACUAAAAUGGCAUUAAUUCAUUGGUUGAAUGAAAAUAUAAAAUAAUAAAAACAAAUCAUGUGGGCCAAGUGAUAUUUAAUUCAACCAAUCUUAUCAUGCCACGUCAAUUUGUACAAAAUAAGUUUGUACAAGAGUUUGUGGCUAUAUCAUUACUCUAAAACAUAUCUCCUUCUGUCCUAUCUCAAAGUGGUUAGUGGUGUAAAAUUAAACACCAUGGAAGAAUUUGCAAGGAAUAUGCCAAGAAACUGGCCAACCCGCUUAGCUAAAUUCCACAAAUAUGACGUUAUUGCUCAUUUUUCUCUCAAACACAUAAUACACGUUCUUCGAGGCGCGUGCCUUCUGAAAAGGACAGGUAUCCAACCUCAUCUUAAUUUAAAGAAUUUUCCUUUAAAAAAAAUUUAAUAUCAAAAUGCCUUCAAUGUUAUUACUGCCGAAAGCCAAACUUCCUUUGGGUAAUUAAUUUAGAAGUUAAGCAGAGAAUAAAGUCCUAGAUUAAAUGUUUAGGUAGUUUUACAAAAUGAUAACAGCAUGCCAAAACUCGUUGUUGUCAUAUUCGACAUUUCAAAUUGAAAAAUAUGCAAGCAAUCUUCAGUGAACAUUACAUGUUUAUUGAAUAAUUUAAAUGGCCAGUAAAUCAACAGUCCGUGAGUUUUAAAUCUAUUAUGACUUAAUGUAUCUUUCUGUAUUCGUACACAGGUUAUAUUAUCAUAGUUUAAAAUUAUUUUAAAUAUUAAAAAUACUUUAAUGCUAUUAGUCUACUACACAGGUUAUAUUAUUUAUAUUAUAUUUGUAUUAAUUAAAACUUUUAAUGUCAAUUUUCUAAUUAUUAUAUUAAAAAAGUAUUAUGGUUAAGAAAAAGUUUUGGCAUUUCUUCUUGAAAAUUUGAGAGUCUGCAUGAAAAUUUUUCCAAAUUCUAAAGGUAUAGGUUUGAAAAUUUAACGUUCUGUAAAUUAAUGAAACAAAAGGGGGGAAACCAAAAACUAUUCAAUUUUGUAUUUUUUGUUUGUAAUUCAAAAAAUACAUCCACCAAACAAGUUUUACGCAUUAAUGCUGUCAUAAAACGAAAAACAGUUUGCCAAAAAAUGGUACCAAACAUUUCCUUAAUGUCUCACAUGAUUUCUUAGUAAGUCCAUAUUAGAUAUAUUUAUACAUUUUAUGUAUUUUAGUUAUAAAAGAAGUAGGUCCUCCCCCUGUUUAUAAAAAAUAACUUUAUUUCGAGAUUGCCACUAAACUCUUACAUAGAAUUAGUGUAAUGUUAAGAGAGAGUAACACAGUUUUCCAUUACCAUCUUUGAAAAUAGAGAGAUAUGGAUGCAUGCAUUUAAGAGUUAUCAUGAAAAUCAUACAAUUCAAUUUCCUGACAUAUAUAUUUAUGCACGUAUACCAAAAGAAUAAAUAGACAGAAAGUAAAUUUACAGUCCUCACUUCCUCACAAUUGUUAACGUGAAGAUGCAUUACAACUGUGAACUGUCACUACUUUAGCCUUUUUUUUUAAAAAAAAAAAAUUAUAGUGUGAUGGAGACAUCAAGGAUGAGCAUAAAAGUUAAAGAUGACUCAUUUUCUUUUUAAAGUGCUCUGCUGAAAGCCAAACUUCCUUUGGCUAAUUAAUUUAGAAGUAAAGCAGAGAAUAAAGUUCUAGAUGCCUUCUGAAAUUAGAAAUACAUUUUAUAUGCUUUAAUUAUGAUUAUUUGGUAGACUAUUGACCUAAAAGACAUGUUAAAUUAUAAAACAGUGCGAUUAAAAAAAAGAGAGUAUUUGUGACGUAGAAUAACAAUUGGUAAAUAAAUCCUAAAUAUUUGAGUUGUUAAAAGCAAAUAUAACAGAGACGGUAAGAGAGAUGCAGAAACAGAAAACUAUUAGCUUAUCUUGAUUUUCCCACUAUAUUCAUUUUCGAUGCUUUUCAAACGAGAUUCUUUUAAUUCUUCUGGUGUCUGCAGCCCCUGCUCUUCUUAUAGAUCUCCAUCCCACAUCUGCACUACGAACAAGUUGAUUAAAAUUAAAUAAUGUUGGAGACGUGGGGUGAGCCGUCAACUUGGUAAAAAAACUAUGUAUAAUAUUGUUAAUAAUAUAAAAUAUAUAGUAAUAAUUACAAAGAAUCAUAAAUUAGAAAAAUUAAUUAUUUUACAAUCUAUUUCUUAAGUAAGAUAAAUCUCAUAAUAAGUUAAGUUAUAAUGUAAAAAGUAUUUUCAAUUUAUAAUCAUUUAAGAAGUCAUUUAACAAUAAAAUCUUUCUUUUGAUCAAUUGGUCAUGCUACAAAGUAUCAUCUAUAUUUGUGGUGAUAUUAUUAUUACUCCGUAUUCUCAAAAAACAUGAUUUAACAUUUAGAGAAAAUUCAUGCCUUUUAAAAAGAACAUGUAUGCAACAACUACCAAUACUUUAUCUUACCACAACAAAACUAAUGGUGACUAAAUCAAUUUUCUUGAUUAAAGCAAAAUUUCUUAAAAUUGAUUUAAUGCACAAAUAUGAUGACUUUUUGCAAAAAUUAGUUUCGGAAAAUAUAGUGAGAGAAAAUAGUGACGAUUAUUGUUUAGAUGUGUAAAUAGCCUAAACAUGAUCGCUAAUACCAAUAUCCACGUGCAUCUUAACACCUUUCGUGAUAUUCUUUCAUUCAUGGUCACUGGUUCAAGAUUUGAAUUUAAUCAGUAAAUCAUGUUCAAUAAUAUUAGAGAUCCCAACAAUUGAGUACCAAUUUAAAUCCUAAUGCUAUAUGUCAUUGACCAAUAUUGUGUCAUUUUUUGUUAACUGGGUGAUGAAUUUCUAGUUGAUAAAAUUACUUAAAAAUAUCUUAAAAAUCAGACAAUAGUUUGCUUAAUUUUUUGAAGCUAACUGCUCAAGAUGCUCUAUUAGAAAUGAUAACCUAAUUAUAUACAUAAAAAAUGAUGUAUUUUUUGCGGUGUUGAUAGUGAGAUUAUCAUUCAACAUGUUAAAAUAUGAAAACAUAUGGAAGAUGGUUGUAAAUUGGUUGAAUGAGAAUAUUUCAGUGAAGUCUCAAAAAUUUGGUACUUGUUAUCUUAUCGAAAGUUUUCUAAAUUAUAUUCGUGGCACUGCCACUGCUUCUAUGUGAAGGUCAUUAAAAUUUGUGUUAGCUACCUAUAGGUUGAAUAACAAUUUUAUUCAUCAAUUGUUGCUCAAUAUAGCAAUUUGAUUGAAAGUGCCGCUGCACUAAUUUUCUAGAUGAACUUUCCUACAUGUUUGUCCUCAUAUGACCUAGAAUGCUGCGAUAUCAAUUGUAUUGGAAAUUAUUCAGGUGGGUUAGUGCUCUACAUCCCCACCAAAAUAUAAGCAAUGAACAAAACAUUCCUUGUGGAAAUAAACUUAAUUAUUUCGCUACUAGACUUCUAAUGAGGCCCAUUUUCCAGAAUCUGGAUACAAGUUAGAUGUCUCCCAAAAUAUUGGUGGGAGUAGACUAUAGUAGCACUCGACAACAUACUAACGACGCUAUGGUCCACCAGAAAGACCGGUCUCCGGUCAGCCGAAAAAUCUCACGUUCAGUCUCUUCUCAAUCUCCCUUCUCCCAGCCAAGUCGAUCCCGUAACAUGAUACUAAUCCACAGUUGAAUACAUGAUACUAUUAGAUCUUAUUUGAGAAUAUAAAGGGAUCUUUCUAAUUUGAGAACAUAAAUUGCCCAAUAAAGUUGAACUACGUUACCCCGCUCCAUGCACAUACAUUAAAUGUUAACAGCAUGCCAAAACUUGAUGUUGUCAUAUUCGACAUUUCAAAUUAAUAUGCAAGCAAUCUUCGGUGAACAUUACGUUUUUAUUGAAUAAUUUAAAUGGCUAGUAAAUCUAGAGUUCUUGAGCUUUAAUCUAAAUCAAAUCUAUUAUGACUCAAUGUAUUUUUUUGUAUUCGUACCAGUAAUGCAGGGGAUUAUUUACGGAACUCUUAUUAUUGACUGAUAUGUUCACCUUCAUCCAAUUAGAGAAAGAGUGACUGUAGAGGUGGCAAAAAUACCCGUCCGGUUCGGACCCGGACCGUACCCAUUACCCAGCCCGGGUAUGAAGCCGGGUCGGUCUUGGGUAUUACUUGAUAAACCCGGAACUCGGAUUUUAUUAAAAAAAUUAUAAAAUAUAUAUUAUUUUAAAUAUUUUAUAUUUAUUUGACUCAUUUAUUAUACAUAUAUAAAGUUUUAAACACUUAAAGUAUAUAUUUUCUUGUCAAAUUUUAUUGAAAUAAAUUUAAAACUUAUAAAAUUACUAAAAAAUAAAAAAUAUAUACACAUAAAAUAUUAAAAAAUAUAAAAUUCGGGUACUCGAAUUAAAACCCAGCCCGAACCCGGACCCAGACCGGUUGCAUCCGGUAGGGUCCGGUCAUGGCAAUACCCUGACCCCGCCCGGGGUUUUGCCAUCUCUAAGUGACUGGGUUCCUAUAAAGGGACUCUUAACCGUUACGAGAGUAUUCAGACUAAAAAUCUUUAUAAUUAAAUUCAAAGGUGAAGAUCUAUGCUUAUUAUCUAUUUAACAACUAAUAUAUAGUUAUCUAUUCAUUUAAAUAUCAAGGGCUAUGCUAAUAAUUAAGUUGAAAUGUUGAUGAAAGUAGCCCUACAUCUGUAUAUUACUCAUCUACUCUAAUCUUUUUUUUUUUUUAACUUAAUGUACUUUUUCUAAUGUUGUUUACUCUUCCCCCCCCCCCCCUCCUCUGACAAAAUAAUAAGAGUUUAGACUUGAAAAUAUCUUAAAGAUCAAACAGUAAUUUACCUAAUUUUUUGAAGCUAACUGCCAAAGAUAUUCUAUUAGACAUUGAUAACGUAGUUAUAUACAUUUAAAAUGAUUUUUUUUUUUUGUGGAAAGGGAUUAUCAUUCAACAUUUUAAAAUAUGAAAACAUAUGGAAGAUGAUUGUAAAUUGAUUGAAUGAAAAUAUUUCAAUGAAGAUGGUUGUAAAUUGUUAUCUUAUUGAAAGUUUUCUAAAUUUACUACUAUUUGAACUUAGCCCUCCUGGUACCGCCACCAUUUCUGCUUGAAAGUCAUUUAAGUUUGUGUUAGCUGCCUAAAGCUUUUUUUUUUUCUUUUUCUUUUUGAAAAGAGCUGCCUAUAGCUUGAAUAACUAUUUUGCUCACGAAUUGUUGUCCAUUAUAGCAAUUUAUUUAAUUGAAAGUGCGGCUGCAAUAAUUUUCUUGAUGAACUAUUCCACAUGUUUGUUCUCAUGUGAGGCAGUUUUUCUAGAAGAUUGAUAUUUCUUUAAGUCUUUAACUAGCAAAGCAUACCAGUCCAAAGCUAGCCAAACCAUACCUGCUGGUCCAGGGCUUAAAUGGAGUACUUCUAAGCAUAAAACAGUAACAAAAACACAAUAUAUGCAUACAUACAUACCAGCAAAUUCAAAAUAGAAAAAAGAGUGCAACUAUUCAAGAAAUUGGUUAUUGUAGACAAACACACAUACAAACACAUACCAGAAAAUUCAAAAAAUAGAGAAAGGAGGCCAACUAUUCAAGUUUGUAGACAAUAUUGCAAUCAUGGCAUUACUUAUAGCAAGUCCUUGAAAUCUACUAAACAAAACAAUGCUCUGUCUCAUGAAUCAAUGUUGAAUUACAGACGAAAUUGAAAGUCUAGCAGGUGUUGUUUCCCUCUUCGAUUUUGCCUACACAAGUAAAGGGAAAUAAGAAUCAUAAAUGAAAAUCAGCUUUUACAGUUGUAAUUAUUAGAUAGAUCUAGAACGAUCUUUCUUUGUUUCUCUGCUGCAAUGUGCUAUCCCACUCUGUUUUGCUACUAAAAUUGAGUCUAUGUUGAGACAUAAUUUCGACACUAGGAGCAACCGCAAUUAGUUUGGCAUUGCAUUACCCCUUGAAGGUUUUACAAUAGUUGUAAACUUACCGAGAAAGUAGAAAAAAAAGGGCAUAUGGAAUUAGGCAAGUAACUAAAGUAUGAGUCAUCAGAUAUGAUUAAAACUCACCCAAUUCAAUCCAUCAGAUUCCGUAAGGAUAUAACUGGAUGUCAAAACGCCACUCCAUAUCCUCGAACGUCCGUACCCUUUGCCGCAACUCUGUCUGGGGCCAGUGUAAGUCCAAUUUGCGCAAGCUCUUUAUGCACCAUAGCUCUUCUGGAAGCUUCCUCAAGUAAGCACAUGGGUUGACAAUUAAGCUUUCAAGUUUUGGCAUUGCUCCUGCCCCCAUCGUCCACUCAUCUAGCCAAUACAUUGACUUUAGGUGCAAAAUCUUAAGUUCCGGAAAGCCACCAGAGUCAACACAGGCCAACUUUCUUCCUAAAUACGAGUUCUUCUUCAGUUUCAGCACUUGAAGGCGUGGAAGCUUUUCCAGCUUUGGCAUGGGAUCCUCCAUUAGCUCAGUAUUUGAUAAGCUCAGAUGGCUCAGACUUAAAGGAAAUUCGUAUUCAGACAGGACAAUCCGUGAGAGCUUGCUCUCAUUCACUAGUUCCAAGCAUUCAAUUUUGUGGAGUUCGCAUACGCUUUUGGAAACCCCAGAGUGAUGGCAACUCAAAUCUCCAGAUAUCUGAAGCGUUUGAACAUUAGGUAGUCUGCCUAAUAUAUCUGGCGUGCAACUACUAGGGUGUAAGGAUGAUAUGAAAAAAAGAUUUUUCAGAGAGCUGGAAUAAUUUUUUGGAGGUGCAGGCAGAGUGAUGGAACCAAAGUUCAGAUGCAUGAGUUUUUGCAUCUUCCAAAUAUCCUCUGGUGUUUGAUCUACGUAGCUAGAUGGCAUGUCUAGUGUUUGAAGGUUUGAAAGGGUGCAUAGCGGUGAAGGAAGACAUUUGAGCGAAGGGAUAUUCAAUUUCAAAUACUUCAAAUGGAAUAAAUUUUCUAAUCCGGGUGGAUAUUGGUCCAGGACUGCAGAACCCCUGUUCAAUACCCGAAGGUGUUUGAACAUUUUACAAAAAUUCUCGCAAUCUAUCGGAUUAAGAUGAUCGCUUUCUGAACUGUAAUUCAGAAAAGAUUGAUUAGUUCUUUCAAGUAAUGUUCGGCCGUCCCCUCACUGUUGUAUGGUAUGAAACCUUCAGCUACCCACAACUAAUAUAAUUGUGUGGUAGAUAUCUGAAUGCCUGGAGGGAAGACAAACAAAUAGAUGCAGCAGACUUUCAAGUGAAAAGGUAACUCCAUCACAGAAUAAAUUUGUCUCCAAGCUGUCGGAAUCGCUUCGCCUUGAAAAUAAUUUUCUAAUGGCAUACUUCCGUAGUGUAGGACGAAAAAUUGCAAGCCUUCAAACUUUAUUCUAAUCAGUGGUCCUCCAACGAGCACUGAAUCAAGCCGAAUCUCCUCUGCGUUUUCCAUUUCCAACGACGUAAGGAGUCUUGGAUCAGCGACCAAUAUCAAUACUCUGCUUCCAUUCUGAUUAUCAGGAAGAACUUCUUCAAGAUCAUCCCAUAUCUCACUGUCAUCGAAGACAUCAUCAAGCACAAUAAAGUACUUACUGUUUGUUAGGUAAUCUCGAAGAAUAGAUUUCUUCAAUUGAUAAUCUUCACCGAUAAUUACCCUAACCCGAGCUGGAGGCAUCACAGACUUGAUUAUGUCAUCCAAUAUCUUGCCAAAAUCGUAGGCAAUAGAAACCCUGACCCAAGCAAGAGUCAAAAUAGAACUUGACAUGAUUAUUGUUAAAAGUAUCAGCAGCAGAAGCAGUCUUAUCGAAGCCACUGCUGUCGAAAAUUGCAACCACUGAUAUCGAUAGAUCAAACAACUUCUCUCUGCCCUUUUCAAAUUCACUGAUAUCGAGCCGAGGUUGUCCCUCAUUCAAUAGGCGAAUGAUUUUGUUACUUUGUUCACUGAUAUCAAAACCAUUGUCGCCGGGUGGAAGUUGUUGCAUCUGAUUUCUAAUAUCAAAGUGAAAAAUUGCUGCUUUCACUUUCGUUUUCACUGUUUUGCUGCUGCAUGAUGUUGAUAUUGACAUAAUUUUAUUUUAGUUUUUGGGGAAAAAAAUAUUUGUUGACAAGCAAGAAAAUAUUUUUAUAUUUUAAAUUUAUUAUACAUAUUUUAUCAUUUUAAAGUAAUUUUAAUAAUAAAUAGAAACAUAAUAUUACGAUAAAUAAAUUAAAGUUUAAAUUAUUUUAAAUAUUAUAAAAAAUAAUUCUAAUAUUAUUAAUAGGAAGACAUUUUGUUAAUUUUAAAAUUUUUUAACCCAAAGGUUUAUUUAAAAUUUUUAUUAUAAAUAAAAAUAUAAAAUUAAAUAUCAUAAUUUAAAUUUUUUAAUAUUAUUUAAGUAUUAAAAAUAUUUUAAUGUUAUUAGUCUACUACAUAGAUCAUAUUACUUAUAUUAUAUUUGUAAUGAUUAAAAAUUUUUAAAAUCAAUUUUCUAGUUACUAUAUUCACGAGAUAUUAUGGUUAAAGAAAAGACCUUGGUGUUACUUUUUACAAAUUUGAGUGCCUACAUGAUAAUUUUUUCAAAAUUUAAGAAUGUAUGUAUCCUUUUCUCCAAUAAUUUAUUUCACUUUUGAGGGGAAUCCAAUGAGAGAUAUGAUAAGAGAACGUCAAUUAGUUGUCAUUUUCUACUUUUUCUGUAAGCUAUUUAUUUUGAGCAUUAGUGAUCUUGUCUGGACUACUCCAAUUAUUGAUGUAACUCCAGUGACUGCAUCCACAAUUGAAUAUAUGAUAGUGUUAGCUCUUAUUUGAGAAUUUAUAUAGUCUUGCUGUUAAAGAACUCACUGAGGCAUUAUUGAUUCAAUUUCAGUGGAGCAAUCGCGGGUGAAGGAUAAAUAAAGGAUCAGAACAGAGCUGAAGUGCUAAAUUGGCUAUUGAAGAAGGAUGUCACAUGAUCACAAUCACAUUGAUGCACAACUCUCUGGAGGCAAAUUUUGUCUUUAUGUACUCUAAAUUCAGCCAAACCAUACAUGCAUGAACAAAAAUUAAACCGUCGUUCUAAUCACAACAGUAAUUGAAGCUCCAAAAGCAAGAAAAUCUGAACAAAGACUUAAAAGAAAGAUCUUAUUCAAGUUUGUCCCCAAAAGACAGCUGAAAUGAAAAAUAUUGACUAUUGAAUGGAUCAAUGCUGAAUUACAUUUGAAAUGGAAAGCUUGGCUGCAUCUAUGAUGUUUCCCCCUCUGAUUUUCCCCCAAAACAAAUUUAGUUGUAAACAAUAACGGAAGCAGCAAUAAUUUAUUCACCAAAGAAAAUGCCCAAGAUUUCAACUAACAGAUCCUCUUAUCUAAACUAAAAGAACUCAUAUCUCUAAAAUCUACCCGCAAAAUGUUGGAAAUGAGGGAUGAUCUGUCAACUCGAUAAAUAAACUCAUGCAUAAUAUUAACAAUAAUGGUAAAUUACAUAAUAAUUAUUAUAAAGAAUCAUAAACUGGAAACACUAAUCAUUCUACAAUCUAUUAUAUAAGUAAGAUAAAUCUCAUGAUAAGUUAAGUUAUAACGUGAUAAAUAUUUUCAAUAUAUAAUUAUUUAAGAAGUCAUUUAAUAAUAUAUAUUUUUUAUUUUGUUGAUCAUGUCAUAUAGCGUUAUCUAAACUCCUGACAAAAUUAUUAUUACUCACUUUUCUCAAAAAAACAUGAUUAACGUUUAGAGAAAAGUCAUGCCUUUUAGAAAGAAUAUGUAUACAAGCUAUCCAUACUUUAUCUUACCGUGACAAAAUUGAUGGUGAUUAAAUCUAUUUUUAAAAUAGAUUUAAUGCACAAAUAUGAUGACUUUUGGCAAAAAUUAGUUUCGGAAGAUAUAGUGGUAGAAAAUAGUGAUGAUUAUUGUUUAAAUGUGUAAAUAGCCUAAGCAUAGCCCGUAAUACCAAUAUCCAUUUGCACCUUCAUUUGGAUUAUCACAUUUCAUGAUAUUUUUUCAUUCAUGUCCAUUGAUCAAGAUUUGAAUUUGAAUAUAAAUUAAGCUGCAAGGGAGCUUACUUCGGUUUCUAAGCUUUCCAAUUGUGAUUCCUGCAUGCCUUGCUCUGAUACUAUUUUGUUACAUACCAAUGUAACCAACCUUGUAAUUGGUCUGUAUAAGAAAUCAAGCCCUUUUAGAAUCGUUUUCUUUUGUUUCCCCAUUGUAGUAGUCAACUAAAUAAAGAAUGAACAACUGAACUUGAUCUAUUUUGAUGAAGACCAAGGCCUUCAAUACUAGAUGAACUUUGAAGAAGAUUAAUCUACUGCUUUUAUUCAUCUUUGGACUAUGAAUUUAUACAAAGACUUUAACAGAAAAUAACAAAGACACAACUAAAUGAUAGCAACAAGUGUUGACUUACUGGACCACUUCUACAAGUAAAAAAAAACUAAAUAUUUAUUUUGACUAUAACAACAACUACCCUGAUGAACAACACUCCACAGCAGCCACGUGACAACUAAUUUCUCCUUAAUAUUAUUAUUAGUAGAAGUAGAUUUUCAAACUAGUCUUGAUAUAUUUCAAAGUUGUAUUAACAAUUUAUAUGUAUCUAGAUUGUAACUAUAUUUUUUAAAAAUAAAAUAUUUUAAUUAUUGCACAUUAAAUGUAGAAGAAUAUCUGUAAAAUAAUAUUAUUAGGACUAAAAAAUAUUAUUUUAGAUAAGUUAUUUAUUUAUUAUUGAAUUAAUAAUUUAUUAAUUAUUAGCAGAAGUAUAUUUUCGAACUAGUCUUGAUAUAUUUCAAAGUUGUAUUAACAAUGUAUAGGUAUCUAGAUUGUAACUAUAUUUUUAAAAAAUAAAAUAUUUUAAUUAUUGCACAGUAAAUGUAGAAGAAUAUCUGUAAAAUAAUAUUAUGAGGACUAAAAAAAUAUUAUUUUAGAGAAGUAUUUUUUUAUUAUAGAAUUAAUAAUUUAUUAAUUAAUUUAUAAAUGAAUAUUUAUUAAUUUAAAGAGAGACUUUUUUGGUUUUAUGAAGAGUAUGUUUGGUACAUGUUCACACUUAUAAAGAAACACAAAAAAUGCUUCCUCAAGUCAACGGUAUUUGCUUUAAUCGCUACUGUUCAUAAUAAUAUAGCUUAGUUAGGAAAUUUGUAAUUAUAAUAUGACUCUUUUAGUACAACUUUUCAAGUAGAGUUUAUUUAGGUAGAGAUUUUGUUAGGAGAGGUAUUAUAAAUAGAGAUUUCACUAAAAAAAUUUAAUUAUUUGAUUAUAAUAUCCAAAUUGAAGAACUUUUGUUCUUUUGUUAACAUCUGUUUGUUUUACUUAAUAAUAAAAGUUUAGUUUACAAUUACACCGGUGUCAAAUCAGCAGAGCAUCGGCAAGAGUUUUCGAUUGUUGCAAUUUGCAAUGCAUGCGGUACAUGCACGCACUAAUAAAGAAACACAAAAAGUGCAUUCUCAAGCCAAUAGUAUUUGUUUUUAAUCGCUACUUUGCAUAAUAAUGUAGCUUAGUUAGGAAAUUUGUAAUUAUAUUAUGCCUCCAUUUGGUAUAAUUUUUUAAUUAGAACUUAUUUAAGGAGAACUAUUGUUUGUAGAGUUUUUAUAAAUAGAAAUUUUAAUUAAAAAAAAUUAUAAUUAUUUAGUUGUCAAUGUCCAAAUUGAUGAACUAUUGUUCUUUUUGUUAACAUGUGUUUGUUUUACUUAAUAAUAAAACUUUAGUUUACAAUUACACCGGUGUCAAAUCAGCAGAGCAUUUUUGCAGCCCGUCACAUUAUACAUUAUACUAAUAGCAUCGGCAAGAUUUUUCGAUUGUUGCAACUUGCAACGCACGCGAUGCGAGAAAAUGAGAAUCUUGUUUAAUUGUGAAUAAUGACAAACCUAAUCCUUUCAUUAGGAGCAAUUUAAUAAUCGUUUGUUAUAAUUGAAUAGGUAUAAAGAAAGGACAACUCUAUUCAUAGAUUCGGCUUAUUUUUUGUUUAAAGUAAUUAAUCCUCUAAAACUGAAUUUUAUUUUAUCUGGUGCAUGUUAAAUGAUGUGAGGCCUAAUUUAGGUUUUUGGUUAGCGAAUCAAUUUCAAAGUGUGCUUAAACGGUAUAGGACUUUAUUUCCUGGUCCAUACAUUACUCUGUUAGCUAUAAACCUAUGUGUGCUUGAUCCCGACAAUAAUGAUUUGCAUCCUGCUUGCAAAAAGGAAUUUUUGGAUAUGUCUGUGUUUGAAAGAACAGGUGUGGUCGAAUUCAAGAAGGGGAGAUUUUAGUUUACUGAACCAGGACCCACUCAACUUCCGAAGAAGCUUUAUGCUAGGAGUGGUGCUACCUCUGAUGACGAGUUUGACGACGACACUGCUGCCCCGCCAACUAUUCCUUCUACAUCCGCACCACCUUUGAGCAUUCAGUUAGAGAAAAUGGAGCACAAGCUGAACAAGAUGGAGCAGAAUUUGGCCGCAUACUUCGAGAGUGUGGGAUUUACCCCACCAUUUUCGCCAAGCCCAUAGACGUUAUGUGGAUCAAAGCUCACAAUUCAGGGAAGUUUCUUUUUGCCCUUAAUCUUUUAUCCUUACGCUUUAAUUUUUAUGUGAGCUUUGAUUAUCUUACAUUGGGGACAAUGUAAGUUCUUGGUGUGGGGGAGGGAUUUUGAUGUCUGGAAUUAUUAUUUUCACUCUACUCAUAUAUUUUCACUCUACUCAUCCUUAAAUGAUUUUGGAGUUAGUAUGCUUCAUACAUUAUUAAUUUUCUUUUCCUCUCUCUCUCACUACUCUUUUCCCAUCUAUCUCAAAUUAUUUACAUCUAUUUUUAUUCUAUCAUACUCUUUCAUCACUCACAUUUUAUCUUUCACUUUUCAUAUUACUACAUACAUCUUUCUCACUUCUUAUCAUUUUUACAUUUUCUUUUAUAUAUCACUCAUACCUUCUUCUCAUUCUACACCACUAUUGAUGGUUGAUUCAUUUGAAGAGUGUACAUGAUUUGAUGGCAAAUUUACCAACUUUGUGAGGAUUUGAGCCUAUGAGCAACCACUUUGCUCUAAUAUUUUUGUUGUGUGAAUAUCAAUCUUAGUUUGUUUAUUGUAGAACUUGCUUUGUUAUGCAUGUUGAAGCCGCAUUACGGGAUUUUAUGCAUUAAAAUGAUAAGGGCAAACCCUUUUCCAUUUUUCUAUUCUCGCAUUUUUUUUUCUCUACCCGAAGACCUUUAUUUGCUAUCUUUGUUUGAGCCUUAACCAUUACCCACCUAAUUUUCUCCGUCUACUUAACCAUUUUUCUUCUUUUUGAGCCUCAAUUUACGGAGAUUUUUGGACUCAUUGUGUGGAUGUAUUUUGUUGCUUUUUCUACCUUGUAAUAAAGUUUCUCAAUUAGAUCAACAAGCAUUAUGCUUGAAUUAAAUUGUGCAAGGUUCGUUUCUUUUGUUUGAUUCAAAAAUAAAAAAAAACAACAAAAAAAAAGAAAAAGAAAAAUCCAAAAAAAAGAAAAAAAAAUGUUUACAUUCUUGGUGACUUGAGUAGAAAUAAGUAUUUUGAUAUCAUAAGUUCAUUCAAUGAGUUCAUUCUUCUCAUUUUGAUCUCUUUUUCUUUCGUAAACCUUUCUUUUUCAUUCAACCUAUUUAACCCCAUUACAACCCUUUUAAGACCCUUAGAUUUUUGCAUUUUAUUCAUGUUUUGUGGAUUGAGAUGUGAUAUAUGAGCAAGCUUAUGGUAAUAGCAUUCUUUGAUUUGAUUUGAGUGAAUAAAUGACACCCUAAACACUUUGAGUGCAUGGAGUGAAGUUAUUGAGAGGGCUAUUAAAUCUUGUUGCACUUGAAUUUUGAAUGGAUCUUCUUGGUGGUUGAAUGUUCUUAUUCUAUCUUAUGAAAUUCUAUGCUUUAAAAUCCUUGUCUCUUGAAUGUUGAUCGACUUAAUUUCUUGAGGUAUGCUUGCUUAAAAUUGUUUUUGGAUGAGUUGAGAUGAGAAUUGAGUGGAGAUUUGAGAUUAAUCUUGAGUUAUAUGCUUGAGGACAAGCAUCAUCUUGGUGUGGGGGAAUUUGUUAGAGUGCAAUUUAUGCACUAGUUUUGCAUUGUUUACUUCCCUUAAUAUCGAUGUUUUACACUUAAUAAUAGUGAUUUACUUGUGUUUUACUUUUGUAGGUGCAAUUCUAUUGAUUGGUGAUAAAAUUGAGCUAUAAGAUGAUGUUUAAGGAUGAUUGUUCUCUUGGAGAAAUUAUGAGCGGCAGAAGAACUUUGUUGAUAAGGCGUGGGCGCGUGCUGUCAACUGCGGACCUGCAGUUUUUAGUUUAACAUGUUUUGUAUUUUUGUAAUUACGAAUUUAAUAUUUCAGAUAUUAGUAUUUUAUUUUAAAUAGAAUUCUAAAAGAGAGGAGAGAGAGAGAGUAUUUAAGGGAGGAAUCUAUUGUGAAAAAGGGGGAUUUAGAUUGGAGAAAAGAAAAUAAACCCUAAAUCUAAUUUUUCUCUUCUCUCUAUGAAGAACUAAACUUAUUUUUUCUGGUUGAAGGUUAAUGAAGCUUUGAUUCAUCACUACUGUGAGAUCUUUUUUAUGCUUUAAUUGUUUUAUUACUUUUUGGGUAAUUGUUUAUUCUCUGAAUUAGUUUCAUGAUUAUGUUUGUUAAUUAGGUAAUUGGCCACUAUUUAAUUAUCAACUUAAUCUAUUGUCAAUUAAAGGAUUCAUCGUAUGAAGAUUUUAAUGUUUGUGACAAAUAACAUAGCAGUGAGUUGUGUUAUGAGAAUAAACAAUCUAAUUUAAAUGAAUCAUCAUAUGUGUUGAUUAGGAUUUGGAUCUCUCUGGUUUUUCAGGCUGUCAAUUGAUUAAAUCCUAUGAUCGUAUCUAGGGUUGUCUAUUGAUUAGGGAAAUAUCCAACGGUCGUACCUUGGUUAUCGACUAGUUAAGGAGAGAUUGGCUAUUAGAGGGUCUCAAUAGCUAUAACCGGUCUAUUCAUAAGUAAUAAUAAUCUAUAUUUGAAUCAAUGAUCAGUAGUCGAAUCAAGCUGAGUUAAUUCCUUCAACCAGAGCUUUCUCUAAUUUGAAUUACAACUUUAAUUUGCAUUCUUGUUAUUUUAAUUUGAUUUUUAUUAUUGUCAACAAUUCCCCCAUUUUACUUUUUACGUUUCAAAAGGAUUUAAAUAAUUACCGAUCUCUGUGGACACGACCCUGCUCAAUCACUAUACACAAUUUAUUUAGAGUAUGAAUUUAUUUUUGUUGGCUUCGACAACCAUCGGUAGUAAAAGAAUUUUACUCCAAUUUGGUAAGCCCUGGUCAGCACAACAUUUGGGUAAGAAACUCACUUGUUCCAUUAGACUCUCGAGUUAUAAAUGUUUUUUAUAAUUUACCUGCUGAAAUUAAUUGUGAGUAUGCCAAGUUGCUUGACAAAUUGACCCCGCAACAAUGGAACACGAUUUUCACGACACUUACAGUAGAGGGUGCAUCGUGGGCUAAUGAGGACGGGCGUGUAAUUAACAGGAUAGAUUUAAAACUCAUUGCUAAGGUGUGGGUGAAAUUUCUGAAAUCUAGGCUUAUGCCAACCACCCACACCACUACUGUUUCACAGGAAAGGUUGGUGUUGUUAGAUGCUAUUGUUAGAGGGCUUCCCAUAGAUGUGGGAAGUAUUAUCGAAAAAGAAAUUCGAGUUUGUACCAUGAAAAACCACAAGGCUGCUGCCUUGUUAUUUCCUUCACUCAUAACCAGCAUAUGUAUAGUAUCAGGUGUUCAUCUUGAUGCAAAGGAUGAAAUUUGUAAUUAUAUUAUGGCUCCAUUUGGUAUGACUUUUUAAUUCGAACUUAUUUAAGGAGAAUUUUUAUUAGUAGAGUUUUUUAUAAAUAGAGAUUUUACUAAAAAAAUAAUUAUAAUUAUUUAGUUGUCAAUGUCGAAAUUGAUGAACUAUUGUUCUUUUUGUUAACAUGUGUUUGUUUUACUUAAUAAUAAAAGUUAAGUUCACAAUUACACCGGUGUCAAAUCAGCAGAGCAUUUUUGCAGCCAGUCACAUUAUACAUUUUUGCAACUUGCAAUGCAAGCGACGAGAGAAAAUGAGAAUCUUGUUUAAUUGUCAAUAAUGACAAACCUAAUCGUUUCAUUAGGUGUAAUUUCAUAAUCGUUUGUUAUAAUUGAAUCUGUAUAAAGAAAGGAAAAUUAUAUUCGUAGAUUCGACUUAUUUUUUGUUUAAGGUAAUUAAUCAUUCAACCAUCUUCAUUUGCCCCUGGCCACUGCCCUUGUAGAUUAGUUGAAGCGUUAAUUACUUAAUUUAGAUAAUUACAACGUCCUUUUCGCUAAUUAAUUAUGAUUAUAUACGUUUUCAUAUAGCAAGUGGCAUUGUAGAUCUAAAUUAUGUUGCUAUUUCAAUACGUUAAUUAAGUGAUUCUCCUCAUUGUCAUCAAGUGGAAAAUAGCUCAAUUGUUUCCCUGCAUCGAUUUUCAUUGGUAAGUGAUUUCUUAUGAUAUUCGUUUGAGCUUUCCUUAUUAAAAAAGCUUGAGCCUUGAUCACCUAAUACUGAUAUCAAUUUACUUGUGAACGAUUUUGUAAUGAAAUUAGGAGUUAAAUAUAUAAGAUUUUUACCUGAUGAAUUUUGAUUUUUUUUUUAAUUUUUUGAUGUAGUCAAUUUGCGAAUUUUAUAUGUUUCAUAUUCAACGGAAUUUGGGCACGGAAAGUUUGGAUUCUAAUAUUUAUAUAUUUAGCUUUAAUCAGUUUGACUUUAGCAAUCUUUUUCCCUCAUCAUUAAGGGAUUCAGAAUUAGAGAAACGCUAGGAAGAGGAAGAAAAUAACUUUGGAAAUAAGUAAGGGGGAAAAAUUAUGAAAUUUUGAAUUAUUUUUUGUAAAAUAUGUUGCGUUUACUAAACUUGAAUUAGAAUGAGCUGAAAUUAGAAUGAUUAGGAAUGCAAAUGUGCUGAAAUCGGAAUAGGUAAUGAGAAUAAGAAUAAGUUGUUUACUUGAACUGUAAAAAUCAAAAUCGAAAUGAGCUGAAUUGCAAUUACUUUAUCUUGGAAGCGGAAUUGGAAUCGGAAUGAGUUAGAUUGUAACAAAUUACUAAAAAGUACUUAAUGAAUUAUUGUCAUAAUUAUUAUUUUAUAUUUUAAUUAUAGUGAUUAUUUAUUCAAAAAUUAUUAUUAUUAAUUAUUUUCAAUAAUAUAUUAAUAUGUUAAUUAAUUUUAAAAAUUAUUAAUUAAUUUAUUAUAAUAAUAUACUAAUUAAUUAUAAUAAUUAUAAAAAUAUAUUAAUAAUAAAAUUACUAAUUUAAUUAUAAUAAUAUAUGAAUUAAUUAUAAUAAUUACUAAAUUAAUUAUAAUAAUUAUAUUAGUAAUUAUUAUAAUAGUAUAUUAAUUAAUUAUAAUAAUAAAAAUAUAUUAAUUAUGUGAUUAUUUAUUCAAAAAUUAUAAUUAUUAAUAAUUAUUGUUAAUAAUGUAUCAAUAUACUAAUUACAUAUAAUAAUUAUUAUAAAAAUAUAUUAAUUAUUAAUAAUAAAAUUACUAAUUUAAUAAUAAUAAUAAUAAUAUAUUAAUUAUGUGAUUAUUUAUUCAAAAAUUAUAAUUAUUAAUAAUUAUUGUUAAUAAUGUAUCAAUAUAUUACUUAAUUAUAAUAAUAUAUUAAUUAAGUAUAAAUGAGGACAAAGGGGGUAUUUUUAAUUUCACGUAGGGGCAAAAUGGUCAAUUCUAGUAAUGGGAGACUCACUCCCACCCUCUCCCUUGGGAAUGAGUCUCCCAUUCCUCAUUCCCAAAUUGUGGUGGGCCCCAUGAUUUUGACUCUGAUUUUUGACUCAAUUUUGCGAAGUAAACGCUACUAAUGAUUCUGAUUUUGGAUUCUGAUUCACUUAUCCGAGAAGUAAAAGCAACAUAAAUGUGUAUGAAUAAUUGAUACCUAUGAAUAGUUUUGGGAGUUUUAGUUAGGAGUCAUUUAUUGAAGAUGUUUAGCAAUUAAAGAUCUCUGACUCAGUAGUUUUCCCAAUCAAAAUCAAGAAGCAAAACAACUUGCCAUUUUUCUACUUGAUAAUUAAUUGAAAUUUAAGAAAAUACAAUGGCAUUUCAAUUAGAAAUGGUAAUUGUUUAUCUUUUUUCAUUGAUCAAAUUCUAAUCGUGAUCCAAUAGUUAUGGAUGAAGGAAAUAUUAUGAGAGGCGAUAGGCCAAGUGAAGACGUACCAGCAAAUUCAAAAUAGUCGGGAGGUGGACGUCCAGCAUAUCUCCUUCUCUCUGUAGCACCCAGAUGUAUUGUUAUUUGCUCCAAGAAAUGUUAAAAGGAUUGGCCCUAUCUCAAUGUGGUUAGUGGUGAAAAAUUAAACACCAUGGAAGGAUUUGCAAGGAAUAUGCCAAGAAACUGGCUAAGUUCCACAAAUAUGGCAUUAUUGCUCUUUUUUUUUAAAGAAAAAUUAUACACGUUAAUUUAGCAAAAAGUCUAAGACACAUGCCUUUUGAAAAGAAUAGCUAUUACCAUGACACAAUCGAUGCGGCUGAAACCAAAAUUUUCUUUUCUUAAUGUAAAGAUUUUUUUUAAAUAGAUUUUAAUAUUAAAAUGCCCUUCGAUGUUAUUACUGUCACAAGCCCUGUAACAGGAGUAAUAAAAAUUUUUAGAAUUUGUUGGGCAUGAAAAAAGUAGUAUUAAACAUCAGCAAGCAAAGGUUGUUCUGUUAAAGAAUUGAUAUUGACGUGAUUUUAUUUUGGUUAUCGAGAAAAAAAAAUAUAUUUGUUGAUAAGUAAGAAAAUAUUAUUAUAUUUUACAAUCUAUUAUACAUAUUUUAUUAUAUUAAAUAACACUAAAUAGAAACAUAAAAUUAGAAUAAAAUAAAUUAAAAUUAAAAUUAUUUUGAAUAUUAUGUAAAAAAUAAUGUUAAUAUCAUUGUUACUUGUAAAAUAUAUUUAGCCCAAAGAUUUAUUUAAAAUUUUAUAAUAAAUAAAAAUAUAAAAAUAAAUUAAAUAUCAUAGUUUAAAAUCUUAAUAUUAUUUUAAAUAUUAAAAAUACUUUAAUGUUAUUAAUCUACUACACAUGUUAUAUUAUUUAUAUUAUAGUUGUAUUAAUUAAAAAUUUUAAAGUCAACUUUCUAGUAACUAUAUUCAAAGGUAUUAUGGUUAAAUAAAGGUCUUAGUGUUUCUUUUCAAAAUUUGAGGGUCUACAUGAUAAUUUUUCCAAAUCCUAAGGUAUAGGUGUCCUUUUUAUCAAUAAUUUAUUUCACUUUUGAGAGAAUAUGAUGAGAAAUAAGAUCAGAGAAAUGUCAAUUUAAUGUUAUCUAGCUUAAUGAUAAAAAAAUGGAAACCAAGAACUAUUCAAUUUUGUAUUUUUUGUUUGUAAUUCAAAAAAUCCAUCCACCAAACAAGUUUCACGCAUUUAUGUUAUCAUAAAACAAAAAAAAAAACAGUUUGUGAAAAAAUGGCACCAAACAUACACUUAAUGUCCCACAUGAUUUCUUAUGAAGCCCAUAUUAGAUAUAUUUAUACAUUUUACUGCAUUUAGGACAUGUUUGAUAGCCUGCAUUAUAUAGGAUAAAAACACAAUUUUGUAUUAAAUUAAUGCACACUCACGUUUGGCGCUAAAAGUAACUCCAGCCACAUUGCAUUAAUGGACUGCUAAUGCGGCAAUUGCCGCACUAGCUUGCCUCUUUUUCUUUUUAAUUUUAUUUAUAAUAAUAAUAAUUACAUAAUAUAACUUUUUAUUUUAAUAUAAUAUUAUAUAAUAUUAAGUAUAAUUUUUUUUACAUUAUAAUUAUUGAUAUAAAUUAAUAAAUUAAUUAUUUAUUAUUCAAUAAUAUUAUAUUAUAUAUUUUUUUUAUUUUUACAUUAUAAUUUAUUAGUAAAUUUAUAAUUUAAUAUAAUUAAUAAUAAUAGAAAAUAUCAUUACAUGUACUACAAAACUCUUACUUGGAUUAUUUAACACAAUUUAUUUUAUUCGUGAAUAUGUUAUAACAAUUGUAUCACUUUAUUAUUUUGUUAUUAUUUUGUGGUAUGUAUAAAUUUUUGUUCUAUUAUCCUAAGAUGACUUUUGAACUAAUCUUAUAAGUUUUAACUAUUUAUUUAUGUUGUUAUAUUAUUAGAGAUUAUUUGCUUCGAUCUUUAUUUUACAGGUCAUAUAUUUAGAAAUUACUGAAAAAUAAAUGUUAUACUUCCCAAAAUUUAAGGCUAGAAGCUCGAUCUUUAUGAAGAAUUUUGAUAUUUUUUAACAUUUACACUAAAAAAAAUUGUUAAAUUUCUAAAAUUUAAGACUUCUAUAUUUAAUAUUUUUCUAAUUACUAAUAAGUAUUAUUUUCUAAAUAUAUAAUUUAAAUUAAUCACAAAAAAUUAAUAUAGUACAGUGCAAUAUCAAAUAUAGUAUAAUUAAAAAUUAUACAGUGCAAUAUAGCACCAAAUAUUGUACACUAUUAUUAUAAUAUAGUACUAAUGCAAUACAAUAUAAUACAAUAUAGUGUGCCAAACGCACCCUCAGAAUGUGUUUGGAACAUGGGAUUAUAGGGUAUUAAAACACUGUUCACAUUAGCUUAAUACCAAUCUCAUGUUUGGAAAGAAAUUUUAAGGGAUUAAAGGGGGGUGAGCUAAUGUCAUAACUGCGUCAUUAGUGUCUUGGUUUUUUUUAAAUAAUAAAAAAAAUAUAAAUUCCUAAUUUUAUGUAAAAUUAUAUAAUAUUAAUUUUUAUUUUCUUUGAUCUUUACAUCAUAAUUAUUAAUAUAAGUUAAUAAAUUUAUAAUUUAUUAUUCAUAUUUUAAUUUUUAUUAUAUUAAAAAUAUAACUAAAUAAUUUAAUUUUAAUUCUAUAAUAAUUAAUGUAUAAAAUUGAUUAAUAUUUAAUAAGUCAAUACAACUAGUAAUAAGUGCUUAAAUAAUAUAUAAAAAUAAAAAUAUAACAUAAUAUUACAUUAUUUAAUUAUAUUACAAUAACUAAUAUAUAAAAAUUGAUUAUUAUUUAACAAUUUAAUAUAGCUAAUAAUAGAUACUUAAAUAAUAAUUUAAUAUAACUAAUAAUGAAUAUUUAUAUAUGAAUAUAUUUAAAUAAUAUUAAUUUAAAAUUAAUACCAAUAUAUAUAAUAAUAUAAAAUAUUAUUACAUGUACUGUAGUAUUCUUACUUGGAUUAUUUAGCGCAAUUUAUUUUAUUAGUGAAUAUGUUACAAUUAUUGUAUCACUUUAUUAUUUAAAUUAAUCAAAAAAAUUAAUACAGUACAAGAUAGCACUAAACAUUAUAUAACAUUAUUAAAAUACAGUGUUAAUGCAAUAUAAUGUAAUACAAUACAUCUAUAUUAAAAUAAUAUAAUAUAAUAUAAUUUAAUAUAAUACAAUAUGUCAAAUGCACCCCGUGUAUUUUAAUUUCAAAAGAAGUUGGUCCUUCCUUUAUUUAUAAAAGAUAACUUUAUUUUCAGAUUACCACUAAUUACGAUUAUUUGGUAGACUAUAGACCUAAAAGACAUGUUAGAUUAUAAAACAGUGCGAUUAAAAAAAAAAGAGUAUUUGUGACGUCAAAUAACAAUUGGUAACUAAAAUCCAAAAUAUUUCAGUUGUUAAAAGCAAAUAAAAAAAAGAAGGUAACAGUGAUGCAGAAACACAAUAUUAGCUUAUCUUGAUUUUCCCACUUUAUUCAUUCUCAAUGCUUUUCAAAAGAAAUUCUUCUAAUCCUUCUGGUGUCUGCAGCCCCUUAUCACGGGACGAGAGGUUUUGAGCCCGCGUGGCACUCUCGCAUCCCAUACUACGAGAGUAAACCUAGUGGAAGUGGCACAAUAUCGACUGGUUUCACCCUGCCUUGGGCUCAUCAGGAGAACGGCUCCAGUUCCCAACCAGUGUGUGUAGGGCUUCGCUUAGACUCCUCUUCAACGUUAAAUCCUCGACUAGCAACAAGCUCCCCAAAGUCAACUGGGUUGGCCUGCCUGAACUCCAAGAAAUCUAGGAUCAUUGUAUUCCCCACACGCACGCCCCUGAAGCACGUCUCCUGCAAUCAGCACAACUAUUAUCGAUACUAGUGUACAAGCGCAUAUCUUCGGCAUCACAAUUGCAGUCCGUGACACCCUGCUCUUCUUAUAAAACUCCACCCCAAAUCUAUACUACAAACAAGUGGAUUGAAAUUAAAAAAUUGCUUUUUGAAGUGGACCCAUUGAGUCGUGGUCAUUACUCGUCAUUGUCUAUUUUUUCUAUGAGCCAUUUAUUUUGAGCAAUAGUGAGCUUCUCUGAACUACUCCAAUUAUUGAUGUAACUCCAGUGGCUGCAUCCAUAGUUGAAUAUAUGAUAGUAUUAGCUCUUAUUUGAGAAUAUAGGGGGAUCUUUCUUUGUUUCUUUGUUGCAAUGUUCUAGUAUAUAGUCUUGCUGUUAAUGAAUUCACUGAGGCAUUAUUAAUUCAAUUUCAGUGAAGUAAUUAUGGAUGAAAAAUAAAUAAAGGAUAACAGAAUAGAGCUGAAGUGCUGAAUCGGCUAUUAAAGAAAGUGUCACGCGAUCACAAUCACACUGAUGCACAACUCUCUCGAGGCAAAUUUUGUCUAUAUGUACUCCAAAUUCAGCCAAACCAUACAUGCCUCAACAAAAUUAAACCGUAGUUCUCAUCACUACAGUAAUUGAAGCCCACAAAGACAGCUGAAAUGGAAACUUAAAACGAAGAUCUUAUUCGAGUUUGUCCCCAAAAGACAGCUGAAAUGGAAAAUAUUGACUAUUGAAUGGAUCAAUGCUGAAUUACAUUUGAAAUGGGAAGCUUGGCUGCGGUUACGAUGUUUCCCCCUCUGAUUUUUCUCCAAAACAAAUUCCGUUGUAAAUAAUAUUCAAUGUAGCAACAAUUUAUUCAGCAAAGAAAAUACCUAAUUUUUCAACUAACAAAUUCUCUUGUCUAAACUAAAAAAACUCACAUCUCUCCAAUCUAUCUACAAAUUUGGAGAUGAGAGGUGAUUUGUCAACUCGGUAAAUAAAUUCAUGCAUAAUGUUACCAAUAAUUAUAAAUUACAUAAUAAUUCUUAUAAGAAUCAUAAUAAAGGAACCUUAACCAUUUUACAAUCUAUUACAUAAGUAAGAUUAAUCUUAUAAUAAGUUAACUUAUAACUUAAUAAAUAUUUUCAAUUCAUAAUUAUUUAAGAAGUCACUUAACAAUAAAAUAUUUUUUUAUUUAAUUGAUCAUGUCAUAUAACGUUAUCUAAACUCCCGACGAUAUUAUUAUUACUCACUUUUCUCAAAAAAACAUGACUAACGUUUAGAGAAAAGUCAUGUCUUUUAGAUUGAUAGAAUACGAUUACAAACUAUCCAUACUUUAUCGUAGGCUAUAGAAACCCUUACCCAAGCAUGACAGUCAAAAUAGAACUUGACACGGUUAUUAUUGUAAGUAUCUGCAGCAAAAGCAGUCUUAUCGAAGCCACUGCUGUCGAGAAUUGCAACCACUGAAAGCCCAGAUGGUCCCUCAAUCAAUAGAUCAAAAAACUUCUCUCUGCCCCUUUCAAAUUCACUGAUAUCGAGCCGAGGUUGUCCCUCACUCAAUAGGCGUAUGAUUUCGUUCCUUUUUUCACUGAUAUCAAAACCAUUGUCGCCGGGUGGAAGUUGUUGCAUCCGAUUUCUAAUAUCAAUGAUUUUAGUGUGGAGUCCAACAAGAAGAGCCAUAUCAGUACUGCUUUCACUUUCGUUUUCACUGUUUUGCUGCUGCAUGAUUUUGAUGAAGAAUGUGUCAAUGGCUUCCUCAGAUUCAUGGACAAAGUCAUUGAUGUCCUCCAGAAUUUCAAAAAUAUCUGCUGUUUCAACGUCUUCUUCAUCGCUUUCUUCUAAGUCCAACAGUUGCAAAAAAGGCAAUGAUAUUUUGGAGUCAUCUAAUUCUUCUCUAAGGAGUUGAAACAAAUGCCGAGCCAUGUCAGCUUCAUAGUUUCCCAGCAGAGUAGUAGCAAUAAUUUCGGACUCCGUAAGAAGGUUUUGAAAACGUGGAGUUAAAUUUGUUGAAUCUGGCAAAGUUAACGUGCCUUCUUCACCUGCUAACACCCUUUUCAACCUCUCACAAAACAGUCGGAGGUGGAAUUCCAGCAUAUCUCCUUCUCUCCGUAGCACUCAGAGGUAUAGCUGAAAGAUUAAACACCAUGGAAGAAUUUGAAAGGAAAAUGCCAAGAAAUUGUGUAAGUGGCUAAAUUCCACAAAUAUGACAUUAUUGCUCAUUUUUUAACUCAAAAAAAGGGUACGCGUUCAUUUAGAGAAAAGUCCAAGACGCGUGCUUUUUGAAAAGAACAGGUAUCCCAAUCGGUAUCCAACCUUUAUCUUAUUUAAUUACUACCAUGACAUAAUUGAUGGUGCUUAAAUCAAUUGUUUCUUUUUUAAUUUAAAGAAUUUUUCAUUAAAAAAAUAUUUUAAUAUCAAAUUGCCUUCAGUGGCGUAACAACUGCCUGAAGCCCAGUAACAGGACUAAUUAAAAAUUUUACAAUUUUUGGGCAUGGAAAUAGUAGUAUUAAACAUUAGAAAGGUGAGGUUGUUCUGUUAAAGAAUUGAUAUUGACAUAAUUUUAUUUUGGUUUUCGUGGAAAACAAAAAUAUUUGUUGACAAGCAAGAAAAUAUUUUUAUUUUUUAAAAUUUAUUAUGCAUAUUUUAUCAUAUUGAAGUAAUUUUAAUAAUAAAUAGAAACAUAAUAUUACAAUAAAUAAAUUAAAAUUUAACUUAUUUUGAAUAUUAUAAAAAAUAAUUUUAAUAUUAUUAAUAGGAAGACAUUGUAUUAAUUUUAAAAUUUUUUAACCCAAAGGUUUAUUUAAAAUCUUUAUUAUAAAUACAAAUAUAAAAUUAAAUAUCAUAAUUUAAAAUUUUUAAUAUUAUUUUAAGUAUUAAAAAUAUUUUAAUGUUAUUAGUCUACUACAUAGAUCAUAUUACUUAUAUAAUAUUUGUAUUAUUAAAAAUUUUUAAAAUCAAAUUUUUAGUUAGUAUAUUCAUGAGGUAUUAUGGUUACAAAAAAAAGACCUUAUUAUUACUUUUUAAAAAAUUGAGGGUCUGCGAUGAUAAUUUUUUCAAAAAGAAAAUACAUGGUAUGUAGGAGGGGUAGAGAAACAGGACUUCCAAAAUCUCUCACCCUUCUUUAAUUAAAAAAAAAAUUAAAAUAUUAAUAAAAAAUAAUAAAGAAAAUAGAAUUUUAUCUGCUCCUUACUCCAUUUUUGCAACUCUCUCAACAUCUCUGUCGAGCAGCCUUCUCUCUCAUUGUCUCUCACUAUUUCACGAUCUCUCUCUCACUCACACAGGCAAUGACCAUCUCAUCAUCGGCGGUCGUGUCGUCAGUGUCACUGGUCUUGCUCGACCGAGACAGUGAGAGAGAGGUUUGUUAGAUGGAGUGAUGAUAAAGGAUUCUAUUUUUUUUAUUAAUAUUUUAAUUUUUAAAAUUAAAAUGUGCUGCCGUUUCUCUUGUCUUUUUAGCUGUUUAGCAGCACUCUUUUCAAAAUUUAAGAAUGUAGGUGUCCUAUAAGAGAUCGAUAAAAGAACGUCAAUUAAAUUUAUAAAAAUAUGAUAAAAGAACGUCAAUUACUUGUCUUUUAGGGAAUCCAAUGAGAAAUAUGAUAAAAGAACGUCAAUUACUUGUCAUUUUCAAUUUUUUUCUGUAAGCUAUUUAUUUUGAGCAUUAGUGCUCUUGUCUGGACUACUCCAAUUAUUGACGUAACUCCAGUGGCUGCAAUUAAUGAUAUAAAGCUGAGACUUUUGACCAAGUUAUCUAGUUGGGAAAGCAAAUUUUUUUCCAGUGGGGGCAAAGAAGUGUUGAUUAAAACUGUUGCUCAGGCUGUGCCAGUCUAUGCAAUGAGUGUUUUUAAGAUCCCUCAUAGCUUUUGUGAUGACAUUGAGAAGGCUAUUGCUCGUUUCUGGUGGGGUUCCUCUGAAACAAAAAGAAGCAUUCACUGGACAAGGUGGGAACGGUUGUGCCACGCCAAGAUAAGGGGGGGAUUGGGUUUUAGAGAUUUCUCUAGUUUUAACCAAGCCUUAAUUGCUAAGCAGGGGUGGAGAAUUCUGCAGCACCCUGACUCUUUAAUGGCAAAGAUUCUGAAAGCAAAAUAUUUUAAGCAUACUGGUUUUAUGGAUGCGAAAUUGGGUUCACACCCCUCUUUUGUUUGGAGAAGUAUAUUAUGGGGUAGGCAAGUGCUCCAUAACGGCCUAAGAUGGAGAAUCGGCUGUGGGAGUCAGGUUUUAAUUUCCAGUAGCAAUUGGAUAAAAAACCAUAAGCUUCACAGUUUGGUUCCAUAUUCAAAUCUACCUCCUGAAACUGUAGUUGUUGACCUUAUUGAUGAAAGUCACCAAUGGAAAGAAGAUAUGGUUUUCCAACAUUUUCCAAUGGAUGUUGCAAAGAGGAUCACAAGAACCCCUCUCCCAAAAACUCCCCAGCAGGAUCUUCUCAUUUGGAAAUAUGAUAAGCACAGAAUUUACUCGGUGAAGAGUGGGUAUCAAUUGGCUGUUAAGCAAAAAUUCCAAAAUUAUCCAAGUUGUUCAGAUGUUACCAAGUCAAGGUGGGAGGUGAUAUGGGCUACGGAUCUUCUAGGAAAAGUCAAGAUUUUUAUUUGGAGGGCUGCUCAAAAUCUUCUCCCUACAGUUGGAAAUCUAUGGAGGAGGAGGGUGGUGAAGGAUUAUUUUUGCCAAAGAUGUAAUUGCAGAGGAGAGGAUGUCUUCCAUGCUUUAAUAGAGUGCAGGGCAGCUAAAAGGGUUUGGAAGUUGACUGAAUUUUAUGAGGAUGUAAAGCAAUUAGCUCGGCAAGACAUGUUGAGUGUGCUGCAGGAUUUAGCUGUGAAGAGAAAAAAGAAUGAGCUGGAGCUUGUUGUUGCGGUGUGCUGGGCCAUCUGGUACUCUAGGAAUCGUUUGGUGUUUGAAGGAAAGGAAGAAGAUCCAAAAACUUCAGUGGCCAGAGCAAUUGCUAUGGUGGAAUCAUACAGGCGAAUAAAAGUUCCAAAUGAACAAAAUUCUCCAGGCCAUAGCAGAAUCAGUCAACUAGAAUGGGCAAAUCCUCCAAAGGGGUGUUAUAAAGUCAACGUUGAUGCUGCAAUUAAUGUUUCAAACCAAAAGGCAGGGUUGGGUGUAGUGUUUAAGAGUGACUAACUAUCCCAAUCAACUCAAAACACUUCCCAAGAUCACACCCAAACAAACAAGAUGUACCAAGAAUCAAUCCAGUAGAAUACACACAGAUUAUUAGAACUGAAAGAAUUAAAGAAAAGGACAAGAAUUAACGUGGUUCAGCUAGCUUCAGUCUAGCUUACAUCCACGGGAGAAACAGAACCCAAUUGUAUUGAUUGUUUAAAGGAGUUACAGAGAGUUCAUCAAGCUUGUUACAGAGUCUCUCAAGAAGCCUUUUGUUAUUAAUCUUCUCAACUCACAAUAGCUCUCUCUUCUUUUUUCUCAGUUGCCAGAAUCAGCUGUAUAUAACAGCUUGUUAACGAAUCAGCAACCAACCCAGAAACCCACGUGACAGUCAUGUGAGUUAACUGAUUCUAACGAACCAAGAACGCAACUUAUCCAUGCACGUGAAACUCUCGUGCAUCACUUAACCAAAACGACCUUCAUACAUGUCGUUCCAGGAGAUACGAGUUUGACUUUCCAAAACGCAGCAUCAGCUGACGUUUUCACAAACAGAUUUGCUUCACAUCACAACAAUUCUCCACCUUGAACAAAUCACUCUCUGAUCCUGAUUUCUCCAACCUGAGUAUUUAGAAUUCACUCAGCCCAGCUUUGUCCAAGCCGCUCUUGAACUUAGCUGUAGUUACAACCUUAGUAAGCAUGUCAGCAGGAUUAUCAUCUGUAUGCACUUUCACCAUGCUAAUCACACCUUUAGAGAUCACAUUUCUGAUAAAAUGUAACUUGAUAUCUAUGUGUUUAGUUUUUUCAUGGUGAGCUGGGUUCUUACUCAAGUAAAUUGCACUUGAGCUGUCACAAUGAACUUCCACAGUCUCCUGCUUCAUCCCCAGUUCUGUUAUCAACCCUCUCAGCCACAGAGCUUCCUUGACAGCUUCUGUUGCAGCAGUAUAUUCAGCCUCUGUUGUUGACAAAGCUACAACAUGCUGCAAUCUUGCCUUCCAGUUAACAAGGCAACCAUCCAAGAAAAACAUAUAGCCAGUUAAAGAUCUCCUUCUGUCUAAGUCCCCAGCAUAGUCUGAGUCAACAUAACCACAGAGACCUGCAAUCUUUCCAGCUGAUUUUCCAUAUACCAACCCAUACUGUUGUGUACCUUUCAGAUACCUCAGCACCCAUUUAACAGCCUUCCAGUGCUCCUUUCCAGGUGUAGCCAUAAACCUACUUACAACACUUAAAGCAUGAGCUAAGUCUGGUCUUGUAAGUACCAUUGCAUACAUCAUGCAACCAACAGCAUUUGCAUAAGGAACCUUUGUCAUUUCAUUCCUCUCUUCAUCUGUACUGGGGCAUUGUGAACAUGACAGCUUGAAGUGAGAUGCAAGAGGGGUUACUACUGACUUGCUGUUUGACAUCCCAAAAGUUCCCAGUACCUUCUCUAGAUACUUCCCUUGAGACAGAAUCAUAGUACCCUUCUUCCUGUUCCUUAUUAUUUCCAUACCCAAAAUCUUCCUAGCUGGACCCAAGUCUUUCAUAUCAAAUUCUGAAUUGAGCAGUUGCUUCAAAGCCUCAAUCUCUUCCCUUUCAUUACAAGCAAUCAACAUAUCAUCUACAUAUAACAGCAGAUAUAUGUAGUUGCCUGAUUGUAUGAUCUUGUAGUAAACACAUACAUCAUAGCUGCACCUUAGAUACCCAUGAGUGACCAUAAACUCAUCAAAUCUAAGGUACCACUGUCUGGGUGAUUGUUUCAGCCCAUACAGUGACCUCUUCAGCAGACACACACAGUCAGCAGAUUCAGGACUUGUGUACCCUUCAGGCUGUGUCAUCAAGAUGUCCUCAUUUAAUCUUCCAUGUAGAAAGGCUGUCUUGACAUUGAGUUGAUCAAGCUCCAUGUCUUUUACAGCUGUUAAAGCCAGUAGCACUCUGAUUGAUGUGUGUCUGACUACUGGUGAGAACACCUCUUUGAAAUCCACUCCAGCCCUCUGUGUGUAACCCUUGGCCACUAACCUAGCUUUGAAUCUUCUAGGUUCAGUAGCUGUUAGUCCAUCUUUGACUUUGUAGAUCCAUUUACAUCCUACUGUUCUGCUGUUGGCAGGUCUUUUAAUCAGCUCCCAUGUAUUGUUCUUCUUCAGUGAAUAGAUUUCCUCAUCCAUGGCCUUUUUCCACUCAUCUUUGUAUGGUCCCUGGAUAGCCUCUUUGUAGUUCUUGGGUUUAUCAUCAUCAAUUUGAUGAGAUGCUGUUAAUGCAUAGGCUAUCAGAUCUGCAUAUCCAUAUCUGACAGGUGCUUUUGCUUUCCUUCUUUCUCUGUCUCUUGUCAGCUGGUACUCCUGAUGCUGAGCUUCAGUCUGCUUUACAUGAUCAGUUUCUAGAUCAGUAGCUCCUUGAUAAGAGUCAUCUUCAUCUUCUGAAGCUUCUCUAGUGUAGGGCUCCACCUCAAACUGAAUCUUGGUUCUCUCCUUCUCCUUUGGUGUAUCUGUGUCAGUAGGUUUCUUCAUUUCCAGUGCAGCUUUCUCAUUGAAUAUUACAUCUCUACUGAUUAUGCACUUGGGGGGAUUAAGGUCUGUACACCACAGUUUGAAGCCUUUAACACCUUCAGGAUACCCAAUGAACUUUCCUUUAAGGGUUCUUGGAGCUAACUUCCCUUGGCUCACAUGUGCAUAAGCUGGACAUCCAAAUACUUUGAGGCUGCCAUAGUCUGCUGGUUUUCCAUGCCAUUUCUCAAAUGGGGUUUUGAAGUCAAGUGCUGCAGAGGGACUUAGAUUUACCAGAUAGCUUGCUGUUAACAGAGUCUCAGCCCACAAUCCUUUUGGAAGUUGUGACUGGAUCAUCAUGCUUCUUACUCUGUCCAUCAGGGUUCUGUUCAUUCUUUCGGCUAACCCAUUUUGUUGAGGAGUCAGCCUUACAGUUCUAUGCCUUGCAAUGCCAUGAUCUGCACAGUAGCUAUCAAACUCCUGAUUGCAAAACUCAAGACCAUUGUCUGUUCUGAGUUUCUUUACCUUCAAUCCAGUUUGAUUUUCAACCAGGGAUUUCCACUCUCUGAAUUUUCCAAAUACCUGAUCCUUGUGCUUUAAGACAUAAACCCAUACUCUCCUUGAAUAAUCAUCUAUUAAAGACAAGAAAUAGGUGUUGCCACCUAGUGACAUUGUCUGUGCUGGUCCCCAUAAAUCUGAGUGUAUGUAUUCAAGGAUGCCUUUUGUUGAAUGAACUGAUUUUCCAAAGCUACUUCUUGUAGCUUUGCCUAGUACACAGUCUUCACAAAAAUUCAGUUCUGAGAUUUGACUGCUGCCUAGAACCCCUUGCUUCUGUAAUUCUUUCAGACCUCUCAAGCUCAUAUGUCCUAAUCUAAGGUGCCACAGCAGAGUGUUAUCACAGCUUGAACUGAUUAACACUCCUGACACACCAGUUAUAGCUUCCCCAUUCAAAACAUAAACCCCAUUUCUCUUGUAACCUUUCAUAACUAUCCCAUCUUCAUUUGAAAUUCUCAGCUCACCAGAUUCAAGCUUAAUGCUAAGCCCCAUUUGGUCAAGCAUACCUAGAGAUAUUAAGUUCCUUUUAAGUUCAGGAACAUACCUAACUUCCCUUAAUUCUCUUAUUGUUCCAUCAUGCAAUUUUAGGUUUAUAUUUCCUAUCCCCGCAAUUUUACAAACAGCAUUGUUACCCAUCAUAACUUUUCCUCCAUCAGUUUCAUGAUAGUUUAAUAGGUAAUCUUUAAAGGGGCACAUAUGAAAUGUACAACCUGAGUCUAGAAUCCAGGUACCUUUUUGCACAUGCUCUGUAGCCACACAUACUCCUGCUGACUCAUACCCCUCUUCCUCAGCAGUAGCAGCAGCUCCAUUUUGUUCCCUUUUCUUGUUCUUGAGUUCUGGGCAAUCUCUCUUGAAAUGCCCUUCUUUCUGGCACUGAAAACAUUUCUUGCCUUUAGUCUUUUGUUUGUUGUUCCCUUGCUUCUUUUUCUUUCCAUCAUACUUAUCAGUUCUUGCUUUUACUGCCAAUACUUCUCCAGAGUUCAUAUUCCCUGACUUUUCUUGCAGCCCUCUAGUAUUCAGGGCAGCCUUAACUUCAUCCAAUGAUAAAGUCUGUCUCCCAUACAUGAGUGCAUCCACAAAGUUUGAAUAUGAGGAUGGAAGUGAACUAACCAGAAGCAAUGCUUUACCUUCAUCAUCUAAACCUUCAUCAAUUAUUUCCAAUGUAUCACAGACCUGAUUGAAUUCAUCAAUGUGGUCUUCGAGAGAUGACCCUUCAGCCAUCUUUAGUGUGAACAUUCUUUUCUUGAUGUAAAGUCUGUUGGCUAAUGAUUUAGUCAUAUACACCCUUUCAAGCUUUGCCCACAGAUCAGCCACUGUUCUUUCUCUUGCAACUUCCCUGAUCACCGAGUCUCCAAGACUCAAGAUUAUGGUACUCCUUGCCUUUUUGUCAAUCUCAGCAGCUUGUUGUGGUGUUAGUGAUGAUGAAGAUGUGGAGGCUUCUAAUCCUUCUUUCUUGAUGAUAGGUUCUAAGGCAUCACCUAGCCCUUGAGUGAUCAGUAAUGCCUCCAUUUUAACCUUCCACAUGUUGAAGUCAUUCUUCCCUGUAAACUUCUCUAGAUCGAUCUUUGAACCAACCAUACUUGUGUCUGAUUUGUAAUCCAAGCUCUGAUACCAAUUGUAGUGUUUAAGAGUGACUAACUAUCCCAAUCAACUCAAAACACUUCCCAAGAUCACACCCAAACAAACAAGAUGUACCAAGAAUCAAUCCAGUAGAAUACACACAGAUUAUUAGAACUGAAAGAAUUAAAGAAAAGGACAAGAAUUAACGUGGUUCAGCUAGCUUCAGUCUAGCUUACAUCCACGGGAGAAACAGAACCCAAUUGUAUUGAUUGUUUAAAGGAGUUACAGAGAGUUCAUCAAGCUUGUUACAGAGUCUCUCAAGAAGCCUUUUGUUAUUAAUCUUCUCAACUCACAAUAGCUCUCUCUUCUUUUUUCUCAGUUGCCAGAAUCAGCUGUAUAUAACAGCUUGUUAACGAAUCAGCAACCAACCCAGAAACCCACGUGACAGUCAUGUGAGUUAACUGAUUCUAACGAACCAAGAACGCAACUUAUCCAUGCACGUGAAACUCUCGUGCAUCACUUAACCAAAACGACCUUCAUACAUGUCGUUCCAGGAGAUACGAGUUUGACUUUCCAAAACGCAGCAUCAGCUGACGUUUUCACAAACAGAUUUGCUUCACAUCACAACAUUGGGGGUAGUCAUUAGAAACUCUGUGGGUAAGGUUGUUGCUGCAGCAGUCCAAAGAGCUCCAUAUAGGGGAGAUGUGGCGUGUAUGGAGGUUGAAGCUGUUCUGUUUGGUAUUCAGAGUGCCCAACAAGCAGCUGUUUUCCCAAUAAUUAUUGAGUCGGAUUCAAAGGAAGUGGUGGAUCUAUCCUUAAAGAAAAAGAUCAGCAAGACUGAAAUUGAGUGGAAAAUUGCAGAAAUCCAAGCAAAUCUGGAAAAUCAGAAUGUGUCCUCGCUGUCAUAUGUCCCUAGAAGCUGUAACUCUAUUGCUCAUUCUAUUGCAAAGAUAGCUCUAGGUUUUGAAAGUCAAGUCUUUUGGCUGGAAAACUUUCCAGAACAUAUCAGGUGUACUCUUGCUAAGUUCAUCAAUUGAAAAGCUUUACUUUGCUCAUCAAAAAAAAAAAAAAAAAAAAACUCCAGUGGCUGCAUCCACUGGAAAAAGUGGAUGAGAACCAUUUUUUUUUCAUAAAGGUAACUACUCACAUAAUUGAUGGUGCUUAAAUCAAUUUUUUUUUUAAUUUAAAGAAUUUUGCUUUAAAAAAUAAUUAAUAUCAAAAUGCCUUCAAUGUUGUUACCCUCACAAGCCCAGUUAGAGGACUCAUUAAAAAUUUUAGAAUUUUCAGGCCUGGAAAGCGUAGUAUUAAACAUCAGAAAGCAAAGGUUUUUAUGUCGAAGAAUUGAUGUCGACAAAAUUUUAUUUUAGUUUUUGGGAAAAAAAAUAUUUUGUUGACAAGCAAGAAAAUAUUUUUUAUACUUUACAAUCUGCCUUCUCUCUCAUUGUCUCUCACUAUUUCACGAUCUCUCUCUCACUCACACAGGCAAUGACCAUCUCAUCAUCGGCGUUCGUGUCGUCAGUGUCACUGGUCUUGCUCGACCGAGACAGUGAGAGAGAGGUUUGUUAGAUGGAGUGAUGAUAAAGGAUUCUAUUUUUUUUAUUAAUAUUUUAAUUUUUAAAAUUAAAAUGUGCUGCCGUUUCUCUUGUCUUUUUAGCUGUUUAGCAGCACUCUUUUCAAAAUUUAAGAAUGUAGGUGUCCUAUAAGAGAUCGAUAAAAGAACGUCAAUUAAAUUUAUAAAAAUAUGAUAAAAGAACGUCAAUUACUUGUCUUUUAGGGAAUCCAAUGAGAAAUAUGAUAAAAGAACGUCAAUUACUUGUCAUUUUCAAUUUUUUUCUGUAAGCUAUUUAUUUUGAGCAUUAGUGCUCUUGUCUGGACUACUCCAAUUAUUGACGUAACUCCAGUGGCUGCAAUUAAUGAUAUAAAGCUGAGACUUUUGACCAAGUUAUCUAGUUGGGAAAGCAAAUUUUUUUCCAGUGGGGGCAAAGAAGUGUUGAUUAAAACUGUUGCUCAGGCUGUGCCAGUCUAUGCAAUGAGUGUUUUUAAGAUCCCUCAUAGCUUUUGUGAUGACAUUGAGAAGGCUAUUGCUCGUUUCUGGUGGGGUUCCUCUGAAACAAAAAGAAGCAUUCACUGGACAAGGUGGGAACGGUUGUGCCACGCCAAGAUAAGGGGGGGAUUGGGUUUUAGAGAUUUCUCUAGUUUUAACCAAGCCUUAAUUGCUAAGCAGGGGUGGAGAAUUCUGCAGCACCCUGACUCUUUAAUGGCAAAGAUUCUGAAAGCAAAAUAUUUUAAGCAUACUGGUUUUAUGGAUGCGAAAUUGGGUUCACACCCCUCUUUUGUUUGGAGAAGUAUAUUAUGGGGUAGGCAAGUGCUCCAUAACGGCCUAAGAUGGAGAAUCGGCUGUGGGAGUCAGGUUUUAAUUUCCAGUAGCAAUUGGAUAAAAAACCAUAAGCUUCACAGUUUGGUUCCAUAUUCAAAUCUACCUCCUGAAACUGUAGUUGUUGACCUUAUUGAUGAAAGUCACCAAUGGAAAGAAGAUAUGGUUUUCCAACAUUUUCCAAUGGAUGUUGCAAAGAGGAUCACAAGAACCCCUCUCCCAAAAACUCCCCAGCAGGAUCUUCUCAUUUGGAAAUAUGAUAAGCACAGAAUUUACUCGGUGAAGAGUGGGUAUCAAUUGGCUGUUAAGCAAAAAUUCCAAAAUUAUCCAAGUUGUUCAGAUGUUACCAAGUCAAGGUGGGAGGUGAUAUGGGCUACGGAUCUUCUAGGAAAAGUCAAGAUUUUUAUUUGGAGGGCUGCUCAAAAUCUUCUCCCUACAGUUGGAAAUCUAUGGAGGAGGAGGGUGGUGAAGGAUUAUUUUUGCCAAAGAUGUAAUUGCAGAGGAGAGGAUGUCUUCCAUGCUUUAAUAGAGUGCAGGGCAGCUAAAAGGGUUUGGAAGUUGACUGAAUUUUAUGAGGAUGUAAAGCAAUUAGCUCGGCAAGACAUGUUGAGUGUGCUGCAGGAUUUAGCUGUGAAGAGAAAAAAGAAUGAGCUGGAGCUUGUUGUUGCGGUGUGCUGGGCCAUUUGGUACUCUAGGAAUCGUUUGGUGUUUGAAGGAAAGGAAGAAGAUCCAAAAACUUCAGUGGCCAGAGCAAUUGCUAUGGUGGAAUCAUACAGGCGAAUAAAAGUUCCAAAUGAACAAAAUUCUCCAGGCCAUAGCAGAAUCAGUCAACUAGAAUGGGCAAAUCCUCCAAAGGGGUGUUAUAAAGUCAACGUUGAUGCUGCAAUUAAUGUUUCAAACCAAAAGGCAGGGUUGGGUGUAGUGUUUAAGAGUGACUAACUAUCCCAAUCAACUCAAAACACUUCCCAAGAUCACACCCAAACAAACAAGAUGUACCAAGAAUCAAUCCAGUAGAAUACACACAGAUUAUUAGAACUGAAAGAAUUAAAGAAAAGGACAAGAAUUAACGUGGUUCAGCUAGCUUCAGUCUAGCUUACAUCCACGGGAGAAACAGAACCCAAUUGUAUUGAUUGUUUAAAGGAGUUACAGAGAGUUCAUCAAGCUUGUUACAGAGUCUCUCAAGAAGCCUUUUGUUAUUAAUCUUCUCAACUCACAAUAGCUCUCUCUUCUUUUUUCUCAGUUGCCAGAAUCAGCUGUAUAUAACAGCUUGUUAACGAAUCAGCAACCAACCCAGAAACCCACGUGACAGUCAUGUGAGUUAACUGAUUCUAACGAACCAAGAACGCAACUUAUCCAUGCACGUGAAACUCUCGUGCAUCACUUAACCAAAACGACCUUCAUACAUGUCGUUCCAGGAGAUACGAGUUUGACUUUCCAAAACGCAGCAUCAGCUGACGUUUUCACAAACAGAUUUCGUUCACAUCACAACAUUGGGGGUAGUCAUUAGAAACUCUGUGGGUAAGGUUGUUGCUGCAGCAGUCCAAGGAGCUCCAUAUAGGGGAGAUGUGGCGUGUAUGGAGGUUGAAGCUGUUCUGUUUGGUAUUCAGAGUGCCCAACAAGCAGCUGUUUUCCCAAUAAUUAUUGAGUCGGAUUCAAAGGAAGUGGUGGAUCUAUCCUUAAAGAAAAAGAUCAGCAAGACUGAAAUUGAGUGGAAAAUUGCAGAAAUCCAAGCAAAUCUGGAAAAUCAGAAUGUGUCCUCGCUGUCAUAUGUCCCUAGAAGCUGUAACUCUAUUGCUCAUUCUAUUGCAAAGAUAGCUCUAGGUUUUGAAAGUCAAGUCUUUUGGCUGGAAAACUUUCCAGAACAUAUCAGGUGUACUCUUGCUAAGUUCAUCAAUUGAAAAGCUUUACUUUGCUCAUCAAAAAAAAAAAAAAAAAAAAAACUCCAGUGGCUGCAUCCACUGGAAAAAGUGGAUGAGAACCAUUUUUUUUUCAUAAAGGUAACUACUCACAUAAUUGAUGGUGCUUAAAUCAAUUUUUUUUUUAAUUUAAAGAAUUUUGCUUUAAAAAAUAAUUAAUAUCAAAAUGCCUUCAAUGUUGUUACCCUCACAAGCCCAGUUAGAGGACUCAUUAAAAAUUUUAGAAUUUUCAGGCCUGGAAAGCGUAGUAUUAAACAUCAGAAAGCAAAGGUUUUUAUGUCGAAGAAUUGAUGUCGACAAAAUUUUAUUUUAGUUUUUGGGAAAAAAAAUAUUUUGUUGACAAGCAAGAAAAUAUUUUUUAUACUUUACAAUCUGCUAUACAUAUUUUAUCAUAUUAAAGUAAUUUUAAUAAUAUAUGGAAACAUAAUAUUUUAAUAAAUAAAUUAAAAUUACUUUGAAUUAUUGAAUAUUACAAAAAGAUAAUUUUAAUAUUAUUAAUAGGAAAACAUUUUUUAAUUGUAAAAUCUUUUUAAUACAAAAAUUCAUUUAAAAUCUUUAUAAUAAAUACAAAUAUAAAAUUAAAAAAUAUUAUAAUUUAAAAUUUUUAAUAGUAUUUAAAUAUUAAAAAUACUUUAAUAUUAUUAAUCUACUACAUCAAAUAUAUUAUUUAUAUUAUAUUCGUAUUGAUUAAAACGUUUUAAAGUCAAAUUUUUAAUUAGUGUAUUCAAAGGUACAAAAGAUUUUAGUAUUAUUUUUUAAAAAUUUCAGGAUAUGAAUGUUAAUUUUUUUCAAAUUUUAAAGAUGUAAAAAUCUUUUUUUCUGAUAAUUUAUUUCACUUUUGAGAGAAUCCGAAAACGUUAAUUUAACAUUCUUUACCUUUGUGAAAAAAGUGAAAAUCAAGAACUAUUCAAUUUUGUUUUUAUUUGUAAUUCAAAAACUUUAUUCAUUUUGGAUGCUUUUCAAAAGAGAUUCCUUUAAAUCCUUUUGGUGUCUGCAGCUCCUGCUAUUCUCAUAAGUCUCCAUCCCACAUCUACACUAUCAAACAAGUUGAUGGAAAUUCUUAUAAAAAAAAAAAAAAAGUCGAUGGAAAUUGAUCAAUUGCUUUUUGAAAUGGACCCAUUGAGUCAUGUUCAUUUCUGGUCAUUGUCUACUCUUUCUAUCAGCCAUUAAUUUUGACCAUUUGCGAUCUUAUCUGGACCAACUCCAAUUAUUUAUGUAACGAACUCCAAAGGUUGCAUCUACAGUUGAAUGUAAGAUAGCGAAGGCUCUUCUUUGAGAAAAUAGAGGAACCUUUCUCUGUUUCUCCGUUGCAACGUGCUCAUAUAAAUUUCUUUACCUUACAGUUUAUACGGUCUUGCUGUUAAUGAAUUCGCUGAGGCAUUAUUGAUCCAAUCUGAGUGAAGUAAUUGUGGCUGAAAAAUAAAUAAAGGAUAUGAGAACGUAGCUGAAGUGCUGAAGGGGCUAUUAAAGAAGAGUGUCACUUGAUCACAAUCACAUUGAUGCACAACUCACUCGUGGCAAAUUUCGACUAUACGUACUGCAAAUUCAGCCAAACCAUACAUGCAUGAACAAAACAUCUUCUCUAAACUAAAAAGCCCACAUCUCUAAAAUCAAUCUACAUAAUGUUGGAGAUGAGGGGUGAAUUGUUAACUCAGUAAAAAAAAAAAACUCAUGCAUAAGAUUACUAAUAAUAUAAAUUAUAUAUUAAUCAUUAUAAAGAAUCAUAAAUUAGAAAAAUUAAUCAUUUUAUAAUUUAUUACACAAGUAUGAUAAAUCUUAUAAUAAGUUAUAACAUAAAAAAACGUUAUCAAUAAAUAAUCAUUUAAGAAGUCAUUUAACAAUAAAAUCGUUCUUUGAUCAGUUGGUCAUGUCACAUAGUAUCAUCUAUAUUUAUGGUGAUAAUAUUAUUACUUAGUAUUAUCAAAAAACAUGAUUUAACAUUUAGAGGAAAUUCUUGCCUUUUAAAAAAAACAUGUAUGCAACAGCUACCCAUGCUUUAUCUUACCAUGACAAAUAUUUUCUCAAUGAAAGAAUUUUUUUUUAAAAUUGAUUUAAUGCACAAAUAUGAUGAUUUUUGCCAAAAAUUAAUUUUGGAAAACAUAGUGAGAGAAAAUAGUGACGAUUAUUGUUUAGAUGUAUAAAUAGCCUAAACAUAAUCCUUAAUACCAGUAUCCAUGUGCAUCUUAGCAUCUUUUAUGAUAUUCUUUCAUUUAUGUCCAUUGGUUCAAGAUUUGAAUUUGAUCAUUAAAUCAUAUUCAAUAAUAUUAGAGAUUCCAAAAAUUGAGUACCAACUUAAAUCCCAAUGUUAUGUUUCAUUGACCAAUGUCGUGUCAUUUUCUUAUUAACUAGGUGAUGAAUUUCUAGUUGAUAAAAUCACUUAAAAAUAUCUUAAAAAUCAGACAAUAGUUUGCUUAAUUUUUCCAAGUUAACUGCUCAAGAUGCUCUAUUAUAAAUGAUAACCUAAUUAUAUUCAUAAAAAAUGAUAUAUUUUUUGUGGUGUUGAUAAUGAGAUUAUCAUUCAACAUUUUAAAAUGUGAAAACAUAUGGAAGAUGGUUGUAAAUUGAUUGAAUGAAAAUAUUUCAGUGAAGUCUCAAAAAUUUGGUACUUGUUGUCUUAUCGAAAGUUUUCUAAAUUAUAUUCGUGGCACAGCCACUAUCCAAACCAUACAAGUCCAAAGCUAUCCAAACCAUACCUGCAAGUCCGGGGCUUAAAUGGAGUACUUCUAAGCAAAAAAACAUUGACUAAAAUAGAAUAUAUACAUACAGACACACAUACAUACCAGCAUAUUCAAAAUAGCAAAAGGAGUGCAAAGUUCAAGUUUGUAGACAACAUUGCAACCAUAGCAUGUUUAUAGCAAAUCCUCAAAAUCUGCUAAAUAAAACAAUGCCCUGUCUCAUGAAUCAAUGCUGAAUUAAAAUUGAAACUGAAAGUCUGGAUGGUGUUGUUUGUUGAGAAUGUCAAAUAAAACGGCAUUGAAGGAAGUUUUCAAAGGCAGAAUCCGCACUUGUCAAAGGGAUGAUCUGCACUUGUCAAAGACACGAUCCGCGCUGAACGGAUCGACACAUUUCCUUCCGUAUUCACAUAUGUAAUCUUUGAAAAAAUAUAGCUUCUGCAUCUAUAAAUAACGCUCAAUGUAUAAUGUUUUAUUCAAGAAAUAAAAACAAGUUUCUACAUGGUAUCAGAGCCAUGAAUGCGCUCAAGUUUCUUCAAGUUUCGUUGCUCUGUUUGUCACAAAAACAGAGGAAACCAAAUUCGUCCCACAACCAUUUUUUCCACCAUUUUCUUCCUUAAAAUCAUUCCUAACAUUACAGAAAUCCAUGCCGAUCAAAAAACAUGAAAGACAAAUUACACAUGUGCAGUAACCAAUGAUCAUAUUUCGUUACUGUCAAACACAAUGCAUCUGAGCAAAACAUUGGAAGCCAACACCAGAAUACAUAUGAAUAAACAAUUAAAGAUAGAGAAAAAAGGCUUAAACCUUGGGGGAAAAAAGUGAAAAAACAUGAAAGACAAAUUACACAUGUGCAGUAACCAUCGAACUUAUCAGUGACAGCUGCAUCUAUUACAUUGCUCCAACAACACAAUGGCAAACCACCAGUUUCAAAUUGAGGAUAGCUAUCGAGAAUGAGAAAGUGUCCAAAACGUCAUAAAUAGACAUGUUCCUAUUGUGCAUAAUUUACAUUAUAGGCAAAUAUUCUUAUACCAUCAAUGGCAAAACAUGACACUAACAAUUGAUCCCCCCAACACCCCCCCCCCCCACCAACCAAAAAAAAAAAGGAAAUAACAAUACAGAAAAGAUUGAAACAGAUAAGGCUACACUGAGCACAGGAUGCCAUGAAACAUAAUCCAGGAACCAAAUUAAUAAAAAAGGAAGCCAAACCAUUAUUUAACAAUCUGUUUUGUAUUUGGGAAAGUCUGAUAAAAUCUACUUAGGGAUAAUUAGAGAACUUCAACUAUUAAUCACACCUCAUAAAUGAACUAACAUUAACCAUCUACCAUCCCCACGUCACACAAACAUUCUCUAUACUUCUGAACCUAAUACUUCCAUCUUCAAUUGGGGGGUUUUUUUCUUUUUUCUUUUUUUUGGGGGGGGGGGGGGGGGGGGGGGGAAGCUAUCAAUUUUCUAAGCUUGCUUAGCUUCUGUGUGGGAUUGAAAUGCUGAUUUCGAAUCACUAACAGUAAAAUUGGAAGCUCAUGAGAAAAUAGAGAAAGACCUAAUGUUGAGUCCUUUGGCGCAUGUCUCUUCAUAGGUCCGAACCAUUUCUUCGGGCGUGGGUUACGGCCGAGAUUGGAUAAUGAUGGAGGAGGAGAAAAUAGAUAAUGAUUGCACUAAUUUUCUAGAUGAAUUUUUUCCUACAUGCUUGUUCCCGAAUGACCCAAAAUCCUGCUACAUCAGUUGUAUUAGAAAUUAAUCAACUGGGUUACAAUUAUGCAUCCCCACCAAUAUUUAAGCAAUUUACAGAAACAUUUCUUGAGGAAAAAAACUCAUAUCGCCACUAGGCUUUUAAUGAGGCUCAUUUUUAUGAAUUUGGAUGGCAUUAGAUAUCUCUCCAAAUAUUGGUGGGAGUAGAUCGCAGAUCUCUGGGCUAUACUACAAAGUGUAUGUACGUUGACUCUCAAUAAAUACAAACGAUUCUCUGAUAUGAUUCAAAACAUCAGUACAUGCAUCAUUUUAAUGAGAAAGAAUAUUCUAAGAACGAAAUUGAAGGUGCAAUCAGCAGCUAAAAUGAAGCCAGAAAUGUACACGCAUGAGGAACUUUUCCUAGAAGAUUGAUAUUUCUUUGACUAGCAAACCACACACGUCAAAGCUAGCCAAACCAUACCUGCAUGUCGGGGGUUUAAAUGGAGUACUUCUAAGCAUAAAACAUUGAUUAAAACAGAAUACACACAUACAUACCAGCAAAUUCAAAAUAGCAAAAGGAGUGCAAAAGUUCAAGUUUGUAGACAACAUUGCAACCAUGGCAUGUUUAUAGCAAAUCCUCGAAAUCUGCUAAAUAAAACAAUGCCAUGUCUCAUGAAUCAAUGCUGAAUUAAAAUUGAAACUGAAAGUCUGGCUAGCGAUGUUUCCCUCUCCAAUUUUGCCUACAUAAGUGAAAAUAAGAAUAAUAAAUGAAAAUCUGCUUUGACAGUUCUUAUUAGAUAGAUAUAAAAAGAUCUUUCUUUGUUUCUCUGCAGCAAUCUGUGGCUAUCCCACUCUGUUUUGCCAGUCAAGCUGCGGCCUCAAUUAGUUUGGCACUUUUAUGACCUCCUUGAAGGUUUUACGAUAAACAUAAAUCUACUGACAAAGUGGGCAAAAAGAAAAUGUAUAUAAAAGUAUGAGUUAUCAGAUAAGAUUAAAACUCACCCAAUUCAAUCCAUCAGAUUCCGUAAGGAUAUAACUGGAUGUCAUACCGCCACUCUAUAUUCUUGAAAGUCCGUAGUGUUUGUCUCAACUGUGUCUGGGGCCAGUGUAAGUCCAAUUUGCGCAAGCUCUCUAUGCACCACAGCUCUUCUGGAAGCUUUCUCAAGUAAGCACAUGGGUUGACAAUUAAGCUUUCAAGUUUCGGCAUUGCUCCAGCCCCCAUCGUCCACUCAUCUAGCCAAUACAUUGAUUUCAGGUGCAAAACCUUAAGUUCGGGAAAGCUACUCAAGCCAACACAAGCAAGCUUUCUUCCUAAAUACGAGUUCUGCUUCAGUUUCAGCACUCGAAGGAGUGGAAGAUUUUCCAGAAUUGGCAUGGGAUCCUCCAUUAGCUCAGUAUUUGAUAAGCUCAGUUGGAUCAGACUUGGGGGAAAUUGGUAUUCAGACAGGACCAUCCGUGAGGGCUUGCUCUCAUUCACCAGCUUCAAGCAUUCAAGUUUGUGGAGUUCGCAAAGGCUUUUGGAAACCCCAGAUUGAUAGUAACUCAAAUCUCCAGAUAUCCGAAGAGUCUGAACACUAGGUAGUCUGCCCAAUAUAUCAGGAGUACAACUACUAGGGUUUAAAGCUGAUAUGAAAAUGAGAUUUUUCAGAGAGCUAGAAUAAUUUUUUGGAGGUGCGGGCAGAGUGAUAGAACCAAAGUUUAGAUGCAUGAGUUUUUGCAUCAUCCAAAUAUCCUCUGGUGACUGAUCUAUGUAGCUAGAUGGCAUUUCUAGUGUUUCAAGGUUUAAAAGGGUGCAUAGCAGUGAAGGAAGGCAUUUGGGCGAAGGGAUAUUCAAUUUCAAAUACUUCAAAAGGAAUGAAUUUUCUAAUCCGGGUGGAUAUUGGUCCAGGACUGCAGAACCCAUGUUCAAUACCCGAAGGUAUUUGAACCUUUUAAAAAAAUUCUCGCAAUCUUUCGAAUUAAGAUGAUUGCUUUUUGAACUGUGAUUCAGAAAAGAAGUUUCUGCAGAACCCAUGUUAGAAUGUUUCAAAGAAAAGAAGUCAAUCUGAUUACCCAAAAUGAUGUACCGUUUAACAUUUUCCGGUGGUUCAUCUUCCAUGUCAAGCAUCCAGACAAAUCCCGUCUUCUCUGCCACCAAUAACAAUGAAUAAUAUACAAUACUUGGAACAUAACACGCUUUAAUCGUGCCUCCGGCGCUUCUCUUACUCACUUGAAUGAAGCCGCGAUGGAUUAGUUCUUUCAAGUAAUGUUCGGCCGUCUCCUCACUGUUGUAUGGUAUGAAACCUUCAGCUACCCAUAACUGAUAUAAUUGCCUCGUGGAUAUCUCAAUACUUGGAGGGAAGACACACAAAUAGAUGCAGCAGACUUUCAAGUGAAAAGGUAACUCCAUCACAGAGAAAGUUUGUCUCCAUACUGUCGGAAUCGCUUCGCCUUGAAGAUAAUUUCCUAAUGGCAUACUUCCAUAGUGUAGGACGAAAAAUUGCCAGGCUUCAAGCUUUAAUCUGAUCAAUGGUCCUCCAAUGAGCACCGAAUCAAGCCGAAUCUUCUCUCCGUUUUCCAUUUUCAGCGACGUAAGGAGUUCUGGUUCAGUGACCAAUAUCAAUACUCUGCUUCCAUUCUCAUUAUCAGGGAGAACUUCUUCGAGAUCACUCCAUAUCUCACUGUAAUCGAAGACGUCAUCAAGCACAAUAAAGUACUUCUUGUUGGUUAGGUAAUCUCGAAGAACAGAUUUCUUCAAUUGAUAAUGUUCACCGAUAAUUACACUAACCCGAGAUGGAGGCAUCACAGACUUGAUUAUGUCAUCCAAUAUCCAUACUUUAUCGUAGGCUAUAGAAACCCUUACCCAAGCAUGACAGUCAAAAUAGAACUUGACACGGUUAUUAUUGUAAGUAUCUGCAGCAAAAGCAGUCUUAUCGAAGCCACUGCUGUCGAGAAUUGCAACCACUGAAAGCCCAGAUGGUCCCUCAAUCAAUAGAUCAAAAAACUUCUCUCUGCCCCUUUCAAAUUCACUGAUAUCGAGCCGAGGUUGUCCCUCACUCAAUAGGCGUAUGAUUUCGUUCCUUUUUUCACUGAUAUCAAAACCAUUGUCGCCGGGUGGAAGUUGUUGCAUCCGAUUUCUAAUAUCAAUGAUUUUAGUGUGGAGUCCAACAAGAAGAGCCAUAUCAGUACUGCUUUCACUUUCGUUUUCACUGUUUUGCUGCUGCAUGAUUUUGAUGAAGAAUGUGUCAAUGGCUUCCUCAGAUUCAUGGACAAAGUCAUUGAUGUCCUCCAGAAUUUCAAAAAUAUCUGCUGUUUCAACGUCUUCUUCAUCGCUUUCUUCUAAGUCCAACAGUUGCAAAAAAGGCAAUGAUAUUUUGGAGUCAUCUAAUUCUUCUCUAAGGAGUUGAAACAAAUGCCGAGCCAUGUCAGCUUCAUAGUUUCCCAGCAGAGUAGUAGCAAUAAUUUCGGACUCCGUAAGAAGGUUUUGAAAACGUGGAGUUAAAUUUGUUGAAUCUGGCAAAGUUAACGUGCCUUCUUCACCUGCUAACACCCUUUUCAACCUCUCACAAAACAGUCGGAGGUGGAAUUCCAGCAUAUCUCCUUCUCUCCGUAGCACUCAGAGGUAUAGCUGAAAGAUUAAACACCAUGGAAGAAUUUGAAAGGAAAAUGCCAAGAAAUUGUGUAAGUGGCUAAAUUCCACAAAUAUGACAUUAUUGCUCAUUUUUUAACUCAAAAAAAGGGUACGCGUUCAUUUAGAGAAAAGUCCAAGACGCGUGCUUUUUGAAAAGAACAGGUAUCCCAAUCGGUAUCCAACCUUUAUCUUAUUUAAUUACUACCAUGACAUAAUUGAUGGUGCUUAAAUCAAUUGUUUCUUUUUUAAUUUAAAGAAUUUUUCAUUAAAAAAAUAUUUUAAUAUCAAAUUGCCUUCAGUGGCGUAACAACUGCCUGAAGCCCAGUAACAGGACUAAUUAAAAAUUUUACAAUUUUUGGGCAUGGAAAUAGUAGUAUUAAACAUUAGAAAGGUGAGGUUGUUCUGUUAAAGAAUUGAUAUUGACAUAAUUUUAUUUUGGUUUUCGUGGAAAACAAAAAUAUUUGUUGACAAGCAAGAAAAUAUUUUUAUUUUUUAAAAUUUAUUAUGCAUAUUUUAUCAUAUUGAAGUAAUUUUAAUAAUAAAUAGAAACAUAAUAUUACAAUAAAUAAAUUAAAAUUUAACUUAUUUUGAAUAUUAUAAAAAAUAAUUUUAAUAUUAUUAAUAGGAAGACAUUGUAUUAAUUUUAAAAUUUUUUAACCCAAAGGUUUAUUUAAAAUCUUUAUUAUAAAUACAAAUAUAAAAUUAAAUAUCAUAAUUUAAAAUUUUUAAUAUUAUUUUAAGUAUUAAAAAUAUUUUAAUGUUAUUAGUCUACUACAUAGAUCAUAUUACUUAUAUAAUAUUUGUAUUAUUAAAAAUUUUUAAAAUCAAAUUUUUAGUUAGUAUAUUCAUGAGGUAUUAUGGUUACAAAAAAAAGACCUUAUUAUUACUUUUUAAAAAAUUGAGGGUCUGCGAUGAUAAUUUUUUCAAAAAGAAAAUACAUGGUAUGUAGGAGGGGUAGAGAAACAGGACUUCCAAAAUCUCUCACCCUUCUUUAAUUAAAAAAAAAAUUAAAAUAUUAAUAAAAAAUAAUAAAGAAAAUAGAAUUUUAUCUGCUCCUUACUCCAUUUUUGCAACUCUCUCAACAUCUCUGUCGAGCAGCCUUCUCUCUCAUUGUCUCUCACUAUUUCACGAUCUCUCUCUCACUCACACAGGCAAUGACCAUCUCAUCAUCGGCGGUCGUGUCGUCAGUGUCACUGGUCUUGCUCGACCGAGACAGUGAGAGAGAGGUUUCUUAGAUGGAGUGAUGAUAAAGGAUUCUAUUUUUUUUAUUAAUAUUUUAAUUUUUAAAAUUAAAAUGUGCUGCCGUUUCUCUUGUCUUUUUAGCUGUUUAGCAGCACUCUUUUCAAAAUUUAAGAAUGUAGGUGUCCUAUAAGAGAUCGAUAAAAGAACGUCAAUUAAAUUUAUAAAAAUAUGAUAAAAGAACGUCAAUUACUUGUCUUUUAGGGAAUCCAAUGAGAAAUAUGAUAAAAGAACGUCAAUUACUUGUCAUUUUCAAUUUUUUUCUGUAAGCUAUUUAUUUUGAGCAUUAGUGAUCUUGUCUGGACUACUCCAAUUAUUGACGUAACUCCAGUGGCUGCAAUUAAUGAUAUAAAGCUGAGACUUUUGACCAAGUUAUCUAGUUGGGAAAGCAAAUUUUUUUCCAGUGGGGGUAAAGAAGUGUUGAUUAAAGCUGUUGCUCAGGCUGUGCCAGCCUAUGCAAUGAGUGUUUUUAAGAUCCCUCAUAGCUUUUGUGAUGACAUUGAGAAGGCUAUUACUCGUUUCUGGUGGGGUUCCUCUGAAACAAAAAGAAGCAUUCACUGGACAAGGUGGGAACAGUUGUGCCACGCCAAGAUAAGGGGGGGAUUGGGUUUUAGAGAUUUCUCUAGUUUUAACCAAGCCUUAAUUGCUAAGCAGGGGUGGAGAAUUCUGCAGCACCCUGACUCUUUAAUGGCAAAGAUUCUGAAAGCAAAAUAUUUUAAGCAUACUGGUUUUAUGGAUGCGAAAUUGGGUUCACACCCCUCUUUUGUUUGGAGAAGUAUAUUAUGGGGUAGGCAAGUGCUCCAUAACGGCCUAAGAUGGAGAAUCGGCAGUGGGAGUCAAGUUUUAAUUUCCAGUAGCAAUUGGAUAAAAAACCAUAAGCUUCCCAGUUUGGUUCCAUAUUCAGAUCUACCUCCUGAAACUGUAGUUGCUGACCUUAUUGAUGAAAGUCACCAAUGGAAAGAAGAUAUGGUUUUCCAAUAUUUUCCAAUGGAUGUUGCAAAGAGGAUCACCAGAACCCCUCUCCCAAAAACUCCCCAGCAGGAUCUUCUCAUUUGGAAAUAUGAUAAGCACGGAAUUUACUCGGUGAAGAGUGGGUAUCAAUUGGCUGUUAAGCAAAAAUUCCAAAAUUAUCCAAGUUGUUCAGAUGUUACCAAGUCAAGGUGGGAGGUGAUAUGGGCUACGGAUCUUCUAGGAAAAGUCAAGAUUUUUAUUUGGAGGGCUGCUCAAAAUCUUCUCCCUGACUUUUCUUGCAGCCCUCUAGUAUUCAGGGCAGCCUUAACUUCAUCCAAUGAUAAAGUCUGUCUCCCAUACAUGAGUGCAUCCACAAAGUUUGAAUAUGAGGAUGGAAGUGAACUAACCAGAAGCAAUGCUUUACCUUCAUCAUCUAAACCUUCAUCAAUUAUUUCCAAUGUAUCACAGACCUGAUUGAAUUCAUCAAUGUGGUCUUCGAGAGAUGACCCUUCAGCCAUCUUUAGUGUGAACAUUCUUUUCUUGAUGUAAAGUCUGUUGGCUAAUGAUUUAGUCAUAUACACCCUUUCAAGCUUUGCCCACAGAUCAGCCACUGUUCUUUCUCUUGCAACUUCCCUGAUCACCGAGUCUCCAAGACUCAAGAUUAUGGUACUCCUUGCCUUUUUGUCAAUCUCAGCAGCUUGUUGUGGUGUUAGUGAUGAUGAAGAUGUGGAGGCUUCUAAUCCUUCUUUCUUGAUGAUAGGUUCUAAGGCAUCACCUAGCCCUUGAGUGAUCAGUAAUGCCUCCAUUUUAACCUUCCACAUGUUGAAGUCAUUCUUCCCUGUAAACUUCUCUAGAUCGAUCUUUGAACCAACCAUACUUGUGUCUGAUUUGUAAUCCAAGCUCUGAUACCAAUUGUAGUGUUUAAGAGUGACUAACUAUCCCAAUCAACUCAAAACACUUCCCAAGAUCACACCCAAACAAACAAGAUGUACCAAGAAUCAAUCCAGUAGAAUACACACAGAUUAUUAGAACUGAAAGAAUUAAAGAAAAGGACAAGAAUUAACGUGGUUCAGCUAGCUUCAGUCUAGCUUACAUCCACGGGAGAAACAGAACCCAAUUGUAUUGAUUGUUUAAAGGAGUUACAGAGAGUUCAUCAAGCUUGUUACAGAGUCUCUCAAGAAGCCUUUUGUUAUUAAUCUUCUCAACUCACAAUAGCUCUCUCUUCUUUUUUCUCUGUUGCCAGAAUCAGCUGUAUAUAACAGCUUGUUAACGAAUCAGCAACCAACCCAGGAACCCACGUGACAGUCAUGUGAGUUAACUGAUUCUAACGAACCAAGAACGCAACUUAUCCAUGCACGUGAAACUCUCGUGCAUCACUUAACCAAAACGACCUUCAUACAUGUCGUUCCAGGAGAUACGAGUUUGACUUUCCAAAACGCAGCAUCAGCUGACGUUUUCACAAACAGAUUUGCUUCACAUCACAACAUUGGGGGUAGUCAUUAGAAACUCUGUGGGUAAGGUUGUUGCUGCAGCAGUCCAAGGAGCUCCAUAUAGGGGAGAUGUGGCGUGUAUGGAGGUUGAAGCUGUUCUGUUUGGUAUUCAGAGUGCCCAACAAGCAGCUGUUUUCCCAAUAAUUAUUGAGUCGGAUUCAAAGGAAGUGGUGGAUCUAUCCUUAAAGAAAAAGAUCAGCAAGACUGAAAUUGAGUGGAAAAUUGCAGAAAUCCAAGCAAAUCUGGAAAAUCAGAAUGUGUCCUCGCUGUCAUAUGUCCCUAGAAGCUGUAACUCUAUUGCUCAUUCUAUUGCAAAGAUAGCUCUAGGUUUUGAAAGUCAAGUCUUUUGGCUGGAAAACUUUCCAGAACAUAUCAGGUGUACUCUUGCUAAGUUCAUCAAUUGAAAAGCUUUACUUUGCUCAUCAAAAAAAAAAAAAAAAAAAAAACUCCAGUGGCUGCAUCCACUGGAAAAAGUGGAUGAGAACCAUUUUUUUUUCAUAAAGGUAACUACUCACAUAAUUGAUGGUGCUUAAAUCAAUUUUUUCUUUCUUUUUUUUUUAAUUUAAAGAAUUUUGCUUUAAAAAAUAAUUAAUAUCAAAAUGCCUUCAAUGUUGUUACCCUCACAAGCCCAGUUAGAGGACUCAUUAAAAAUUUUAGAAUUUUUAGGCCUGGAAAGCGUAGUAUUAAACAUCAGAAAGCAAAGGUUUUUAUGUCGAAGAAUUGAUGUCGACAAAAUUUUAUUUUAGUUUUCGGGAAAAAAAAUAAUUUGUUGACAAGCAAGAAAAUAUUUUUUAUACUUUACAAUCUGCUAUACAUAUUUUAUCAUAUUAAAGUAAUUUUAAUAAUAUAUGGAAACAUAAUAUUAUAAUAAAUAAAUUAAAAUUACUUUGAAUUAUUAAAUAUUACAAAAAGAUAAUUUUAAUAUUAUUAAUAGGAAAACAUUUUUUAAUUGUAAAAUCUUUUUAAUACAAAAAAUCAUUUAAAAUCUUUAUAAUAAAUACAAAUAUAAAAUUAAAAAAUAUCAUAAUUAAAAUUUUUAAUAAUAUUUAAAUAUUAAAAAUACUUUAAUAUUAUUAAUCUACUACAUAAAAUAUAUUAUUUGUAUUAUACUCGUAUUGAUUAAAACGUUUUAAAGUCAAAUUUUUAAUUAGUGUAUUCAAAGGUAUAAAAGAUUUUAGUAUUAUUUUUUAAAAAUUUCAGGAUAUGAAUGAUAAUUUUUUCAAAUUUUAAAGAUGUAAGAAUCUUUUUUUCUGAUAAUUUAUUUCACUUUUAAGAGAAUCCGAAAACGUUAAUUUAACAUUCUUUACCUUUGUAUAAAAAGUGAAAAUCAAGAACUAUUCAAUUUUGUUUUUAUUUGUAAUUCAAAAACGUUAUUCAUUUUCGAUGCUUUUCAAAAGAGAUUCCUUUAAAUCCUUUUGGUGGCUGCAGCUCCUGCAAUUUUCAUAAAUCUCCAUCCCACAUCAACACUAUCAAACAAGUUGAUGGAAAUUCUUAUCAAAAUUCCACAAAUAUGACGUUAUUGCUCAUUUUUCUCUCAAGACGCGUGCCUCCUGAAAAGAGAUACAUUGAAUAAGUCAAUUGAUUACAUUGUGGGUAAUUAAUUUAGAAGUGAAGCAGAGAAUAAAGUCCUAGAUGCCUUUAGAAAUUAGAAAUACAUUUUAUAUGCUUUAAUUAAUGAAUUCACUGAGGCAUUAUUGAUCCAAUCCCAGUGAAGUAAUUGUGGGUGAAAAAAAAAAAUAAAGUGCUGAAUUGGCUAUUAAAAAAGAGUGUCACUUGAUCACAAUCACAUUGAUCCACAACUCACUCGAGGCAAAUUUCAUCUAUGUGUACUGCAAAUUUAGCCAAACCAUGCAUGCAUGAACAAAAUUAGGCCGUAGUCCUCAUCACAACAUUAAUUGAAGCCACAAAAGCCAGCAAAUCCAAACGAAAACUUAAAAGGAAGUCUUUUAACUAUUGGAAACAUUAAUCAUUUUACAAUCUAUUACAUAAUAAAGAUAAAUUUUAUAAUAAGUUAAGUUAGAACUAGGGAAGGCAAAUUUUCCCGAUGGGAUGGGAUCCUGCGGGAUCCCAUCCCAUUUGGGACGGGAUUGAGACAUAUUUUUGUCCCAUAAAAAAAUUUAGGACGGAAUUGGGAUUUUUUUUAUCCCAAUUACAUAUGCGGGACAUGAGUGGGAUUGACAAAUUCCGUCCCAUCCCAUCUCAUUACCGAUUAAUAAUGGAAAUUUUUCCAAUUGGGAUGGGAUCCCGCGGGAUCCCAUCUCUUUUAGGACGGGAUUGGGACAUAUUUUUGUCCCAAAAAAAUAUAAGGACGGGAUUAUGACAUUUUUUCAUCCCAUUUGCAUAUACGGGAUGGGACUGGGAUUGGUAAAUCCCAUCCCAUCCCAUCCCAUUGCCAACCCUAGUUAAAACAUAUCAAAUAUUUUCAACAUAUAUAAUUAUUUAAGAAGUCUUUUAACAAUAUUUUUUUUUCUUUUUCAGUUAAUCAUGUCAUAUACCGUUAUCUAAAACGCUGGCGAUAUUAUUAUUCCUCACUUUUCUCAAAAAAAAAAAAGAAAAAAAAAAGAAACAUGAUUAACGUUUAGAGAAAAGUCAUGCCUUUUAAAAAGAAUAUGUAUACAAUAGCAAUCCAUACUUUAUAAAAUUGAUGGCGAUUACAAAGAAAAAUUGUUUAAAAUAGAUUUGAUGCACAAAUAUGAUGACUUUUGGCAAAAAUUAGUUUCGGAAAUGUUGAGAUGAAAACCAUAUUAAUUGAGAAUUAAAAUUAUUUAACUACCAUCUAAUAGAUGAAAACCAUAUCAAUUGGGACUUAAAUUAAAAUUUAAAUAUUGAAAUAUCUAGCAUUACUCACAAUAACCAAUUCAAAUUAUGACUAUCAUGUAGAAGCAAAUGUUUAUGCGUGGGUUUUUUACUUCUUGAAUUUGAUUGGAAAAAUUUCUAAGAUAGAGAAGUGUUUUGGAUAAGCUUUUCGGGAUUGAAACCACAAAUUGGUAGAGGAAAUUAAUUUUGGACAAAUUUUUCUUAUAUUGUAGGACCUUCUAGUUGGAGUAGUGAUGGCUUUGUCUUCAUUUUUGGUUCCUUUUGUGUCGGCAGCCCCUUACUAUUCUCUUGACCCUGAGUUUGAGAUAGAAAUUUAUCAACCUCCAACCCCACAUCCACAAACAAGUUGAUUGAAACAAUUGCUCUUUUAAUUAAGAGGACCCAAAUGAUUUAGGUUUCAGUUCUUAUCAUUUGUCUAUUAUUUCUUUGAAACAUUUAUUUUGAGCGUUACUGAUCUUAAUUAUCUGUAUUUCUCCAAUUAUUGAAGAAUUUCAAGUGGCCACUUUUUCUCCUUUUUAUAUAUGUUUAUUUUUUGGAGUGAUCAAACGGGUGCAAAAUCAAGUAUUCGCUGGUCCGUAGUUUAGCCAACUAUGGCUGAUCCACACAGUUGAUUAUAUGAUACUAUUAGCUCUCAAAAUCUUUCUUAUUUGAGAACAUAAAUUGCCCAUUAAAGUUAAACUAUGUUACCCAGCUCCAUGCACAUACAUUAAAUGUUUAGGUAGUUUUACAAAAUGAUAACAGCAUGCCAAAACUUGAUGUUGUCAUAUUCGACAUUUCAAAUUGAAAAAUACGCAAGCAAUCUUCAGUGAACAUUACGUGUUUAUUGAAUAAUUUAAAUGGCCAGUAAAUCAACAGUCCGUGAGUUUUAAAUCUAUUAUGACUUAAUGUAUCUUUCUGUAUUUGUACACAUAUUAUAUUAUCAUAGUUUAAAAUUUUAAUAUUAUUUUAAAUGUUAAAAAUACUUUAAUGCUAUUAGUCUACUACACAGGUUAUAUUAUUUAUAUUAUAUUUGUAUUAAUUAAAACUUUUAAUGUCAAUUUUCUAAUUACUAUAUUAAUAAAGUAUUAUGGUUAAGAAAAAGUUUUGGCAUUUCUUCUUGAAAAUUUGAGGGUCUGCAUGACAAUUUUUCCAUAUUCUAAGGGUAUAAGUUUGAAAAUUUAACAUUCUCUAAAUUGAUGAAACAAAAAGGGGAAACCAAGAACUAUUCAAUUUUGUAUUUUUUGUUUGUAAUUCAAAAAAUGCAUCCACCAAACAAGUUUUACGCAUUAAUGCUGUCAUAAAACGAAAAACAAUUUGCCAAAAAAGGGUACCAAACAUAUCCUUAAUGUCUCACAUGAUUUCUUAGUAAGCCCGUAUUAGAUAUAUUUAUACAUUUUAGGUAUUUUAGUUAUAAAAGAAGUUGGCCCUCCCUUGUUUAUAAAAAAUAACUUUAUUCAUGCACAUAUGCCAAAAGAAUAAAUAGACAGAAAGUAAAUUUACAGUCCUCACUUCCUCACAAUUGUUAACGUGAAGAUGCAUUACAACUGUGAACUGUCACUACUUUAGCCUUUUUUUUUAAAAAAAAAAAUUAUAGUGUGAUGGAGACAUUAAGGAUGAGCAUAACAGUUAAAGAUGACUCAUUUUCUUUUUAAAGUGCUCUGCUGAAAGCCGAACUUCCUUUGGCUAAUUAAUUUAGAAGUAAAGCAGAGAAUAAAGUCCUAGACGCCUUCUGAAAUAAGAAAUACAUUUUAUAUGCUUUAAUUAUGAUUAUUUGGUAGACUAAAGACCUAAAAGAUAUGUCAAAAGUAUAAAACAGAGCGAUUAAAGAAAAAAGAAAAAAAACAGAGUAUUUGUGACGUAGAAUAACAAUUGGUAAAUAAAUCCUAAAUAUUUGAGUUGUUAAAAGCAAAUAUAACAGAGACGGUAAGAGAGAUGCAGAAACAGAAAACUAUUAGCUUAUCUUGAUUUUUCCACUAUAUUCAUUUUCAAUGCUUUUCAAACGAGAUUCUUUUAAUUCUUCUGGUGUCUGCAGCCCCGGCUAUUCUUAUAAAUCUCCAUCCCACAUCUGCACUACGAACAAGUUGACUGAAAUUAAAUAAUGUUGGAGAUGAAGGGUGAGCCGUCAACUUGUUAAAAAAAAACUCAUGUAUAAUAUUAUCAAUAAUAUAAAAUAUAUAAUAAUUAUUACAAAGAAUCAUAAAUUAGAAAAAUUAAUUAUUUUACAAUCUAUUUCUUAAGUAAGGUGGCGUUUGUUUUUUCAUCUGAAAUCUGAAUAGACCUGAAUUAAUCUGAAUUCUGAAUAGAUCUGAAUGUCUGAAUCUGAAUAAUAUGUUUGUUUUUUUGUUUGAAUCUUGGAAAAUAAGUAUUAAGUUGUUUGUUUUUUUCAACUUAAAAAGCUGAAAAUAUGUACUUUUACAUUUAUAUCCUUAUUAAAUUUGAAUGUCAAAUAAAUAAUAAAUUAAAUACCACAAUAUUUUAACAUUUAUAAGUAAAACUAUAUUCAAGUGAAUACAUAAUUAUUUUGGAAUUUUAAUAGAUAAAAUACUAAAAAUUUUAAAUUUUAUCGUAUAUAAUAUAAGAAAGAAAAAAUAGGAAAAUUUUCAUGUGGGGUAAAUGUUUAUGGGUGAGUUUUGGGAUAGACAUGAAAAAUAAAUUAUAAAGCAGGGAUAUUUUUGAUAUUAGCAAGUAAUUGACUUAAUUCAGAUUUCUCCAUUAAGUAAAAAGCCAAAAGAAUUGGCUUAUUUUAUUAAGUCAAAAUUAUCUAAAAAGUCUCAUUAAGUUAUAAAAACAAACACCUCUAAUUAACUUAAUUAAUUAAGUUAAGUCACUUUAAGUCAUUAAGUUAAAAAACAAACGCCACCUAAGAUAAAUCUUGUAAUAAGUUAAGUUAUAACGUAAAAAAUAUUUUCAAUUUAUAAUCAUUUAAGAAGUCAUUUAAUAAUAAAAUCUUUUUUUUUUAUCAGUAGGCCAUGCUACAGAGUAUCAUCUAUAUUCGUGGUGAUAUUAUUAUUACUCAGUAUCCUCAAAAAACACGAUUUAACAUUUAGAGAAAAUUCCUGCCUUUUAAAAAGAACAUGUAUGCAAUAGCUAGCCAUACUUUAUUUUACCACGACAAAAUUGAUGGUGAUUAAAUCAAUUUUCUCAAUUAAAGCAAAAUUUUUUAAAAUUGAUUUAAUGCACAAAUAUGAUGAUUUUUUGUAAAAAUUAGUUUUGGAAAAUAUAGUGAGAGAAAAUGGUGACGAUUAUUUUUCAAAUGUGCAAAUAGCCUAAACAUAAUCUCUAAUACCAAUAUCCAUGUGCAUCUUAACACCUUUCAUGAUAUUCUUUCAUUCAUGGCCAUUUGUUCAAGAUUUGAAUUUGAUUAUUAAAUUAUGUUCAAUAAUGUUAGAGAUCCCAACAAUUGAGUACCAACUUAAAUCCCAAUGCUAUGUGUCAUUAACAAAUGUUGUGUCAUUUAUAAUUAUUGAAUGAAUAAUUCGUUAAUUUAUUGAUAAAUGAAAAUUUAUUAAUUUAAAGAGAGAUAUUUUUUUUUGGUUUUAAGAAGAGUUUUGUUGGUACAUGUACAUACUUAUAAAGAAAUAAACUUGUAAUUAUACUAUAUCUUUCUUUCUUUGUUCAGUUUGGUGGGAUAUUGUGAUAAAUCAUUGGAUUAAAAUGCAUUUCUAAAUUGAAACUUGUUAAAAUCUAAUUUAUUUGGGAAACACAUGUUAUUUGUCAGUCGUACUUCUCAACUUAGCAAGUUAUUUCUAACUUGUCAGUCUCUAUUGGUUCUCUUAAAGUUAAUAGUCUCGAAUCUCCCGCAUUUGAUAUCUUGCCAUUACUCUUGGCAUUAACAUGUUACCUGAGAUUGGGAUUCAUUAAAAUCCUCAAUGUAAUCGGUGGAACGAAUGGAUUUCUUCUGUUCACCAAUCCACCAAAAUUUCUGUAAUUAAAUUCAAAAGUCAAGAUCUAUGCUUAUAAUCUAUUCAACAGUUAAUAUUCUAUUUUAUAUUUACUUAAAUAUGAAGAGCUAUGCUUGUCAUUAACUUCAAAUGUGAUCGAAGCAGCCUUACAUCUGUAUAUUACUUAUUCCCAACCUUUUUUUUGACUUCAUAUACUUUCUUUUCAUGUUAUUUACUCUUUUUUCCCCCCUCUCUAAUGGGGUCAAACUUGAAAGUAUCUUAAAAUCAGACAAUAAUUUUUUUUUUAUGAUAGAUGCUAAUAUGCUCUAUUAGGCAAUGAUAAGUAAUAACCUAGUUGUUUGCAUUAGAAAUGAUAUUUUUUGUGGUGCUGAUAAAGUGGUUGAGUAUGAUUCAACAAUUUAAAAUAUGAAAACAUGUGGAAGACGGCUGCAAAUAAAUUGAUUGUAUGAAAAUAUUUCAAUGAAAUUUUAAAAAUUUAAUACUUGUUAUCUUAUCGAGAGUUCCCAAAUAAUUGGGCUAGUUUAAUUACCGGCCUAAUUAUUGUAGCCACUAUUGUAUGUUCCCAAAUGAUCCCCGGGUUAGCUCAUUUAAUUGACUGCACCACUACUGGACUAAUAAGUAAGAUAACUAGCUAUUUGGGUCAAAAGCCUAAAUAUAUCAUUUAGUGGGAGGCUCCAUUUAAUUAGCUUUUGUAUAAGGGGCCUUAUGUUAUUUUACAAGGUGGGUCCCCUAUUGAAAAAGAAAAUAACGUGAGUUUUAUUUAGGGCAUUAUUUGGAGCCUAGGGUUUUCACUAAAGGGAGAUAUAUAAGGCUUAUUUUCUCUAAAGAAAAAAGAAAAGCCACUUUAUACAGAUCAGAGAAUAAGAUUUUUCUCUCCAUUGUUGAGAGAAAAAUUUUCUCGUGCUAGUUGCUUUGGUAGUGAUAAAGGCGCCCACACGUCAAGUGCAGAUCGAACCUGAGUCAUAACCUGGAAGAUCAUUGGUGACAGUUCAUGAUCUAACAAGCGUGGUGGUGACGGUUCGUGAUCUAACAAGCGUGGUGGUGACGGAUCGUGAUAUAACAAGAGUGGUGGUGGCGGAUCGUGAUCUAGGAGCCUAAAUCACUUCAGCGGAAAAAGCCAACUCGGAUUUUCAAGGUACGAUUUCUAGAAUACGAAUUCUUAUAUAUUAUAUGAGAGCGAUCUUCAAAAGGUUUUAUAAAAAUUUAAAAGCAGCAUGUGCUGCUGGCAGCUCGCUGCUGCGUAUGUAGCAACUGCAGCGCGCGAGCAGCAGCUGCAGUGCCCAAGCAGCAGCGUGAACGUGGGCUGGAGGCGCAGAGCGUUCUGGUUGGCGUCUUUCCGGCGUCGAUGACGGCUGUCCGGUGUGGAAACAGUAAACAACGGCUGGGUUUUUGUGCUGGUGGCGGCUGGGGAAGAAGAGGAAAAGAAAAAUGUGAUUUUAGGGUUCCAUGGUUUUUAUCGUGGAGGUCCCUAUAGCUUCAUAUUUUUCAGUUGGGCAGAAACGUUUUUUAAUUUUUUGCAUUUAAGUCCAAAAACCGUUUUGGGCUUAAAGAAUCCUAGUUUUAGGCCCAAUUUCAAUUGGGCUUAAUGGAUUAAAAAAAUGCAUAGACAAAAUUAAAUACAUUAAAUUUAUUUUUGGUCCAAAAGUUUUAUUUUAAUAAAAAAAAUUAAUUAUUUAUUUAUUUCCUUUCAAAAUUAAAAUUGGACCAAUUAUAAAUUUAAAAGCCCAAUUUCCCCUAGUCCAUUAACAAAAACAAGCUUAUGGAAGAUGGACAUUGACAAGAAGCCCAAUGAAGAUUAGGCAUAGGGUUAAUGUAUUUUUCAUUAUUAGGAAAGGCAUGAAUUAAGAUUAUUUAAUUGUUUUUCUAUAUGUUAUGUUUUGGAUGAUAACAUGCCAUGAUAACAUGUAAUAUAGAAUAGGUAGUGCCACUCUAUGCAUAAUGAUACAUGUCAUUCAUUAAUUAUGAAUUUCAUUAUAUUGUUUGAAAUUUGCGCAUGCUUAAUAAUAUUUGAUAUCAUCUAGAUAAUAUUAUAGGAAGCAUGCAAUUAACAAUAUGUAUGUUUUAAAAAGGAAAAACCAAUUUUAAAAUAUUGAGUGGGAGAGGGAAAAUUCAAGAUAAUUUUCCCACGGGCUCCAUUGUUAGUUCAAUAAUAAAAUUAUAUAUAUACCUCGACUUCAUGAUACAGUGAUGCUCAUUACGGAGGGUAUAUAUAUUAGAUAGUUUAUUUGAUGAACUUCUUCAAAGAUAAAAUUGAAAUAUUUUUCAAUCGAUUGUUCACCCCAACGGUGACUAUUGAUAUGAAAAAUACGUAGAUUGAAACAAUGGUUAUACACUCAACUAAAGUUUGUUAUUAAUCUUCCCAACGAAGCUCUGUUAACAAAUUUAGGCCCAAAAAGAUAACGAUAAUUAUUUAUCAUGUCUCUACAUGAAAGUAAAUAAUCCAAUGGGUAAUUGGGUCUAGUAAGUAUAGACAUGACUUCCCCACCGGAUAGCUUGUCAAAGCAGUACUAGAUUAUCGUUACAAUAAAUUAAAAUGCAUUUAUGGUUUUUUGCAUUUUUUUCAUUUAUUGUGAAUAUUGAUUCAAAUUAUUUAUGCAUGGAUGUUUUUAUUUUUCAGAAAAUGUCUUCCCUGAGCCCACUUACUAUUAUUCUGAGUCAAAACAAACUCACUGGAGAGAACUAUAUAGAUUGGAAAAGAAAUCUAUUCAUUGUCCUGACUGCUGAAAAUUAUAAAUAUGUCUUAACCCAGCCAUGCCCCCCAGUUCCAGCGGAUGAUGCUCAUAGAAAUCAGAGGAGGCUUUAUGAGAAAUGGCAAAAGGCCAAUGAAAUGGCAAAGUGCUACAUUUUAGCCUCGAUUUCUAAUAUUCUGCAGACCAAACAUCAGAACUUGGAGACUGCCACUGAAAUAAUGAAUAGUCUCCAACAGAUGUUCGGGCAGAGUACUCGCUCUGCGAGACAAGCAGCGCUGAAAGGAAUUAUGAACAGUAAAAUGGGGAAGGGCACAAGAGUUCGUGAUCAUGUCCUCAAAAUGAUGGACUAUUUGAAUGAGGCUGAGAUUCAGGGAGCACAAAUCGAUGAUAACUCAAAGAUUGACAUGGUGCUAGAAUCUCUGCCAGAAACAUUCAAGGAGUUUAAGGUCAAUUAUAACAUGAACAAAAGAAAUAUGACCUUAACUGAAUUGAUGAAUGAACUCCAUUCUGCUGAAGAGAUCUAUCGUGCUGAGAAAUCUCUGGGAAGCAUAAAUUUUACUGAAAAAAGUUCAUCUUCUGGGCCUAAACCGAAAGGCAAAGGUAAGAAGAAAGCUGGGAAAAAAAGACCGUCUACCAAGCAAGAUGGCAAGCCGAAAGGCAAAUGCUUCAAGUGUGGACAGAAAGGUCACUGGAAAAAGGAUUGCCCUAAGAUUGUGAAAUCAGGUAUGGGAAAUCUUUUUUGUAAUUGAGGCCUGUUUAGUUCAGAAUCCUAUUGACACUUGGGUGUUGGAUUCAGGAGCAACUAAUCAUAUUUGUAAUUCACUUUAUUGGUUUCAGGAAACCAGGAAAAUAAGUGAAAGAAGCGUCAAGCUGCAGUUAGGGACAGGACAGUUCGUGUCAGCAGUAAAGACUGGAUCUGUUUUAUUAUCUUUUAAUAAUGAGACUUUAGUUUUGAAUAAUUGUCUUUAUGUUCUAGACAUUAAGAGGAAUUUAAUUUCAGUAGCUUGUUUGUCAAAGCAAGGGUACACUGUAAAUUUUGGAUCCUCUGUUUCUAUUUUUCAUAAUAAGAGACUUAUUUGUUCUGGUACAUUGGAAGAUAAUUUAUAUCAUUUAAGUCCAAUGAUCCAUUCUAUGCAUGACACAGUGAUAAAUAAUAAUGAGCAUACACAUUUAUCUAAGAAAAGAAAUAUUUCUUCCAACCAAUGUUACCUCUGGCAUUUAUGCUUGGGUCAUAUAAACCAAAAUAGGAUACAAAGAAUGAUCAAAGAUGGGCUCUUGGGUCCAUUAGAAAAUGAAUCAUUGCCACUCUGUGAAUCCUGUUUAGAAGGGAAAAUGACCAAAAGGCCAUUCUCGGCCAAAGGAGUACGUGCAACAGUACCACUUGAAUUGGUACAUACAGAUGUAUGUGGACCAAUCAAUGUACAAGCUCGAGGAGGUUAUGAGUAUUUCAUCACUUUUACUAAUGAUUACUCAAGAUACGGUUAUGUUUAUCUGAUGCGUCAUAAGUCUGAAGCUCUUGAGAAAUUCAAAGAGUAUAGGGCUGAGACAGAAAAGCAAUUAGAUAAGAACAUAAAGAAACUUCGAUCUGAUCGAGGUGGUGAAUUUCUCUCAGGAGAUUUCAAAGAGUAUCUGGUUGAAAAUGGGAUUAUAUCUCAAUUGACUGCCUCGGGAACACCACAACAAAAUGGGGUAGCUGAAAGAAGAAAUAGAACUCUUUUGGAUAUGGUGAGAUCUAUGCUUAGUUAUUCUUCAUUACCAAUCUCUUUUUGGGGACUAGCACUGGAAACUGCAGUUUACCUUUUGAACUUAGUUCCAUCUAAGUCAGUGCCUAAAACCCCAAUAGAAUUAUGGUCAGGUCGCAAACCAAGUUUACGACAUGUCCGUAUUUGGGGAUCACCAGCACAUGUGCUGAAACCAAAGGCAGACAAAAUGGAUUCACGUUCUGAGGUUUGUAUGUUUGUGGGGUAUCCCAAAGGAACAAGGGGAGGUUUAUUUUAUAGUCCUCAAGAUAGGAAAGUGAUCGUGAGCACACAUUUCACUUCCCUUGAGGAAGACUAUAUGAAUAACUUCAAACCUAAGAGUAAGGUAAUACUUGAAGAGCUGUCAGGUGAUCAGGUUGAUGCUCAGCUUUCAACGCCUGUUACAGAACAGGAAGAACAGCAACAACCAGAUGAUCAACACAGGAUUAACCCUGAACAACCAUCACUUUUAUAACCUCGUCGUAGUGGGAGGGUAACUAGGUUACCUGCGAGAUACAUGUUUUUGGGAGAAAUCUAUACGGCUAUCUCAGAUGAACAUGUACAAGAUCCCACUAGUUACAACGAAGCUCUAAUAGAUAGAGAUGUUGAAUUUUGGAAAAAGGCCAUGAAUCAAGAAAUGGAUUCUAUGUAUUCCAAUAAAGUCUGGGAACUUGUAGAGGCACCAAAUGGGAUAAAACCUAUAGGGUGCAAGUGGAUCUACAAGAGAAAAAGAGGAGUAGACGGAAGGGUGGAAACAUUUAAAGCAAGAUUAGUAGCCAAAGGGUUUACUCAGAAAGAGGGAAUUGAUUAUGAGGAAACUUUUUCUCCGGUUGCUAUGCUUAAAUCCAUCAGGAUUCUGCUCUCCAUUGCUGUAAUGCUAGAUUAUGAAAUUUGGCAAAUGGAUGUCAAGACUGCCUUUCUUAACGGGCAUCUUGAAGAAAACAUCUACAUGCAGCAACCAGAUGGAUUUAUACAAAAAGGCCAAGAACACAUGGUAUGUAAGUUGCAGAAAUCCAUUUAUGGAUUGAAACAAGCAUCCCGGUCAUGGAACAUCAGAUUUGAUCAAGCGAUUAAAUCGUUUGGAUUCAUUCAGAACAUUGAUGAACCAUGUGUGUACAAGAAAAUUCAAGAAAAAUCUGUAGCCUUCCUAAUUUUUUAUGUAGACGAUAUUCUCCUAAUUGGAAACGAUAUAGGAGUAUUGACUACAAUAAAGAGUUGGUUAGCAAAACAAUUUGAUAUGAAAGACCUGGGAGAGGCAAGUUAUAUUCUUGGUAUCAAAUUACUACGAGACCAGAAGAAUAAAACUUUAGCCUUGUCUCAAGCGGUCUAUAUCGAUAAGAUAUUGGCUAGAUUUAGCAUGGAAAAUUCCAAGACUGGUUUAUUACCAUUCAGACAUGGAAUUACAUUCUCUAAGGAUCAAUCACCUAAAACAUCUGAAGAGAUAGAGAGAAUGAGACGAGUUCCCUAUGCAGAAGCUGUGGGAAGUCUUAUGUAUGCCAUGCUUUGCACUAGGCCAGACAUCUGUUUUGCGGUAGGGAUGGUUAGUAGAUAUCAAUCUAAUCCUGGACCUGAACACUGGACUGCGGUCAAGCAUAUAAUGAAGUAUCUGAAAAGAACUAAAAAUUAUAUGCUUGUGUAUUCUGGUGAUGAACUCAUUCCAGUGGGUUAUACUGAUUCUGACUUUAUGUCAGAUAAGGAUUCCAGAAAAUCAACUUCCGGCUAUGUGUUUACAUUGGGAAGUGGAACUAUUAGUUGGAGGAGUGUGAAACAAUCUUGUAUCGCAGACUCCACAACUGAAGCUGAAUAUGUGGCUGCAUCCGAAACUGCAAAAGAAGCUGUAUGGCUCCGCAAGUUCCUACAAGAUCUUGAGGUGGUACCUGCUGUAACUGCACCCCUUAAACUAUUUUGCGAUAAUAGUGGUGCGGUAGCUAAAUCUAAGGAACCACAAGAAACAAAAACAUAUUGAGAGGAAGUAUCAUCUUAUAAGGGAUAUAGUGCAGAGAGGUGAUGUGGAGGUUACUCAGAUUGCGUCACAGCAAAACUUGGCAGAUCCUUUUACUAAGGCCAUACCUGGGAAACCUUUUAACUUGCACUUGGAAUCCAUGGGCAUGCGUGAGAUGCCAAAUAUGCUUUGAGAGCUAGUGGGAGAUUGUUGGGAAAAUAUGCCCUUUAAAAGCAUAUGUGUUUAUUUAAUUGUAAUAAACAAUUUUUCUGAUUAAUAAAAUAAAUGAGGUAUUUUAUUCAAAUAUCUUAAUUGCAUUAAUAUUUGUAUUAAAGUCCAUUUAAUCAUAUUAUAUGUAUUUAUGUGAUCACCAUGUGGAUUCACAGAAGACAUAAAUACAAGUUAUCUUAUGAUUAAAUAAAUUUAGUUCGCAGUUGAUAAAUAAAGUUGGGCACUUUAUUUAGGUAUAGACUGUAAUAAAUUCAUUGAAUGAUUUGUCUUAAUCAUGUAUGAAUUUAUUGAUGUAGUACGACUACAUUAAACAGGAUCACAUGUGAGAUUUAAUUAACUUUGUAAUAACUGUCAGACUUAUUAAAUCUUAUAGGCAUUGAUUUUACUGUAAUCUUAAUCUUGAGUUAAUUAUGAUUUCAUGAUUGUAAUUGUUAUUCCAUUUGAGUUACCAAUGGGCACGACACAUCCUUGUGGUCAAGAUUACCCGGUAUCUUGGUGGGAGCAAUUAUGAGUAUUGGAGUUAUGGAUUAACAAUAUAGAAUUUGUACAACACAUCUCUCGAUAGGUUUUCGGCACUUGAUCAUAGAAUUCUUUGGCCAGAGUGUGUCAACAUAUUUAGUAUGUUGAAAAUGAUCAUUAGAGAAAACCAGUAAGGAUCAAGGAAUAAGAUGUUAUUAAAUUGAUUGGACAGUUGAGAUAUCAAUUUAAUUAACGAUGUGGUACAAAGGAUUGUGCAGUAAAGAAAUCAAUGUGGCUUGGGACGAAUUAUUAUUCGAGCAUACAAUUAUGGAAGUCAGUUCCAAUCUUUUAGUGGAGUAGAUUUGGAAUUAAAUAAUUGGGCUAGUUUAAUUACAGGCCUAAUUAUUGUAGCCACUAUUGUAUGUUCCCAAAUGAUCCCCGGGUUAGCUCAUUUAAUUGACUGCACCACUACUGGACUAAUAAGUAAGAUAACUAGCUAUUUGGGUCAAAAGCCUAAAUAUAUCAUUUAGUGGGAGGCUCCAUUUAAUUAGCUUUUGUAUAAGGGGCCUUAUGUUAUUUUACAAGGUGGGUCCCCUAUUGAAAAAGAAAAUAAUGUGAGUUUUAUUUAGGGCAUUAUUUGGAGCCUAGGGUUUUCACUAAAGAGAGAUAUAUAAGGCUUAUUUUCUCUAAAGAAAAAAGAAAAGCCACUUUAUACAGAUCAGAGAAUAAGAUUUUUCUCUCCAUUGUUGAGAGAAAAAUUUUCUCGUGCUAGUUGCUUUGGUAGUGAUAAAGGCACCCACACGUCAAGUGCAGAUCAAACCUGAGUCAUAACCUGGAAGAUCAUUGGUGACAGUUCAUGAUCUAACAAGCGUGGUGGUGACGGUUCGUGAUCUAACAAGCGUGGUGGUGACGGAUCGUGAUCUAACAAGAGUGGUGGUGGCGGAUCGUGAUCUAGGAGCCUAAAUCACUUCAGCGAAAAAAGCCAACUCGGAUUUUCAAGGUACGAUUUCUAGAAUACGAAUUCUUAUAUAUUAUAUGAGAGCGAUCUUCAAAACGUUUUAUAAAAAUUUAAAAACCGAAUUUUUUCACCAACACUAUGUAGCUAGAUGGCAUUUCUAGUGUUUCAAGGUUUAAAAGGGUGCAUAGCAGUGAAGGAAGGCAUUUGACCGAAGGGAUAUUCAAUUUCAAAUACUUCAAAAGAUAUAAAUUUUCUAAUCCGGGCGGAUAUUGGUCCAGGACUGCAAAACCCAAAUUCAAUACCUGAAGGUGUUUGAACUUUUUACAAAAAUUCUCGCAAUCUAUCAGAGCGAGACGAUCGCUUUCUGAACUGUGAUUCAGAAAAGAUUGGAGACGCAUGUCAGAAUAUUCUAAAGGAAAGAAGUCAAUCAGGCGUUCCACAAUGAAGCACCGUUUAACAUUUGCCACUGAUUCUUCUUCCAUUUCAGGCGUCAAGACAAAUCCCGUCUUCUUUGCCACAAAAUACAAUGAAGUAAAUUCAAGACUUGGAACAUAACACGCUUUAAUUGUGCCGCCGGCGCUUCUCUUACUCACUUGAAUGAAGCCGCGAUGGAUUAGUUCUUUCAAGUAAUGUUCGGCAGUUUCUUCAUCGUUGUAUGGUAUGAAACCUUCAGCUACCCACAACUGAUAUAAUUGCCUCGUGGACAUCUCAAUACUUGGAGGGAAGACACACAAAUAGAUGCAGCAGACUUUCAAGUGAAAAGGUAACUCCAUCACAGAAAAAAUUUAUCUCCAAACUGUCGGAAUCGCUUCGCCUUGAACAUAAUUUUCUAAUGGCAUACUUCCAUAGUGUAGGAUGAAAAAUUGCCAGGCUUCAUGCUUUAAUCUGAUCAAUGGUCCUCCAAAGAGCACUGAAUCACGCCGAAUCUUCUCUCCAUUUUCCAUUUCCAACGACGCAAGGAGGUGUGGAUCACUGACCAACAUCAAUACUCUGCUUCCAUUCUGAUUAUCAGGAAGAACUUUUUCAAGAUCACUCCAUAUCUUACUGUCAUCGAAGACAUCAUCAAGCACAAUAAAGUACUUCUUGUUUGUUAGGUAAUCUCGAAGAAUAGAUUUCUUCAAUUGAUAAUCUUCCCCGAUAAUUACACUAACCCGAGCUGGAGGCAUCACAGACUUGAUUAUGCCAUCCAAUAUCUUGCCAAAAUCGUAGGUUAUCGAAACCCUGACCCAAGCAAGACAGUCAAAAUAGAACUUGACGUGAUCAUUAUUGUAAGUAUCUGCAGCAAAAGCAGUCUUAUCGAAGCCACUGCUGUCGAGAAUUGCAACCACUGCAAGCCCAGAUGGUCCCUCAAUCAAUAGAUCAAACAACUCCUCCCUGCCCCUUUGAAAUUCAUUGAUAUCGAGCCGAGGUUGUCCCUCAUUCAAUAGGCGAAUGAUUUCGUUACUUUUCUCACUGAUAUCAAAACCAUUGUCGCCGGGUGGAAGUUGUUGCAUCCGAUUUCUAAUAUCAAUGAUUUUAGUGUGGAGUCCAACAAGAAGAGCCAUAUCAGUACUGCUUUCACUUUCGUUUUCACUGUUUUGCUGCUGCAUGAUGUUGAUGAAGAAUCUGUCAAUGGCUUCCUCAGAUUCAUGGACAAAGUCAUUGAUGUCCUCCAGAAUUUCCAAAAUAUCUGCUCUUUCAACAUCUUCUUCAUCGCUUUCUUCUAAGUCCAACAGUUCAUCGAAAUCUUCUCUAAGGAGUUGAAACAAAUGCCGAGCCAUGUCAACUUCAUAUUUUCCCAGCAGAGUAGUAGCAAUAAUUUCGGACUCCGUAAGAAGGUUUUGAAAAAGUGGAGUUAAAUUUGUUGAAUCUGGCAGCGGCAACGUGCCUUCUUCACCUGCUAACACCCUUUUCAACCUCUCACGAAAUAGUCGGAGGUGGACGUCCAGCAUAUCUCCUUCUCUCUGUAUCACCCAGAGGUAUAGUUGAAAGAUUAAACACCAUGGAAGAAUUUGAAAGGAAAAUGCCAAGAAACUGUGUAAGUGGCUAAACCAUGAAAAAUUGAUCAUUUUUUUGCAUUGUAAGUUGCGCGUUCAUUUAGAGAAAAGUCCAAGACGCGUGCCUUUUGCAAAGAACAGGUAUCCCAAUCGGUAUCCAACCUUUAUCUUAUUUAAUUACUACCAUGACAUAAUUGAUGGUGCUUAAAUCAAUUGUUUCUUUUUUAAUUUAAAGAAUUUUUCAUUAAAAAAAUAUUUUAAUAUCAAAUUGCCUUCAGUGGCGUAACAACUGCCUCAAGCCCAGUAACAGGACUAAUUAAAAAUUUUACAAUUUUGGGGCAUGGAAAUAGUAGUAUUAAACAUUAGAAAGGUAAGGUUGUUCUGUUAAAGAAUUGAUAUUGACAUAAUUUUAUUUUGGUUUUCGUGGAAAAAAAAAAUUUGUUGACAAGCAAGAAAAUAUUUUAUCAUAUAAAAGUAAUUUUAAAAAUAAAUAGAAACAUAAUAUUACAAUAAAUAAAUUAAAGUUUAAAUUAUUUGGAAUAUUAUAAAAAAUAAUGUUAAUAUUAUUAAUAGGAAGACAUUUUGUUAAUUUUAAAAUCUUUUUAAUCCAAAGGUUUAUUUAAAAUCUCUAUAAUAAAUACAAAUAUAAGAUUAAAAUAAAAAUCAUAAUUUGAAAUUUUUAAUAUUAUUUUAAAUGUUAAAUAUACUUUAAUGUUAUUAGCCUACUACGUAGAUUUUAUUAUUUAUAUUAUAUUCGUAUUGAUUAAAAUUUUUUAAAGUCAAUUUUUUAGUUAGUACAUUCAAGAGGUAUUAUAGUUAAAGAAAAGAUUUUGGUGCAACUGUUUUAAAAUUUCAGCGUCUAAAUGAUAAUUUUUUUAAAAUUUAAGGAAGUAGGUAUUAUUUUUCCAACAAUUAUUUUACUUUUGAGGGAAAUCCGAUAAGAAAUAUCAUCAAAGAACAUUAAUUUAACAUUCUUUACCUUUAUGAAAAAAGUGAAAACCAAGAACUAUUCAAUUUUGUAUUUUUUGUUUGUAAUUCAAAAAAUGCAUCCACCAAACAUGCUUAUCUUGAUUUUCCCACUUUAUUCAUUUUCGAUGCUUUUCAAAAGAGGUUCCUUUACUGGUCAUUGUCUACACUAUCAAACAAGUUGAUGGAAAUUGAACCCAUUAAGUUAUGUUCAUUACUGGUCAUUGUCUUUCUAUGAGCCACUUAUUUGGAGCAUUAGCGAUCUUAUAAGGAAUCAUGCCUUUUCAGGAUCGUUUUCUUUCAUUUCCCUAUUGUAGUAGUUAAUUAAAUAAAGAACGAACAGCUGAACUUGGUCUAUUUCGAGGAAGACCAAGGCUUCCAAUACUAGAGGAACUUUGAAGAAAAUUAAUUGGAAACCUUUAUUCAUCUUUGAAGAAAAUUACGUGCCAAUGUAACGAAGGCUUUUAUUCAUCUUCGGACUAUGAAUUUGUACAAAAACAUUAACAGAAAAUAAUAAAGACACAGCUAAAUGAUAGCAGCAAGUGCUGAUUUAGUGAACCACUUCUACAAGUAAAUAAAAACUAAAUAUUUAUUUUGACUAUAACAACAACUACCCUCUUGAAUAGGACUCUACAGCAGCCACAUGACAACUAAUUUCUCCAUAAUAUUAUUAUUAGUAGAAGUAGAUUUUCAAAAUUGUCUUGAUAUAUUUCAAAGUUGUAUUAUCAGCGUAUAUGUAUCUAGAUUGUAACUAUAUUUUAAAAAAUAUAAAAAUUUUAAUUAUUGCACAGUAAUGUAGAACAAUAUCUACAAAAUAAUAUUGUUAGGACUAAGAAAAAAUAUUAUUUUAGAUAAGUUAUUUAUUUAUUAUUGAAUGAAAAAUUUAUCAUGAUAAAUGAAUAUUUAUUAAUUUAAAGAGAGAUUUUUUUUGGUUUUAAGAAGAGUUUGUUUGGUACAUGCACACACUAAUAAAGAAACACAAAAAGUGCUUCCUCAAGUCAAUAGUAUUUGCUUUAAUUGCUAAGGUGCAUAAUAACGUAGCUUAGUUAGGAAAUUUGUAAUUAUAUUAUGGCUCCGUUUGGUAUAAUUUUUUAACUAGAACUUAUUUAAGGAGGGCUUUUAUUAGUAGAGUUUUUAUAAAUAGAGAUUUAACAAAAAAAAUUAUAGUUAUUUAGUUGUCAAUGUACAAAUUGAUGAAUUAUUGUUCUUUUUGUUAACAUGUGUUUGUUUUACUUAAUAAUAAAAGUUUAGUUUACAACAUUGAAGUUCAGCAGAGCAUUUUUGCAGCCAGUCACAUUAUACAUUAUACUAAUAGCAUCGGCAAGAGUUUUCGAUUGUUGCAACUUGCAAUGCACACGAUGCGAGAAAAUGAGAAUCUUGUUUAAUUGCAAUAUUGACAAACCUAAUCCUUUCGUAGGGAGUAAUUUAAUAAUCGUUCGUUAGUUGAAGCGUUAAUUUAAUAAGCGUUGAUUUCCCUUCGAUAACUCGAAGUCCACGACGAUUCUUCUUCUUCUCUGCUGCUCAUUACGCUUCUACCCAAACCCUAGGAUUCAAACCUUUGCUUAGGAGAGAAUCAAAGCGAUUGGUGUUGGAGGUGAUUGAGGCUCUUAGAAGCUUAGAGGUGUGUUAAUUCAAAUUCUUUUGUCGAGAUAAGUAAUUUCAUUCCUAAUAUACUGGAUAUGUAUAAGUAUUUUGAUGUUAUUAUAAGAGUUUUUAUACUUCUUAGAAGAUUAAUAGAUUUUCAUACCAAAAUUAGUUUAUGAAAAUGUUUUCAAAUCUGAAUUCUUUUGAUAAAAUAUUUUACAAAUGCGUUUUAAUAUGUAAAUUAUUUUAUGACAUGACUGCCUUUUAUGAUUUUGUCUAUGAAAUAUUUUUGCAAGCCUAAAUUGUUGCUAUAGACUUUCAUGAAUCUAAUAUGAAUGUUUUGUGCCUAUGUAUGAUUUUAAUUAUUUAUGACUGUACGGGGGCCACCUCUUGAGAUUAUAUGGGGGCCACCUCUUGAGGGCCAAAGCGCCGCAAAGUGCCACAUAGAGUGCAAAGUGCCAUGUAUAAGUCAUUAUGUUUUGGCUCAUUGUCCGUAGUUAUUCUGAUUCUAAUUCUGAUCGUAUUAUACGAUAUAUUUGUUCUGGACUAGUACUAGGUUUAUGUUCUAAGUGUGCACACGAUAUUCUGAUUCUGUUUCUGGUCAGGUCACCGAGACUAUAGGUGAUACUAUGUGACAUGAGCUAACUAUCUGCUUUCUGUGUACACUUUAUACGAUUUGCUUUCAUAAUUGAUUAUUCUUUUGAUACUCUGAAUUACCAUGAAUUUAUGUUAUAUAAUUGAAAUAUGUUGUUUUAUGAAGUUUAUGACUUAUAAUAUAUGUUUUUGAAUAAAAGAAGGCUUGCAAUAUUUUUGAUAUCGAUAGGCCUAGUGUAUUAGGAAUGAUUUUACCUACCGAGUUGACAGCCCACCCCUCGUUAUUACUUUUUGCAGAUUAAGUUCCUUUUAAGAGGUAUGCGUAGCUUUGGAGUUAGAGAUUUCGUUUCCGUUUGCUAUUUGAAUAAGAAGAGGAAUAGACUCAUGUUUCUUUUUAGUUUAUUUCUGUUAUGAGCUUGUAAUUUGGAGUUUGAGACUUUUGUUAUUGUUAUGUUUUGGAAGAGAUUAUUUAGUGUUAGACGUAUUAAUUUGCGGAUUUAUUUGAAUAAGAAUUUGAGGUAUUUGAGCUUGGAAUUUAUAAGUAAGGAUUACGAUUUGUAAGUAACCUCAUUCUUCAUGUGCUCCGCACGUGUUAGAUUUGGGGUGUUAUAUGUUUCGUAUAACUUUUCAAGUAGAGCUUAUUUAAAUAGAAUAUUCGUCAAUAAAGCUUCUAUAAAUAUAGAUUUUACUAAAAAAAAUUUAGUUGUUUGGUUGUCAAUGUCCAAAUUGACGAACUUUUGUUCCUUUGCUAACAUGUAUUUGUUUUACUUAAUAAUAGAAGUUUAGCUUACAAUUACACCGGCGUCAAAUCAACAGAGCAUUUUGGCAGCCAGUCACAUUAUACAUUAUACUAAUAGCAUCGGCAAGAGUUUUCGGUUGUUGCAACUUGCAAUGCACGCGAUGAGAGAAAAUGAGAAUCUUUUCUAAUUGCAAUAAUGACAAACCUAAUCCUUUCGUUGGGAGUAAUUUAAUAAUCGUUUGUUAUAAUUGAAUAUGUAUAAAGAAAGGAAAAUUCUAUUCAUAGAUUUCGACUUAUUUUUUGUUUAAAGUAAUUAAUCAUUCAACCAUCUUCAUUUGCCUCUGGCCAGUGCCCUUGUAGAUUAGUUGAAGCGUUAAUUAAUUCAGAUAAUUACAACGUCCUUUUCGCUAAUUAAUUAUGAUUAUAUAUGUUUCAUAUAGCAAGUGGCUUUGUAGAUCUAAACCAAGUUGCUAUUUCAAAACGUUAAUUAAGUGAUUCUCCUCAUUGUCAUCAGCGUUAUACGCUCUAGGAAAAUAGCUCAAUUGUUUCCCUGCAUUGACUUUCAUUGGUAAGUGAUUUCUUAUGAAAUUCUUUUGAGCUUUCCUUAUUAAAAAAGCUUGAGCUUUUAUCACCUAAUGCGGAUAUCAAUUAACUUGUGAAUGAUUUUGCAAUGAAACUAGGAGUUAAAUAAGAUUUUUACAUGAUGAAUUUUUAUUUUUUUAAUUUUUUGAUGUAGUCAAUUUGCUAAUUUUAUGUAUUUCAUAUUCAACGGAAUUUGGGCACGGAAAGUUUGGAUUCUAAUAUUUAUAUGUUUAGCUUUAAUCAGUUUGACUUUCGUAAUCUUUUUCCCCUCAUCAUUAAGGGAUUCAGAAUUAGAGAAACGUUAGGAAGAGGAAGAAAAUAAUUUCGGAAAUAAGUAAGAGGGAAAAAAUUAUUAAAUUAGGAAUGAUUUUUUGUAGAGUAUGUUCCGUUUACUAAACUGAAAUCGAAAUGAGCUGGAAUCAGAAUGGAUAGAAAUGCGAAUGCGCUGGAAUGAGAAUAAGUAAUGAGAAUCAGAAUAAGUUGUUUACUUGAAUUGUAAGAAUCGAAAUCGAAAUGAGCUGGAUUGCAAUUACUUUGUCCUACAAUUAGAAUCGGAAUGAGUUAGAUUGUAACAAAUUACUAAAAGGUACUUAAUGAAUUAUUGUCAUAAUAUUAUUUUAUAUUUUAAUUAUAGUGAUUAUUUAUUCUAAAAUUAUUAUUAUUAAUUAUUUUCAAUAAUAUGUUAAUAUGUUAAUUAAUUUUAAAAAUUAUUAAUUAAUUUAUUAUAAUAAUAUACUAAUUAAUUAUAAUAAUUAUUAUAAAAAUAUAUUAAUUAUUAAUAAUGAAAUUACUUAUUUAAUUAUAAUAAUAUAUUAAUUAUUGUGAUUAUUUAUUCAAAAAUUAUAAUUAUUAAUAAUUAUUGUUAAUAAUGUAUCAAUAUAUUUUAUAUUAUGAAAUUGUGAUGUAUUGUAGACAAAUAAGGAAUUUGGUACAAUAAAUUCUUAAUAUCUUAGUACAAAGUAUGGUAAAAUGGUAUUUUAACUUAUUGUAGACAGAUUAAAUUUCGACACACUUAAUCCAUGAUAAAAUUAAUGGAAAAUAAUGAUAAUUUAUACAAUUAAUCUUUUGAGCAAUAAAAAAAUAAAAGAAAAAGAAGUUACUAAAUUAUGUUUACUGCUAAGAGUGAAUCCACAAUCCUAAAUAAUUAUUUCCAUCGUUUCACUUAAAUUAAAUAGUGUGAAUUUAAAUUCUAAUUUUUUGAUAAAUUAAAAAGAAAUAAAAAAUUAAAAUUUUUCUCUAUGGAUCGACCUCGGAUUGAUCAAUUUAUUUCAUAACAACACACUUUUAUACUUGAGAGUUAUAAAUCACUUUGAAGUUGUGUUAAGUUUUUGACGCUCUUACGGGGAAAAAAUAUUUAUUUUAUUUUAUGUAUGGGUCAAACUUGAAAGUAUAUUUUAAGAUAACUGCUAAUAUGCUCUAUUAGACAAUGAUAACCUAGUUGUUUGUGGUGUUCAUAAUGAGUUUAAUUAUGAUUAAACAAUUUAAAAUAUGAAAAAAUAUGGAAGAUGGCCGUAAUUAAAUUGAUUGCAUGAAAAUAUUUCAAUGAAAUUUUAAAAAUUUGGUACUUAUUAUCUUAUCAAAAGAUUUUUAAAUUAUAUUACUACUUCAACUUAACUCCUCCUGGAUUGAUUGUAUUGAAUUUCCAGCACUGCCAUUGCUUCUACUUGAAAGCCAUUUAAGUUUGUGUAAGCUACCUAUAGUUUGAAUAACAAUUUACUCAUGAAUUGCCGUUCAUGAUAACAAUUUGAUUGAAAGUGCGGCUCCACUAAUUGUCUAGAUGAUUUUUUCCCACAUGUUUGUUCUCGUACGACCCCAGAAUGCUGUUAUAUCAGUUGUAUUGGAAAUUAAUCAACUGGUUACAACUCUACACCCCAUCAAUAUUUAAGCAGUCUACAGAACAUUAAUUGUGUUUUGAAAUUUUAAUGAGUCUCACGUGUUUUUCACGUGAUAUGCAGUAAAAACAAAAUUAAAAAAAUGUGAACAUUCAGCCCCAAAAUCCCCAACUCCUUCCAAAUUGGUUCCGCAGCCCCCAAAUCCCUUAAACCCAAAUCACUCUAAAAAGACUCUCCUCAGCCAAAAAGAAAAAGGUCACCUCACCUCUCCUCUUCUUCUUCCAUGGCGAUCAACGGCGGCACAAGCACGGGCUGAUCUCCUUCGUCGGUAACGAUCAACGGCGGUACAAGCAUGGGCAGAUCUUUUUUUGGCAAUGAUCAACAGCGGCACAAGCACAGUCGUCCUCAGGUACGGAUUUGAUGUUGGUUGUGUUGUCAAGUAGCGAUUCAUGUUUGGAAGAGAAUCCGCUCGCAAGGACCUGGAGCACUUAAUCGAAGAUCUUAAGCGAGGAAUUCGCUUCCUCCUCAUUCCUAAUCGGUGCCUGGUUCAUCAGUAUGAUUAAGGAUGAAAAUUGAGAAAGAAGGACGCAUUAGGUUUGAGACAUUGGUUGAAAAGCGCUACCCCGGUGGCCACGCUGGAAACAUAUGUUCCGUGGCUUCUUGCGUUGUCUGUGAGGAAUAUGUACUGCUGUAGAAGAUAAUUAUGAAUCAAUGGUAAUUGGCGUGUUGGUUUUGGUGCCGAUUUCCUCUUAUUUUCCAGAAAAGGCUUGUAAUUUGUUCACCUCAAGAUUCAAUUUGUUAUUGAAAAUGGAUGGCUGUAAAGACCUACUGGCCUUUCAUUAUAUUAAUGUUUUUGACAGUAAGUUUGUAAUAGUUAGUGCAGGGAACUUAUUGAUUCUUGAUUAUAUAUAACGGUGGCCCUUAUUACUUUAAAAAAAAAAAAAAAAUUGAUGAUGGGUUUCGUUUUGUAUAAGUGUUUGGAGUGUUGGAAAAUGAACAUUGUAUAUUUUAGAUAGUUGAGUUCCAUAGUAGUGAAAAGCUACGGAUUUGUUUUCUUUGUAUUGAAAUGUGUUUUGACCAUUAUAUGUUGUUUGAUUGGUGAUAGUUUUAUGUUUGUCAGUUCCAGUAGUCUCUUAAUCGCCAUCUGGCAUGGAAACUCACUGUGAAUAUGUGAAGAAUGCAGUGAUCAUAAGGAGUAAAUGAACGAUCAAACAUGCUAAAAUUAAAUACCAAAAAAUAAAAUAAAAUAAAAUAAAAUUGGAACUGGAAGAGUAAAUAGCAAAAGAUUGGGCGAAAAUUGAAUACCAUAACAAAAAAAAAAUUAAAAUAAAUUCAAACGACAAGAGCUAAUUAAGAGCAAAAAGAUGCUUGACUUACCAAGAGCAAGGACCAAGCAAAUGGUUUUACAUUCGGGCUUGAUGGUGAACUGGUUGGAGAUGGGUACGAAUGUGAUCUCGUUGAGAUUUGGAGAAGAGAACGGGGGAAUGGCCACAAUAUCUUUGUUACUUUUUUUUUUAAACUUUAUUUUACUGUUGAUCACAUGAAAAUCACGUGCAAGUCAUUAAAAUUUCUAAACACAGUUACUGCUGUCGUUUCGAUGUUCUCGGGCUAUCACAUGCUCGGUACGUCUAUCACUACUCGUCAAAAAAAAUGACACGCGUUCAUUUCCAAGACGCGUGCCUUACUACCAUGACAUGAUUGAUGGCGCUUAAAUCAAUUGGUUUUUUUUUUUAAUUUAAAGAAUUUUUCAUUAAAAAAAUAUUUUAAUAUCAAAUUGCCUUCAAUGGCAUAACUGCCACAAGCCCAGUAACAGGACUAAGGGUACGUUUGAGAUUGAGGUUGGGCAGCUGUACCUUUUAAGCUACAACACUAAAGUGCUUGGUAAACACUAGCUGCUCUAGGUUGGAAGCUAUAUUAAUAUGAUUUUUCACUUGUAUAAUAGAAAAUAUAUUAUAUCUUUAAUAAUUUUGUCAAAUUUAUAUUUACUACAUAUUAUUAAUUUUUGUUUUAUAGUCACAGCUUUUUUUCCACAGCACCUGUAGCUUAAAAGAUACAGCACCUCAAUCCCAAACGCAUCCUAAUUAAAAAUUUUAGAAUUUUUGGGCAUGGAAUUGAAAAGAGUAGUAUUAAACAUCAGAAAGCUAAGGUUGUUCUGUUAAAGAAUUGAUAUUGACAUAAUUUUAUUUUGGUUUUUGGGGAAAAAAAAUUUGUUGACAAGCAAGAAAAUAUUUUUAUAUUUUACAAUUUAUUAUACAUAUUUUAUCGUAUUAAAGUAAUUUUAAUAAUAAAUAGAAGCAUAAUAUUAAAUAAAGUUUAAAUUAUUUUGAAUAUUAUAAAAAAUAAUUUUAAUAUUAUUAAUAGGAAGAUAUUUUGUUAAUUUUAAAAUCUUUUUAACCCAAAGGUUUAUUUAAAAUGUUUAUUAUAAAUAAAAAUAUAAAAUUAAAUAUCAUAAUUUAAAAUUUUUAAUAUUAUUUUAAGUAUUAAAAAUAUUUUAAUGUUAUUAGUCUGCUACAUAGAUCAUAUUACUUAUAUUAUAUUUGUAAUGACUAAAAAUUUUUAAAAUCAAAUUUUUUAGUUACUAUAUUUACGAGAUAUUAUGGUUAAAGAAAAGACCUUGGUGUUACUUUUUACAAAUUUGAGUGUCUGCAUGAUAAUUUUAUCAAAAUUUAAGAAUGUAUGUGUCCUUUUCUCCAAUAAUUUAUUUCACUUUUGAGGGGAAUCCAAUGAGAAAUAUGAUAAGAGAAUGUCAAUUAUUUGUCAUUUUCUAUUUUUUCUGUAAGCUAUUCAUUUUGAGCAUUAGUGAUCUUGUCUGGACUACUCCAAUUAUUGAUGUAACUCCAGUGGCUGCAUCCACAGUUGAAUAUAUGAUAGUGUUAGCUCUUAUUUGAGAAUUCAGAGGGAUCUUCUAUGUUUAUCAAUUGCAAUGUGCUAGUAUAAAUUUCUUUACCUCACAGUUUAUAUAGUCUUGCUGUUAAAGAACUCACUGAGGCAUUAUUGACUCAAUUUCAGUGGAGCAAUCGCGCGUAGUGGAUAAAUAAAGGAUAACAGAACAGAGCUGAAGUGCUAAAUUGGCUAUUAAAGAAGGGUGUCACAUGAUCACAAUCACAUUGGUGCACAACUAGAGUUAGGCAAAUUUUGUCUAUAUGUACUCUAAAUUCAGACAAACCAUACAUGCAUGAACAAAAAUUAAACCGUCGUUCUAAUCACAACAGUAAUUGAAGCUACAAAAGCCAGCAAAUCUGAACAAAGACUUAAAAGAAAGAUCUUAUUCAAGUUGUCCCCAAAAGACAGCUGAAAUGAAUAAUAUUGACUAUUGAUUGGGUCAAUGCUGAAUUACAUUUCAAUAGGAAAGCUUGGCAGCAGUUACAAUGUUUCCCCCUCUGAUUUUCGUCCAAAACAAAUUCAGUUGUAAACAACAAUCGAAGUAGAAAUAAUUUAUUCAUCAAAGAAAAUACCCAAGUUUUCAACAAACAAAUCUUCUUGUCUAAACUAAAAAAACUCAUCUCUAAAAUCUAUCUGCAAAAUAUUGGAAAUGAGGAGUGAUCCGUCAACUCCAUAAAUAAACUCAUGCAUAAUGUUAACAAUAAUGAUAAAUUACAUAAUAAUUAUUAUAAAGAAUCAUAAAUUGGAAACACUAAUCAUUCUACAAUCUAUUAUAUAAGUAAGAUAAAUCUCAUAAUAAGUUAAGUUAUAAUGUAAUAAAUAUUUUCAAUAUAUAAUUAUUUAAGAAGUCAUUUAACAAUAAAAUAUUUUUUUUAUUCAAUUGAUCAUAUAGCGUUAUCUAAACUCAUGACGAAAUUAUUAUUACUCACUUUUCUAAAAAAAACAUGAUUAACUUUUAGAGAAAAGUCAUGCCUUUUAGAAAGAAUAUUACCGUGACAAAAUUGAUGGUGAUUAAUUCUAUUUUUAAAAUAGAUUUAAUGCACAAAUAUGGUGACUUUUGGCAAAAAUUAGUUUCGGAAGAUAUAGUGGUAGAAAAUAGUGAUGAUUAUUGUUUAAAUGUGUAAAUAGCCGAAGCAUAGCCCGUGAUACCAAUAUCCAUUUGCACCUUCAUUUGGAUUAUCACAUUUCAUGAUAUUCUUUCGUUCAUGACCAUUGUUCAAGAUUUGAAUUUGAAUACAAAUUAAGCUGCAAGGGAGCUUACUUCGGUUUCUAAGCUUUUCAAUUGUGAUUCCUGCAUGCCUUGCUCUGAUACUAUUUUGUUACUUGCCAAUGUAACCAACCUUGUAAUUGGUCUGUAUAAGAAAUCAAGCCCUUUCAGGAUUGUUUUCUUUUGUUUCUCUAUUGUAGUAGUCAACUAAAUAAAGAAUGAACAACUGAACUUGAUCUAUUUUGAUGAAGACCAAGACCUCCAAUACUAAAUGAACUUUGAAGAAGAUUAAUCUACUGCUUUUAUUCAUCUUUGGACUAUGAAUUUAUACAAAGACUUUAACAGAAAAUAACAAAGACAUAGCUAAAUGAUAGCAACAAGUGCUGACUUAGUGGACCACUUCUACAAGUAAAAAAAGACUAAAUAUUUAUUUUGACUAUAACAACAACUACCCUGAUGAACAGGACUCCACAUCAGCCACGUGACAACUAAUUUCUCCUUAAUAUUAUUAUUAGUAGAAGUAGAUUUUCAAACUAGUCUUGAUAUAUUUCAAAGUUGUAUUAACAAUGUAUAUGUAUCUAGAUUGUAACUAUAUUUUUAAAAAAUAAAAUAUUUUAAUUAUUGCACAGUAAAUGUAGAAGAAUAUCUGUAAAAUAAUAUUAUUAGGACUAAAAAAAUAUUAUUUUAGAUAAGUUAUUUAUUUAUUAUUGAAUUGAUAAUUUAUUAAUUUAUUUCUAAAUGAUAUUUAUUAAUUUAAAGAGAGACUUUUUUGGUUUUAUGAAGAGUUUGUUUGGUACAUGUUUACACUUAUAAAGAAACACAAAAAGUGCUUCCUCAAGUCAAUGGUAUUUGCUUUAAUGGCUACGGUUCAUAAUAAUAUAGCUUAGUAAGGAAAUUUGUAAUUAUAAUAUGACUCUUUUAGUACAACUUUUCAAGUAGAAUUUAUUUAAGUAGAGAUUUUGUUAGGAGAAGUAUUGUUAAUAGAGAUUUCACAAAAAAAAUUUUAAUUAUUUGAUUAUAAUAUCCAAAUUGAUGAACUUUUGUUCUUUUGUUAACAUCUGUUUGUUUUACUUAAUAAUAAAACUUUAGUGGGUUUGGCUACAAAUAAAAGUUUAGUGGGUUUGGCUACAAUGCCGUUGGCAUUGUUCCCGGCACCAUGCCGGGCUCUAAAAAAGAGAGCCCGGCUGUCUUUGGCUGCCAUUUGGCAGCCAAAGACUUGGUGCAGCCGGUUAACAAACCGGUUGCACCAUAUUUUUUAAAAAAUAUAUAUUAAAAAUAGAAUAUAAAAAUGAAAAAAAUUAAAUAAAAUGUCAAAAAUAAUUUUUAUAAUAUAAUUAAUAGCAAAAGAUAAAGAAAUUAAAUUAUAUAAUACAAACCCUAUAGUACAAUAUGAUAUAAUUAAAUAAAAUGGCAAAAAAUAAAGAAAUUGAAAAUGAAAAAAAUUGUAUUUCAGUUUUAACGUUAGUUAUUGCAUGUCCGACGUCCCGAUUUCAUGUUUGACAUAAGAAGUUGCAUGUUUUGGAUAAAACCAAAAUAAAGAAUAUUCUGGAAUAUUCUCGUCUGUUUCAUGUUUGACGUCAAAGUUGCGAACUUUACGUGGUAAGUUGCAUAUUUCGCGUGAAGUAUUGCGAGUUUCAUAUUUAACAUCAGUUGUUGCAUUUUUUACGGUUGGAUUUCAUGUUUGACGUACGAUGUUGCAUGUUUUGAAUAAAGCCAAAAUAAAGAAUAUUCCGGAAUAUUCUCGUCCGUUUCAUGUUUGACGUUGAAGUUGAGAACUUUACGUGGUAAGUUGCAUAUUUCGCGUGAAGUAUUGCAAGUUUCAUAUUUAACGUCAGUUGUUGCAUGUCGAACGUCACGGUUGCAUGUUUGACGUAAGCUGAUGCAUGUCUUGAAUAAAGCCAAAAUAAAGAAUAUUCUCGAAUAUUCUCGUCUGUUUCAUGUUUGACGUUGAAGUUGCGAACUUUACGUGGUAAGUUGCAUAUUUCGCGUGAAGUUUUGCAAGUUUCAUGUUUAACGUCGGUCGUUGCAUGUCGGACGUCACGGUUGCAUGUUUGACGUAAGCUGAUGCAUGUCUUGAAUAAAGCCAAAAUAAAAAAUAUUCUCGAAUAUUCUCGUCUGUUUCAUGUUUGACGUCGAAGUUGCGAACUUUACGUGGUAAGUUGCAUAUUUCGCGUGAAGUUUUGCAAGUUUCAUAUUUAAUGUCAGUUCUUGCAUGUCCGACGUCCCGAUUUCAUGUUUGACAUAUGAAGUUGCAUGUUUUGGAUAAAACCAAAAUAAAGAAUAUUCCAGAAUAUUCUCGUCCGUUUCAUGUUUGACGUCGAAGUUGCGAACUUUACGUGGUAAGUUGCAUAUUUCGCGUGAAGUUUUGCAAGUUUCAUAUUUAACGUCAGUUGUUGCAUUUUUUACGGUUGGAUUUCAUGUUUGAUGUACGAUGUUGCAUGUUUUGAAUAAAGCCAAAAUAAAGAAUAUUCUCGAAUAUUGACGUUGAAGCUGCGAACUUUACGUGGUAAGUUGCAUAUUUCGCGUGAAGUAUUGCAAGUUUCAUAUUUAACGUCAGUUGUUGCAUUUUUUACGGUUGGAUUUCAUGUUUGACGUACGAUGUUGCAUGUUUUGAAUAAAGCCAAAAUAAAGAAUAUUCCGGAAUAUUCUCGUCCGUUUCAUGUUUGACGUUGAAGUUGCGAACUUUACGUGGUAAGUUGCAUAUUUCGCGUGAAGUAUUGCAAGUUUCAUGUUUAACAUCCGUCGUUGCAUGUCGGACGUCACGGUUGCAUGUUUGACGUAAGCUGAUGCAUGUCUUGAAUAAAGCCAAAAUAAAGAAUAUUCUCGAAUAUUCUCGUCCGUUUCAUGUUUGACGUCGAAGUUGCGAACUUUACGUGGUAAGUUGCAUAUUUCGCGUGAAGUUUUGUAAGUUUCAUGUUUAACGUCCGUCGUUGCAUGUCGGACAUCACGGUUGAAUGUUUGACGUAAGCUGAUGCAUGUCUUGAAUAAAGCCAAAAUAAAGAAUAUUCUCGAAUAUUCUCGUCCGUUUCAUAUUUGACGUUGAAGUUGCAAACUUUACGUGAUAAGUUGCAUAUUUCACAUGUAGUGUUGUAGGUUGCAUGUUUAACGUUCGUUGUUGCAUGUCCGACGUCCCGAUUGCAUGUUUAACGUAAGAUGUUGCAUGUUUUGAAUAAAGCCAAAAUUAAGAAUAUUUCAGAAUAUUCUCGUCUGUUUCAUGUUUGACGUCGAAAUUGCGAACUUUACGUCAUGAGUUUUAUAUUUCGCGUAAAGCGUUGCAGGUUGUAUGUUUAACGUUAGUUAUUGCAUGUCCGACGUCCCGAUUUCAUGUUUGACGUCGAAGUUGCGAACUUUACGUGAUAAGUUGUAUAUUCUACGUGAAGUGUUAAAUGAAUUUUGUUUUAAAAAUACAGUUUAACCUCAAAACUGUAUGAAACUAUGUUAUGAUCCAAAACGUUAUAAAAAUUUUCAAAUUGGUCCAAUUUUAGAAUUUCUAAUUAUUACUUUAUUAAACUCAAAACUUUCUGAAAUUAAGAUAUGAUCCAAAAUAUAAGAAAUUAUAGAAUGACCCAAAACAUUUAAAUAUUUUGAAAUAGGUCCAAAUCCGAAAUUUAAAACAAUAAUUUAUUAAAAUCAAAGAUUAUGAAAAACAACUUAACUCCAUAAAGACAUAUUCUUAUUGUUAAAGCACAAUACAUAAAUCUUUAUUUAAUCAACACAUGUGGUUUGUUAUCGAAAUCUCAAUACAACACAUUAGUCCAAAAUUAUCCAAAGCAUACGGAAAUAACAUAUUAUCCAUGAAAUAUCAAACAAUCAAAACAAAUCCAUGUCAUUCAAAACAAAUACAUAAUCCAAAAUCAUAAUGAAAUGUAGGUGUGUCCAAAUACAAGCAUAAGAGACUACUAAGGUGGUGAGGAUGGUGGUGAUGGAGGUGGAUACGGAUAUGGAAUGCCGAAGUGCUCAAAGAGGAGGCGCUGUCCAUGAAUAAACUGCUGCUGCUGGUGGUGAAACUCAGUCUGCCACACAGAGAGUGUCCUCACCUCAUCCAUAAGCUGCUGAAGAGUAACUUCUUCAAAAGUAGGAUGCUCGGGAUGUGGUAAAGAAGGUGCAGAGGCUGUAGGAGCCGAGGGAGAUACUGAAGGAGCUCGACGUCUACGCUGACCCCGAAAUGAAAGUGCAAAAACAGGUAGCUGAUGGGCUGGAACCACAGCAUUAAGUGGUCGAUCAUCACUUGGAGCAAGAAAGGUGAACUUUUUAUCAGUGACUUUUACCCAAGUGCCAUUACGACACUCAAAACCUAAAGAACUAACAGCCUCAUCCCCAAUGCUCUUAGACGGCCUACAUGAUGGUUCUUGGAUAGUGACGCUAAAGUAUUUGAGGAUUCGGGUGAUGAAAUGACCAUUCAGAAGGGAACGAGUAAUCAACUUAGGUAUACUAAGCAUGUUUCGGACAAUGGUGUAUCCUAAGUCGACUGGACGAUGUCUAAGAAUACAAUCAAUCAAGGCAACAUCCAUAUGAGAAACCUCAUCCAAAUGGCCUGAUCUAUGAAGCACAAUACUCUGAAUAAAACGAAGUAAUAUCCGAGUUUGAAGACAAAGACAUUGGGUGCGAAAAUGGAUAGUACAAUCAUCAUCCGAAAGAUCAAUACGACGACAUAUAUUCUUAACAGCAUCAAUAUGAACAUAAUCAUCAAUAUCAGGAGGUUUCCUAGGUGAAAAAAUUUCUAGGCCAUCAUCGGAAGUUCCUAGAAUAGAGUUCAACUCCGAAUCAUCAAACUCAAUCGAAACUCCUUCAACUGUGGUGAUUACUCGAUUCUCUUUCUCCGCGGAACAAUCCAUAUUCGAGUAAAACACUUUCACCAAGUCGGGAUAUACAUUUUCCUCAAAAACAAUUGAAUUAAGCCAACCAACAUCUUCCAACAAUUGCAAUAAAGUUCUAUUACUAAUACUAAGAUUAUUCAACCAAUCCGGUAAAACAAAAAAGGUUUGGAGUACCUCACGAGUCAUGAACUGUUGGUGAAAUCGUUUGGCUAGAUGUUUGUGGUUCUGAAAGUGUCUGGCCUCAAAGUUGGAUUUAUUGGAUGUGCCCCCUGCUUGUCGUGACCGGUUGGUAUGUUGAACCGGUUCUUUGCCUUUUCUUCGAAUCGGCCGUGAGCUUGACAUGGUGAAUUUUUUUGAUUUGAAGUGAAAUAAAUCAAUGAGAAGGGAGAUAAUAAGGAUGGAAAGAGAUUUUGAGAAGCAAUUUCGAUCAAAAACGGCUUCAGAGGGGGAAAUCUAGAGAGAGAAGUUUCGGCUUAAACCAUAGAAUUGAUUUCGGAUCUAUUGAUUUUGAGGUUCAAAAAAGGUUUGAAGGAUGAUUUUGGAUACAAGAACGGAUGGGAAACAAGUUUCAUGGAUCCAUUUGCAUAAAAAACCUGUGAAAAUGAUGGAUUUUGGAGAGAAAACGAGAGAGGAAUAUUCGGUUUUAGAGAGAGAUAGCUAACCGGUUUACCGAAAGAUAAAGGAGGAGAUGAACAGUUUAUAUACUCGCGAAUCCGGCUAUCCGGAAAUUAUUAACCGGCUAACCCAUUGUAGGCAGUGACCUACCCACGCGAAUUCAGAUUUCCGGUUUGAAUAACCGGCUAUCCGGUUUCGUCUCCAAGAAAAAACAGCAAACUGCCUCACUCGGCUGAGAUAAAAAAAAACCAACUGUGAUAGGGAAUGCAUAAUUUGUUUGAAAGAUGAAGUUUCACUUGAUUUCUUGCCAUGUGCGUACCAAGUUUUGUGUGCCAGUUGCAGUGUCAAAAUUAUCAUAGUUUGUCUUAAGAAGUCUGAAAGAUUAGAAAAAGAGAUUGCUAAGUUCAAGAAAUGAAAGUGAGAUAAAAUUACUUGUGUCGCUUCUUGUGUCUUCCCAUUGUUUAAUUCUGAUAUUGUUGCUUACUAAAUUAACAAAGAAAGACCAGCACAAUGACUGCUGAUGAAUACUUUGAGAAGCAUCCAGAGCUAAGGAAAGAAGUUUGAUGAUGAAAUCCGGAAUGAUUAUUGGGGAUAUUAAUUCAGUCAUGUGCAUUCAGUUAUCGGGAACAUCUUCUUUCAUGCAGACUCUCGAGUUCAUCCCAACCACCAUGCUGUUUUGGUGCAUCAUAACAAGAAUAAGCCAAUUGUUUUACUCCAUUUUGGUUGAUUUGACUAUCACAAAAAAUUCCAUGAUAUUUGGACAUUACUCAGAAUCUAGCUAUAAUAAUUUCUCUUUUCUUAUUUGCCAAAUUUGCAUUAAGAUUUUUUUAGAAGAACUUUUAUGUUUUCACAUUCAGAAAGAGUUAAAGCAAAGCAAUUGCAGUAGCAGUGUGUAUGGAAUUUGUUGAAUGGAUCCAUUUGAAAGUCCAUUUUUUAUUCUUUAAUGUAAUAUCUAAUAUUAAAAAAAUCUUAAAACAAAAAUAUGAAUGAAUUGAAAAAUCAAAGUAGUAUUCCACAUUCCCAUGUAAAAAUAGAUUAACGACACCACUUUAAGAAAAGCUAAAAAUAAAAAUAGAUAUAUAUUAUUAAACAAAAUGAAAGUUGGAACUUACAAAGAGCUAAUAUUAUUACUUUAAUCUUCUAGUAUUUAGAGUUCAUCUUGUGGCUGAUAUUAUUGCUUGGCUACGUGAAACCAUUUUAGUCUUGUCAACACUAUCUUGUGGCUGAUAUUUUUUAUUGAAAUGCUCUUCAUCCACCAACUUGGUUCUUGUCAGUUUGCUUGGUAACUUCUUCUUGUUUGGUUUUGGUGCAUUAUUUAUCUAUUCACUCGUUAGUCAGACACUUUUUUUUUGUAUUUUUUGUUUCUACGCACAAGACUGAUAAAAUUAAAUGGGCUUAAUCUUUUGUCUUCCUAAUAGCAAUAUUCAAUAUUUAUUUAGUAAUAUUUCUAGAACUCUAAGAAAUAACUGGAUUUAAAUUUUAUGAAUUAUAUAUUGUGCUAAAAGCACAAAGACAAUCAUAUGAGUGUAUAUUAUUAUUAAAAUUAAACAAUUGGAUUUAACCUCCUCUUCAUACAAUUCAUAUACAUUGGCUCGCUCUCGCUCUCUUUUCUACAUGCAUGUGUCAUUUACAUUUAGGUAUUUGUAUGCGCGUAUAUUAUUAUAAUGUAAUCCCUCUAAAAAAUGAGACCAAUCACAGUCCAAACAAAAAAAAGAAAGAUAAAGAAAAGUUAAUACUUUAAUGGCAUUGUUAAUACGUCACAGUAAUCAUGUCCCUCGAAUCCGGAUAACUGGAUUUAACAACCGGUUAUCCGGAUGUUGACUGCAAGCAACAUGCUUGCUGUCACGCGAAUCCGGAUGACCGGAAGUCAACAACCGGUUAUCCGGAUGUUGACAGCAAGCAUGUCAAUCGAAACCGGAUAACCGGAUUUCCUAACCGGUUUUCCGGUUAUUGCAUGUCCUGUAUAAAGUUUAAAAAAAAUAAAGGUAAAAUUACCACGUUUGGUUGGUUAGGUUUGCAAUAAAUAUGAUGAAAAAAAAACUCACCUUCCCUCCAUUAAUGAGGGAUUAUCCUAAGGCUCAUGUCCAAGACUUCUUCACAAAAAACACAGUCACUCCAAAACAUAGUCCCAAAUACUAUUACUGCGGUCUCGUUCAACAUCUAUGGUGCCUAGUUUUCAACUUUUCAAAAGUUAAGUUUCUCUCCAACAAAGGUAUGUGUUGUAAUUUAAGUAGUUGAUUUGUGCUCCCAUAGAUGGUUUCAGAAAUAUUAUUAUAUUAAAUUAUUAAGAUAAAGGGUGUGAAUUAUGUUAUUAACAAAGUUUUGGUUGAACAGGGGUUAAAUAUGAGUAGCCCACAUAGUUCCAGCAACCUAGGAAUAUCCAUUGCUCCAAAUGUUGGUUUACAGGUAUCGGACGUACUUGGCAGUCAUUUCGACUCAGUAGAAGAUGCAGAACUGUGGUAUAACAAUUAUGCCCGAAUGCUUGGUUUUGGUGUUAGGAAAGAUGAUAUGCGGCGCGGAAAAAAGUCUAGACGAAUCACAAUUCGACGUUGGGUUUGUCAUUUCGAAGGGGUAAGAGAUGAAAGACAAUCUCAAAACUGCAGUAGGGUGCAGAACCACGACCUAUAACACGAACCGAGUGUCGGGCAUCAUUUCGAGUGAAUUACGAUGAUUCAGUUGGUAAAUACAUCGCCAAAGAAUUCAGGCCUGAGCACAACCAUCAUUUGGCUUCUACUAAUGGAGUUCAUCUCAUUCGUUCACAUCGAAAGGUUACUGAUGCAGAACUUGCGCAAGCAAAGGCAUUAAGGCAUGUUGGUGUGAAGACUUGCCAAUUCAUGGAUUACAUGGCUGAUCAGGUAGAGGGGCCUCAAAACCUAAGGUUCACACGCAAAGACAUGCAAAACACGCUAGAUGCUUCCACUCGUGCCGAGGUUGGAGAUUCUGACUCAGACACAACUAUAGCAUACUUUGCGGCAAAAUCUGAACAUGACCCUGGGCUUUGCUUUGAGUACACACUAGAUGAUGAAAAUAGACUACGAAAUUUGUUUUGGGCUGAUUGUGUAGCUCGUUAUGACUAUCAGUGUUUUGGUGAUGUGUUGGCAUUCGAUGCAACGUAUAAGACUAAUGUAUAUCAUAAACCCCUCGUUACACUUGUCGGAACAAACCAUCACUUCAGAACAACGGUCUUCGGUUUUGCUUUGCUCGCAGAUGAGACAAUUGACUCAUACACGUGGCUGCUACAAACUUUUCUAUCCACUAUGGGCAACCGAAUGCCCGUGUCUGUAAUUACUGAUGGUGACAAGGCAAUGUCGAAGGCAAUAAAGACAGUGUUUACCGGGUGCAUCCAUCGUCUUUGUUGUUGGCAUCUUGAGCGCAAUGCGCAGGCUAAUUUGAAGAACGAAGACUUUACGAGAAAAUUUCGUGAUUUGAUGUUGACACCUAUGACGGUAACUGAAUUUGAAACCCAAUGGUCAGCUGUAGUGGCUGAAUUCGCACUUGAACAUCAUGCAUGGGUACAGAAAAUGUAUUCAAAGCGGUGCAAGUGGGCGGAAGCUUAUCUUAGAGGAACAUUCUUUGCUGGUAUGCGAAGCACUCAACGAUGUGAAAGUAUGAAUGCAUAUCUUAGCCGAUUUGUCCAACAUAAACUAAAAUUGUAUGAGUUUGUGCGACAAAUCGAUCGUGCUCUCCGCAAUAUUCGUACCACAGAAACAUCCGAUGAGUUCAAAACCAAAUACAGUACUCCUGUCUUAAGAACUCACUUACAGAGCCUCGAGAAACAUGCUGCACAAUUGUUCCCGUUAAGAGUUUUUUCGAAGGUUAGAGAUGAGAUGCUGCGAGAAAGAGCGGUCAUCGAAGUAAAAACUGUCAAAGCUGUCGAUGUUGCAUUGUACACAGUGACUGAAUUUAGGACACCUACAACAUGUUGGAAUGUCAUCCACAAUCUACAAGAAAACCACAUACAGUGUUCGUGUCAAAUGAUGGAGUUUGUUGGGCUUCCUUGUAGGCAUAUGUUUCAUGUCUUGAAAGUGGAACAAAUUGAAAAGAUUCAUGACAAUAUGGUUUUUCGUAGAUGGACAAAAAAAGCCAAGGAGCACAAUACUUGCAGGACCACAAAACCAGAAGUUGACACUGAUGUUUCAGAGAUGGCUAGAUUUAGUGCAUUGUCUGCAGCCUGCAAUAAAAUGUGCUACAAUGCAGCAAAAAACGUUGAAGCCUAUGAAAAUGCAUUGGUAGAAAUCAAUCGGCUAACAUUAACUUAUGAACAACAAUCUGAACGAGACGGUCUCCCAAAUAAAAAAUUGCGGAUGGGAACAAAACUUCGUAAUCCUGCAGUUGUAAAAACCAAGGGCGCUAUGUCUAAAACAAAAUGUGUAGCAGAAAGCUCUAGAAAGUGUGGAAAAUGUCGUCAGGUUGGGCAUACAACACGAACUUGUUCUAUUCAAGGGAAUGAUAGCACCCAGCUAAGGUAUGUCCCAAGUUCUUUAUCAUGUGUUUAAUUAUUGCAUUGUUGGAUAUUUCAUUGCAAAUAACUUUCAUGGUAUUGAUUUAGUGUCGAUGGAAACUGUUUUGCCGCAUUCGAUUCAUCAAGCACCCAGAAUCUUGGAGCCUCUACUGGUGUCAAUCCAACAUUGUUAGGUCAUGCAAGCAACCAAUUUUCAAAUGUUUUUUAUUGGUGGCCUCAUUAAACAAUGCCAUUAAAAUGACUCAAUAUGUAUUACCAUUUGAAUUCCACUAUCAUGUACUAACAUGACAACCAGUUUAAUAUCAAAUGAUGAGAUGUGAACACUGUUAACAUGCAUAUGUUCAUUAUAGUUAAAUUAUGUCUCGGCCAAGAAUACAUAACCAUGUCAUAAAUUUAAAGAUAAUUCUCCAUUACAAUUGAUUUUACAACCAUCGUAAGCAAGAAGACAAAAAAAUUCACGGUAUUACCUCCCAACAUGUUUCAAACAUCUUACAACAAAAAAUAGUAUGCAAUCACUUGCAUAAUCAUUCCCUACUAUAGUUCGAUAUCUAAGCGCGUGUUCUCGUGUUAACUUUCUUCUUCUUACGAAUGUUGCCGCUUUGUUGGUGAAAUGACUUUUGCACUUGAGAGGAUACAGGGUUCACCAUUACAGCAUGAAUCGCAAACUGUGCAUUGCUUAGUUCCAGCAAUUUAUCUCGAUUUUGAUUCAAUGCAGAAUUAAUUAGUUGAAUGGCUAGCCUACCUCGUGUAUCCUCAGAUGUGAACUAGUCAAUUUGAAAGGAAACCAAUAUUACUUUCAUAUAAUAAGUAGCUUUUAUAUAAUUAUGAAGUUAACAAAAUUCUGAGUUCAACAAUUAAACAAGUUUGGCAUAGUCGUACCAAAGUGGACGAUUUCUUCGGAAUAAAUUCUGGGCUGUCCAUAUAGUUUAUCACAUAAACCCCACAGUCAUAUCCAUUCCUUUGCUUUGGAACUCCAAUGCCCCGGUUGAUUGGAAAGUCUUGAAACUUCAUGUGUUGCAUAUUGCUUGGCAAUUGGGGCUGCAUAAUCCAAUCCAAGGAAUGUAGCUGUCGGCAAUGUUGAAAACCAGACAAUAUUAUAGAUAUGAAUAUAACACAAUAUACAUAACUGAUAAUGUUAAAUAGAUAACAAAAAUAAAGAACAUGAUUAAGAUACAAUGCGCAUGGCUUGAUCGUGCCGUCUUCUAUUACUGCGGGGAUCUGGAAGAGGAUCCCAUAUUUCUGCACUUGUAUUUCUGACAUUCACGAUCAGUAGGUACCAAUGAGAUGAUUCAUCAUUUAUUGGCACAUAAAUCUAACAUUUCAAUUGUCAAUGUCAUACACCAAGCACACUAGUAGAAACUGAAAUAAGUUAAAGGUUAACAAACUAACCUUUUGACACUUAUGCACCUGUUGCAUAAAAUUCUUUCCACAUCUAGCUGCCCUUGCAAAACAAUCCACCUCAUCUCCGACCAUUAAAACUGCUUGCUACACAUAAUAAAGACAACGUUGAAUAAGGAAGUUGUCAAUAAAGAAACCAAAGCACAAUGCAACAAGUACCGGCGAGACUCACAGAAUAUCUUGUUGGUAAAUACCAGUUCAUUGGCACAUCUUUCUCCACCACCUACUGAAUGAGGGUGAGGUGAUGCGCUUUCAUAGAAAUCACCUAAAAGUGAUCAUAUUUAUUGAGAUAUAUAAUAACAUGUAAUAAACGAUAAACAUAUAUUGUGACAUCACCAAAUGUUGAAACCUAAUACCUCGCCACAUAGAUAAGCCCCCGGCAAAAGAGUCAAUAAAGAAUGCCGAUUAAGAAUUUCGCCGCAACUAGAAACAAUGAUUUCACUAAAGAUAAAACACGGUAAUUUUUUAGUCGUAUAGCAUAACAACUAUAUACAGAAAACUAAUUUCAGUCUUCUGAAUUUAACCUUCCCUCUGCGUCCUUGUUAAAAGCAUAUUGAAUAAGCUUCAAUUCUUCCAGCGUAACUGGAUCAUUGACUUGAAACGGACCAGCUUUAUACUUGGGAUUUGCUCCCCUGGACACUUGAUCGUACGGUGAAAGUUGAUAUCGGCCUGGCCUACGAUUCCUACUUGGUCGCGUUGGCAGGACACUGAGACUAGUAGAUGUUUGAGGUUCUUGCUUAAGUUGAACUGGUUCAUCUAUAUCCUUUAUAAAAAAUAAAUUUAUAUGUAAGUUACUUCAUAAGUGAGUUAUCAUUGAAAUCAUUUUAAGAAAACGACGUUAUAAAACUGUACCUCAUCUCGGAGAUUAGGUGGUGGAAUAGGGACAAAGUGGGUAGGAUCUUUGCGAAAUUCACCGAUUCCUUCUCUUGUCCCCAUCCAGCCCAUUAAUUUAUCGAGGCUCAGGUUCAAUCUGCGAUCCACAGAGUCCUCGUCGCUAUCCAUUACCAUUUUGUUUUUUUCCAUCAGUAGUUGGCUCGGUUUUUCUGACUGGACAUGUUGGUUCUACUAUUUUCAAGCUCGGAGAUUGCGGGCAUGGAUCAGAUGGUUGUUUUGAUAGUGCACCAACCGGAGACUUGGAUCUCAAUUCCUCCAAAGACUUCUCAACCAUUUCCAUUCUCACAUUGAAUGAAUCCAUUUUGUGUUCAAUUCUGUGGACACACUGUGUUAGUACCCUAAAAGCUUCCUCCAUAUUAACAGUGCUCGGCCCAACAUCUUCGGUUUGUUCAAAAUGAGCGAAAUUUCUUUCGAGCUGCAGAAAAUUUGAUUCACGCAUUGGAACCUAAAAUAAAUAUGCACAACAAUCAUACAUAAUGACAAUCAAAAUAUAUUCAAUUAACCGUAAACAAAAUUAAAUACAUGUGUGAACAAGACAAAAAAUAAAACAAACCUCAGUACUGGUCAUGUCCCCAAACUUUUUCCGCCAAUUCAAUAAGCGCCGAAUCUCUUCCUUGGUCCAUACACUAACAGGGCAAACUGUUCUGUCCAUGGAACACCGAUCAUAUAAAACAGCACUAAAGUAGAACAACUGUACAUUCAAAAAACAAUUACUACGUCAUUUUAUUUUUCGUAUUUGGAAAAUUAAUUAUGGCAUCUAAGAUUUCUUAAAUAUACCUCUAAAAACACAACACAACCACUAACUGACUUCACUUGAUUAUCUUUAUACUUCGCUAUGCCCUCCCACAGAAAGUUGAAACACCAUGUAGCCCAAUUCUUUUUCCUAAUUAAUUGCACAUCUUUUAGGGAAUGCAGAUACAUCGGAUUGAUGUAGCUGGCACUUGUGGGACACAAUACAGUUCCUAGAAGAAACAAACAAAACAUGAUCUUAAAGUCAUCAUCACUACUCUCACUAGCUAUUAUUCUUUCACUAACUGCGGCUAUUUCAAUUCCUCUUCCACUUGUUCUAUACUUGGCACGCAGUUCAAUUAUAUCACCCGCUUCUUCUCGGAUGUAUACUGGUUCCCCUCCAUCUUUGAUCCCCAUUACGAUGCUGAAGGUUGUAGGGUUUAAACAAAACUCUCUCUCGUGCAAAACUAUACAGUGCCUCUUUGUAUCACAUUGUUGGACAAGUGUUUCACAGAAGUCUUGUCUCAGGCGACCACAUCGUAAUUCUAGCAUGCUUCCGAAGCUAAUUUCUCUAAUUGCAGCUUGUUGGUCGGCCGAUAGUGUGGAAAUGACCUUAGUGAGUGCACUGACACGACAACGAGAUAAAUUACAUUGGCUAUGCUUAUCCCCAAUUUUUUGUUCUUCAUCUUGUUUUUCAAUACUCCUUUCACCAACAUUUGAACUUGGGUCCUCAUGCAUCGUACCAAAUCGGCACUUCUCCUCAUUCGUUAAUUUCUUCCAUUUUUCAACAAUUGUCGCCCUACAAACUUUUUUGAUCCCUUCUUGCCUGACCUUUUCUGCUUCAUGCUUACUGUACACAACAUUUUAGUUCAACUAAUUACGUCAACAAAAUUGUUAUAAUAAGAACCUUAUUCAAAGCAAUAAUUUUAUACUUACAAAAAGUGUAUCCACGCUCUCUGACCAGGUCCUCCCCUUCUGCCUUAUGUGGACUCCAUUUUAUAACUGUAUGCUAUAUUUUAAAUCCUGAAAUAGACCACACAUAAAUGUAGUAUCAAGGCCGGACCCAUAACAAUGGCUAAGUUCUUGGCAAAUUAUUGAGCGCUCAUCUUUAGUAUUCCUACCAAAGACUGUAGAGCUCAAAACAAGCAAACAACACCUAAAACCAAACAAGAAAAAUUUAGGGUUCCCAUAGAAAAAUAACACUUAAAAACCAAAUCUCAAAAAAUCAACCACAAAAUAGAAAUAAAUUAAAAAAUGCCAUUGAAUUUUUACCAACUAAUGCCAUUGAAACCACGCAAAACCAUGGGAACAUUGCAUCCCCUUCUAAAUAUCUUUCUUCAAUUUAAUGCUUGAAUUACAGUACAUCAAUCAUAUCAGGAUUGAGGAUUUUCUUGCCAAUUUCAUGCUUCCAAGCCAUUAAUCAUCUCUUCAACAUCAAUUUUUCAUCAUCUAAAUAUCUUUUUUCACUCUAAAUUACCAAACUUCUAAUUGUUUCAAAUCUCUAAUUAUUUCACACAAAAUUUAUAGUACAUCACAAAAACCACAAAGGUCAAAAUUACCUCAUCACCUUCUCGUUAACUCACAAAAUGAAAAGGAAAGAGAGGAACUUGUGUUCAUCUUCAACACCUCAGGAUGACAGCGACCGCUUCAUGGAUUCCACUUCUUAUUUGCUUUGAACGAGAUGGUGCCUUUGAUCUUCUAUGAUUACUAAACAAAUAGAAGAGAGAAAUUUGAGAGAAAUUUGUGAUUUCAAAGUGAGAUGUGAGAGAUUGGGAAUGGCCUGGGUGAAACCCUCAAAAAGCAAAAUUUUGUUUUGCAAGCUUUGGGAACCGGUUUAAUAAGUUAACAAUUUUUUCCUCUUUUUUAUUUCUUUUCAAUCUCAGCCGUUGGAUUCAUUUUACUUGAAUCCAACGGCUGCGUUUACAAGCCGGCACAAUGCCGGGCCUCAAUGCCCGGCAUUGUAGCUUUAGCCAAGUUUAGUUUACAAUUACACCGGUGUCAAAUCAGCAGAGCAUCGGCAAGAGUUUUCGAUUGUUGCAAUUUGCAAUGCAUGUGGUACAUGCACGCACUAAUAAAGAAACACAAAAAGUGCAUUCUCAAGCCAAUAGUAUUUGUUUUUAAUCGCUACUUUGCAUAAUAAUGUAGCUUAGUUAGGAAAUUUGUAAUUAUAUUAUGCGUCCGUUUGGUAUAACUUUUUAAUUAGAACUUAUUUAAGGAGAACUAUUGUUUGUAGAGUUUUUAUAAAUAGAAAUUUUAAUUAAAAAAAAUUAUAAUUAUUUAGUUGUCAAUGUCCAAAUUGAUGAACUAUUGUUCUUUUUGUUAACAUGUGUUUGUUUUACUUAAUAAUAAAACUUUAGUUUACAAUUACACCGGUGUCAAUUAUACUAAUAGCAUCGGCAAGAGUUUUCGAUUGUUGCAAUUUGCAAUGCACGCGGUGAGAGAAAAUGAGAAUCUUGUUUAAUCCUUUCAUUAGGAGUAAUUUAAUAAUCGUUUGUUAUAAUAGAAUAUGUAUAAAGAAAGGAAAAUUAUAUUCAUAGAUUUGGCUUAUUUUUUGUUUAAAGUAAUUCAGAUCAUUACAACGUCCUUUUCGCUAAUUAAUUACAACGUCCUUUUCGCUAAUUAAUUAUGAUUAUAUACAUUUUCAUAUGGCAAGUGGCAUUGUAGAUCUAAACGACGUUGCUAUUUCAAUACGUUAAUUAAGUGAUUCUCCUGAUUGUCAUCAGCGCUAUACCCUCUAGGAAAAUAGCUCAAUUGUUUUCCUGCAUUGAUUUUCAUUGGUAUGUGAUUUCUUAUGAAAUUCUUUUGAGCUUUCCUUAGUUAAAAAGCUUGAGCUUUUAUCACCUAAUACUGAUAUCAAUUAACUUGUGAACGAUUUUAUACCCUCUCUUUUUUUUCUUUUUUUUUAAGUACUCUGUUGAAAGCCAAAGUUCCUUUGGCCAGUUAAUUUAGAAGUGAAGGAAAGAAUAAAGUUAGGCCUCGACGUCUUUUGAGAUUAGAAAUACAUUUUGAAUGCUUUAAUAGAUGCAGAGCAAACUGGCUCGAUAUCUAACUAUUUUAAGAGCUAAAAUCAUUUAUUAGAAGUUGUAGCAUUAAAAAAAAUGGGCUUGAUAUCCAAUUUUGUUAUUGAAUAUGUCUCACGUGUUACUGGCAGAUGGCUAUGCUAGGUUUUAUUGCUCCUUGAAUUUGAUUGAAAAAUUAUUGAGGCGGACAAGUUUGGACCAUUGUUGGACACUGAAACUACACAUCAGUCUUAGAAAAUUGUAAUUUUGUUGGCUUAUCAUGAUUUUGAUCGCCUCACAUUGAUUUUCCUAUGACGUCUCUGUAGAGUGGCUAUGCUUACAUUUUUAGGUAUUUAAUUCUAAAAAUUAACUUAUUAGAUGGAAGGACCAAUUCUACCUGUAAAUACAAGUGGCUUCCCUUUACCAACUCAUACAAGACACAACAAUAAUCUUCUUCAGAAAAAACCACCGUCGGAGGGCUAUUUUCGUUCAACAUAAAUGAGUUGUUCCGCCACCAUAUUUUAAGGGUUUGCUUCUAAUACAACUUGGGGGAGCUAGGGCUAAGAUUUCUAAGAAUCAACAUAAAAACCUUGCCUAUUGGAUGGAAGGACCAAUCCCACUUAUGAGUCUAAAUGACUAAUUUUUGAGGACACAACUCAACAGACCAAUAUAAACUUUUGACGUCCCAUUUUAUUACUUUCCUGUGUUUUUACUUUUGAUGCUGUCUAUAGCCCUACUAUUCUAUUAAGCAGAAAAUAUUUCAAGGCACUCUCGGUCCAGUAGAUAACUUUGGUAUUUAUUAUCUAUUUUCUUUCCAUUUUAUGUAAACCCCGAUCUUUACCUCUGAUUGGUUGUAGAUUCUUUUGUUGCUUUGGGGUUAGGGGAUGGUUUUCAUAACUAUUAAGUUGAUCAAUGCAGAAAAUCACCAUCAAGAAAUGAUAAAGGAUUGUUAGUUCUAUCUGACAAACAACAUUAAUAUGAAGGAUGAUGAUUGUUCUGUUCAAGAGUUUAUAAUGACAUAAUUCUACUUUGGUCUUUUAAAAAAAGUAAUUUAGAAACGAGUAUGUGAGUGAUGACUUUUACAAAAUAAAUUACAUGCGCAGUGAUGAUUUUGACACAUGAAAAUGAAAAAAGAAAUAUAACUUGUGAAUAAUAAUUGAAGUACCUGCUAUUGUUAUAUUGGGUAUUGAUAAAUGGAUGGUUUUGGAAGAAUUGAAAAUGAUGGCAUAAGUAAACCGAAGUUAAGAGAAAAGAGAAAGAGCAUUUGAACUUUACUAGUAAGUAAAGGCAAAUUUCUUGGUUCAAGAAAAGAUAAGAGAUAUCAAACUAGCAAUAGGAAAAAGGAGGAAGGUUAAGACAGCAUCUUAACAAAAGCUAAAGAAAAGAAAAACUUAGUUCAAGCAAAGAACAAUGUGCUAAUGUCGUGUAAUCUUGUUUAAUUUCUUUUUCUUCUCACAUUUUCCAGGGCUUAAAUAAUACAAUAUACAUUUUCAAGCAAAGAACAAUAUGCAAUUGCAGUACUUCUGAGCACACAACAACAAAUAAAUAGUACAAUAUACAUACCCACUAAAUUAAAAAAAAAAUAUUAUUCAAGUUUGUGGACAAUACUGUAGCCAUGCCGUCGUCGAAAUCUACUGACAGCUGAAACAAAGAAAGAAUGGAUGAAUGCUGGAUCACAGUUGAAAUUGAAGGUCUGGUAGGUGAUGUUUCCCUCUCUGAUUUUACCUAAACAAAUACAAAAAAAUAAGAAUCACAAAUGAAAAUCUGCUAUUACACUGUUCUUACUUAUUAAAAUACAGAGGUUUCUUUGUUUCUCUGCAGCAAUGUCCAUGGCUAUUAGAAACAAGAACAAUUAGACCAGCAUUUGCAAGAAUCCUUUAAGGUAUUACUGCAGAUAUAAAUCCACUGAGGAAAUGGAAAAAGUGAAUACCAAAUUAGGCAAGUUAAAUGAAGAUUGAGUUAUCAUAGAAGAAUAAAACUCAUCCAAUUCAAUCCAUCAAAUUCCAUAAGGAUACAACUGGAUGUCAUACUGCUGCUCCAUAUCCUCAAGAGCCCGUAGAUUUUGCCUCAACUCUGGCUGAGGCCAAUGUAAGUCCAAUUUGCAAAAGCUCUUUAUGCACCAUAGCUCUUCAGGAAGCUUUCUCAAGUAAGCACAAGGGUUGACAAUUAUGCUCCCAAGUUUUGGCAUUGCUCCAGCCCCUAUCGUCCACUCCUCUAGCCAACAAAUUGAUUUCAGGUGCAAUACUUUGAGCUCCGGGAAACCACAAGAGCAAACACAAGCCAGUUUUCUUCCUGAAUAUGAGUUCUGCUUCAAUUUCAGCACUUGAAGGUGUGGAAGCUUGUCUAGUGUUAGCAUGGUAUCCGCCAAUAACUCAGUAUUUGAUAAGCUUAGUUGGAUCAGACUUGGAGAAGCUGGUAUUUAGACAGGGCCAUCCGAGAGAGCUACCACCUCUUGGUUUCGUUCACCAGCUUCAAGCAUUCAAGUUUGUGUAGUUCGCAUAGGCUUUUGGAAACCCCAGAACGAUAAUAACUCAAACCUCCAGAUACUAAGAGUUUGAAAAUGAGGUAGUCUGCCUGUUAAAGUAGCUCACUAUGCUGAACGAAAGAAGGAGAAAGCUAAGCUGAAGAAAAUACAGGGCAAGAGUAUUAGCUGUGCCAGCUCAACUGACAGCUCAGCAAAAUCAGUUAAAUUUUGUUACAAGCCCCCUGUGCAUUGUGCUGAAGAUUAGUUAGUUUAAUAAUGAUUAGUUUUAGAUUAGUUAAAAUGUAAUCAUGAUUAAGAUAUAUAUAUAUAUAUAUAUAUAUAUAUAUAGAUAUAGAUAUAUAUAUAGCUGCUGUACUGAUAGGGCAUCUCAAAAGUUCUGAAAUAAUACCUCAAUUCUAUGGCAAAAAUAAAUAAUCUCAAACAAGAACCAAUAAUCAUAUUUUGUUACUGUCAAACACAAUGCAUAUGAGCAAAACAUUGGAAGCCAACACCAGAAUACAUAUGAAUAAACAAUUAAAGAUAGAGAAAAAAGGCUUAAACCUUGGGGGAAAAAAGUGAAAAAACAUGAAAGACAAAUUACACAUGUGCAGUAACCAUCGAACUUAUCAGUGACAGCUGCAUCCAUUACAUUGCUCCAACAACACAAUGGCAAACCACCAGUUUCAAAUUGAGGAUAGCUAUCGAGAAUGAGAAAGUGUCCAAAACAUCAUAAAUAGACAUGUUCCUAUUGUGCAUAAUUUACAUUAUAGGCAAAUAUUCUUAUACCAUCAAAGGCAAAACAUGACACUAACAAUUGAUCCCCCCCCCCCCCCCCCCCCCCCCCCCCCCAACAAAAAAAAAGGAAAAAACAAUACAGAAAAGAUUGAAACAGAUAAGGCUACACUGAGCACAGGAUGCCAUGAAACAUAAUCCAGGAACCAAAUUAAUAAAGAAGGAAGGCAAACCAUUAUUUAACAAUCUGUUUUGUAUUUGGGAAAGUCCGAUAAAAUCUACUUAGGGAUAAUUAGAGAACCUCAACUAUUAAUCACACCUCAUAAAUGAACUAACAUUAACCAUGUACCAUCCCCACAUCAGACAAACAUUCUCUAUACUUCUGAACCUAAUACUUCCAUCUUCAAUUGGGGUUUUUUUUUGUGGGGGGGGGGGGGGAUAAGCUAUCGUGUUUCUAAGCUUGCUUACCUUCUGUGUGGGACUGAAAUACUGAUUUCGAAUCAUUAACAGUAAAAUUGGAAGCUCAUGAAAAAACAAUUUUAUCUUUUAACAAAAGUUAAAAUUACAUCUCCAUAUAAAUUCUCUUUUCAUUUCCUUCAAUUUUCUAAUUAAGCUUAAAAAAAUGUACCUUCAACCACAAAGGGGUUUAAAAUUUAAAAUAUAUAAAAAAAUAAAUUCAGAUAACAAUAAUUAAUUUAAUUAAAAAUAUAAAUAGAGAUUACAGAGAAAGAGAAAAUAGAGAAAGACCUAAUGUUGAGUCCUUUGGUUCUCUUCAUAGGUCCGAACCAUUUCUUCGGGCGUGGGUUUCGGGUCUUUAGGAAACUCCAUCGUCAUAAGCCAGUGAUUGUAAUCGCAACCCUCCAACAGAAUCGUGUCGGGUGUGAUCUCGUCGCCGUCCUUACACAAGUGGUAAGUCUUGUUACCCGACGGCGCAGACGAGAGGGAGAUCGUCGGGGACGAUCUGAACGGCCGAGAAUGGAUGAUGAUGGAGGAGGAGGAGGAGAUUAGCGAUGACGACGCCGAUGAAAUGGAAGGGUUUACCAGAGGAGUGGAUGCCGAAAGUGCAGGGACGGCCGCCAGGAGAGAGCGGUGGAGAGCAGCGACGGCCGGCAGUGACCGGCGGAAGAUGGCGGGAGAUGGCAGCGUGGGCCAUUGCUUGCGCGUCAGUGAGUGUCUCGAGUGAGAGAGUGAAGGUAGGGAUGGCAAUGGGGAGGGAGGGAGGGUCCAAUCUCUCCGUACCCAUCCCCCAAUUUGUCCCCGUCCCUCCCCGUCCCCAUUUGCUUAGAAUCUCCAUCUCUGCUCGAAUAAUAACAGGAAAUCCUCGAGGUUCUAAAUAACUAAUAAUUUUUUUUAUUUUUUAUUUUUUUAUUUUUAGUUAAUUAUAUUAAAAUAAAAAAUAAAAAAUAAAAAUAAAAUUUAAAAUAUAUCUUAUAUUAAUAUUGAUCCAUUAUAAAAAUUACAUGUAAAAUAUAAAUUAUCAAAAUAAUUAUCUUUAUCAAUCUUCAUAAUCAUAUAAUAAAAAGAAAAAAAUUUACUUUUAUAUUGAUAAUAAAAUAAAUAUAGAUAAUUAAUUAAUAUUUUUAAUAAAACAAAAUUUUUGGGCUAAUAGAAUCUACCCUGCUUUUUUAAUAUCUUAAAUAAAAAUUUAAGACUUUAAUUAGUUAAUUAGGCCUAAAAAUUUAAUAAUAUAAAUAUUUUGAUAUUUUUUAUUUUACCAAUAUUUAUAAUUUUAUAAUAUAUUCAAUUUUUAUUAUUUAUUUACUAGUAAUUUUAAAAAAUAAAAAUAAAAUUAAAAAAUAAAAUGGGGGAAAUGGGGAGGGGAUGGGGAUUCCACCUCAUCCUUGUCCCUUCCUCGAAUAAGAAAUUGAUUAAAAAAAAUUUCCCGUCACUUUCUCGAAUAAGAAAUCGGGUAUAAAAUUAUCCUCGUACCCUCCUCGAAUGAGAAAAAUCUCCGAGGAUACCCAUACCCGUGGGGAUUUUUGCCAUCCCUAAGUGAAGGAUUUUGUUUAGGGUUUUGGGAAUUGAAAAAUGUAAAUGUUUGAUUUUGUUGCUAGAAACUUCUUCUGCCGCUGCUUUUUAUUUUCGCUAUAAAAGUAAUAAUUUGUUAAUCAAAUAUUUUCUUAAAAAAGAUAAAUUUCUAGAACAAAAUUUAUAUUAAAUCAAAUUGUAAAAAUGUGGAAUAGGGCUAAUUUCUCCUUAAUAUUAUUGUUAGUAGAAGUAGAUUUUCGAACUAGUCUUGAUAUAUUUUAGAGUUGUAUUAUAGAUGUAUAUGUAUCUAGAUUGUAAUUAUAUUUUAAAAAAUAUAAUUUUUUUAAUUAUUGCACAAUAAGUGUAGAAAAUAUCUAUAAAAUAAUAUUAUUAGAACUAUGAAAAGAAUUUAUUUUAGAGAAGUUGUUUUUUUAUUAUUGAAUUUGUUAAUUUAUUAAUUUAUUGACAAAUGAAUAUUUAUUAAUUUAAAGAGGGAUUUUUUUUUAUUUGCUUUUAAGAAGAGUUUUGUUGGUACAUGUACAUACUUAUAAAGAAAUACAAAAAGUGCUUCCUCUGUUCCUCAAAUCAAUAGUAUUUACUUUAAUUCAUAAUAAUAUAGCUUAUUUAGGAAACUUGUAAUUAUACCAUGUCUUUGUUUCUUUGUUCAUUUUGGUGGGACAAUGUGAUAAAUGAUUGGAUUAAAAUGCAUUAAUAAAUAAAAACUUAUUAAAACCUAAUUUAUUUGGGAACCACAUAUUAUUUGUCAGUAGUAUUUAUCAACUUAACAAGUUAUUUCUAAUUUGUCCCUCUCUAUUAAUGGUUCUCUUAAAGCCAAUAGGGUCGCAUUUGAUAUCUUGCCAUUACCGUUGGCAGUAGCGUGUUACCUAAGAUUUGGAUUCAUUGAAAUCCUCAAUGUAAUCGGUGGAACGAAUGGAUUUCUUCUAUUCAUAAUUUGAUGCUUUGGAUUCAUUGAAAUCCUCAACGCAUUUGAUAUCUUUUUCGUUGAAUUCGUGCAGUUAAAUAAUCUCUACCAACAUAUGUAUGUAUGUAUGAAAUUGGAGUAACCAGACCUUUUCAAGAGUUAAAUAAUCUCUACCAACAUUGUAGAUUGCCCGAUAAAGUUAACUGUGUUACCCAGCUCUAUGCAUAUACAUUAAAUGCAUGUUUGGGUAGUUUUAUAAAAUGAUAACAGCAUGUCAAAACUUGAUAUGAGUUAUAUUGUCAUAUUCGACAUUUUUAAAUUGAAAAAUAAGCAAGCAAUCUUCAGUGAACAUUACAAUUUUGUUCGCUCUACACCCCAUCAAUAUUUAAGCAAUCUACAUAUCAUUACUUGAGGAAAGAAACUCAUUGCGCCACUAGGCUUUUAACGAGGCUCAUUUCUAUGAAUCUGGAUAGCAUUAGAUAUCUCUCCGAAUACUGUUGGGAGUAGAUUGCAGUUCUCUGGGCUAUACUACAAAGUGUAUGUACGUUGAUUCUCUGAUAUGAUUCAAAACAUCAGUACAUGCAUCAUUUAAUGAGAAAGAAUAUUCUGAGAUUAUUUAUGCAUCACCAUUUGUAGUUGUACUGACUCUAAUGAAAUUAAAGGUGCAAUCAGCAACUAAAAUGAAGCCAGAAAGACACGCAUGAGGCAGUUUUCCUAGAAGAUUUGAUAUUUCUUUGACUAGCAAACCAUACGACAUUAAUCAAAACACAAUACGCACAAACAGACCCCUACAUACAUACCAGCAAAUUCAAAAUAGAAAAAGGAGUGCAACUAUUCAAGUUUGUAGACAAUAUUGCAGCCAUGGCAUAUCAAAGCAAAUCCUUGAAAUGUGCUAAACAGAACAAUGCCCUGUCUGAUGAAUCGACGCUCAAUUACAAUUGAAAUUGAAAGUCCGGCUGGUGUUGUUUCCCUCUCCAGUUUUGCCUACAUAAGUAAAGGGAAAUGAGAAUCAUAAAAGAAAAUCUGCUUUUAUGGUUCUUAUUAGAUAGAUAAAAAGGGAUCUUUCUUUGUUUCUCUGCUGCAAUGUGUGGCUAUCCCACUCUGUUUUGCCAGUCAAGCUGAGUCUAUGUUGAGACAUAAUUUUGACAUCAGAAGCGGCCUCAAUUAGUUUGGCACUUUUGCGAUAAACAUAAAUCUACUAAGAAAGUGCAAAAAAAAAAAAGAAAAUGAAUAUAAAAGUAUGAUUUAUCAGAUAAGAUUAAAACUCACCCAAUUAAAUCCGUCAGAUUCCAUAAGGAUAUAACUGGAUGUCAUACCGCCACUCCAUAUCCUCGAAAGUCCGUAGUCUUUGUCUCAGCUCUGUCUGAGGCCAAUGUAAAUCCAAUUUGCGCAAGCUCUUUAUGCACCACAGCUCUUCUGGAAGCUUUCUCAGGUAAGCACAUGGGUUGACAAUUAAGCUUUCAAGUUUUGGCAUUGUUCCUCCCCCCAUCGUCCACUCAUCUAGCCAAUACAUUGAUUUCAGGUGCAAAACCUUAAGCUCCGGAAAGCCACCAGAGCCGACACAGGCCAGCUUUCUUCCUAAAUACGAGUUCUGCUUCAGUUUCAGCACUCGAAGGCGUGGAAGAUUUUCCAGAAUUGGCAUGGGAUCCUCCAUUAGCUCAGUAUUUGAUAAGCUCAGUUGGAUCAGACUUGGGGGAAAUUGGUAUUCAGACAGGACCAUCCGUGAGGGCUUGCUCUCAUUCACCAGCUUCAAGCAUUCAAGUUUGUGGAGUUCGCAAAGGCUUUUGGAAACCCCAGAUUGAUAGUAACUCAAAUCUCCAGAUAUCCGAAGAGUCCGAACACUGGGUAGUCUGCCCAAUAUAUCAGGAGUACAACUACUAGGGUUUAAAGCUGAUAUGAAAAUGAGAUUUUUCAGAGAGCUAGUAUAAUUUUUUGGAGGUGCGGGCAGAGUGAUAGAACCAAAGUUUAGAUGCGUGAGUUUUUGCAUCAUCCAAAUAUCCUCUGGCGACUGAUCUAUGUAGCUAGAUGGCAUUUCUAGUGUUUGAAGGUUUAAAAGGGUGCAUAGCAGCAAAGGAAGGCAUUUGAGCGAAGGGAUAUUCAAUUUCAAGUACUUCAAAAAAUAUAAAUUUUCUAAUCCGGGUGGAAAUUGGUCGAGAACUGCGGAACCCAAGUUCAGUACCCGAAGGUAUUUGAACUUUUUACAAAAAUUCUCGCAAUCUAUCAGAGCGAGAUGAUCGCUUCGUGAACUGUGAUUCAGAAAAGAUUGGAUAUACAUGUCAGAAUAUUCUGGAGGAAAGAACUUAAUCAGACGAUCCAAAAUGAGAUACCGUUUAACAUUUGCCAGUGGUUCCUCUUUCAUAUCAGACAUCCGGACAAAUUCCGUCUUGUCCGCCACCAAAUAUAUUGAAAUAAAUUCAAAACUUGGAACAUAACACGCUUUGAUUGUGCCGUUGGCUCUUCUCUUACUCACUUGAAUGAAGCCGCGGUGGAUUAGUUCUUUUAAGUAAAAUUCGGCAGUUUCCUCACUGUUGUAUGGAAUUAAACCUUCAGCUAUCCACAACUGACAUAAUUGCGCGGUAGAUAUCUCAAUGCCGGGGCGGAAGACACACAAAUAGAUGCAGCAGACUUUCAAGUAAAAAGGUAACUCCCACACAGAACAAGUUCGACUGAAAACUGUCAAAUUUAUUUUUUCAUUCAUAUAAUUUUCUGAUGGCGCACUUCCAUAGUGUAAGAUAAAAAAUUGCCAGGCCUCAUGCUUUAAUCUGAUCAAUGGUCCUUCAAUGAGCACUGAAUCAAGCCGAAUCUCCUCUCCGUUUUCCAUUUCCAACGACGUAAGGAGUUCUGGAUCAGUGACCAAUAUCAAUACUCUGCUUCCAUUCUGAUUAUCAGGAAGAACUUCUUCAAGAUCAUCCCAUAUCUCAAUGUUAUCGCAGACAUCAUCAAGCACAAUAAAGUACUUCUUCUUUGCUAGGAAAUCUCGAA